rnacentral:lncRNA from 1 species
UUCUUCUUCCUCUGUUUCUUCUGUUUCUGCCAUAGUUGUCUCUUGAGCCUUUUGAAGUCUAUCUGGGCAUUUUGACGCGAAGUGUCCGAGCUUGUCGCAUCUGUAACAAACGACUUUGGACAUAUCUCUCUUUUCUCUCGUUUGAUACUGCGAGUUUGAGCGACCUCGUCCUCGUCCUCUGGAUGUGCCUCUGCCUCGCGAGCUCUGUUCCCUUGAGUUCACAUAUAGAAGCUUGCCUUGAGUCUCGUCGGUGUUCUCCUCAUCGAGAAUCCGCUCCUCGUAGGCUUUGAGUCUGUCGAUGAUAUCUUCAAACGUGGUUUUCUUUAGAUCCAGUACUUGUUCUAAAGAUGCAAUGAUAUAGAUAUACUUCUGUCUCGGUAAACUGUUGAGGAACUUUUUCACCAAUCUUGUCUCAUCAAUAGUUUCACCGAGUGCAGCAGAUUUGGACGCGAUCUCUGAUAACUUUCCCGCAAAGUUAUCAAUUGUGUCCUCGUCCUUCAUUCGAAUUCUUUCAAAUUCAGACAUAAGCGUUUGUAACCUUGCUUCCCUGACCCGGUCAGCACCAAGAUUUCGCGUUUUGAUAGCUUCCCAUAAUGCUUUCGGAGUCUCUUGUACGCUGACUUGGAGGAUGAGGUGCUCCGGGAUUGACUGAAAGAUCAAUCCUGUUGCGAUGUCUUUCUUUGUGUUGUCCACUGAUCCAGGCUCUAUCGUUUCCCAGACCUUAUGUAUACGAAGCAUGACCGUCAUCCGCAUUGACCAUACUGUGUAAUUUGUGGCUGUUAACAUUGGACAAGAGAUGGAGGAAGGUAUAGUUUCCUUUCCUUGUGUUGUUUGAACUAUAUCGCCCAUCUCUUCGUACCUUAUAAUCUUCGUGAUGUGUUAGGUUUCGAUCGAUUUUUCUUUGGAGGCUCUGAUACCAAAUAAAGUCGUAAGAAGCUUAGGGUAAAGACAAACACUCUUUAUUAAUGUUUAGGAAACUAACUCAAAACCUAAACUCCCAAAACUCAUAGUCUUUGUCACAACUCAACAAAGCUAUUUAUAUAGGUAAAACACAACACUGUUUUCCUUUUCAUAAUAGUAGAAUAUUUCCUAAUCCUAAAGGUUUUGUGAUGUGGACAUCGACCCUAAGACCUUACCAGAGCUAAUGCCAUCAGUCCAAGACGGGGCCAUGACACGCUCCAAGAUUAAAUAACUCAGAAAUAGAUACAAGCGAGCCUUACACAUCUUUAUCAACUCACUAGAACCAGACGACCCGUUGUUGCCCGACCUGAAUGUCAUAUACGGCUUAAACGAGCUUUGCGGCCAAACCGGGGCCGAAUACUUGGAAUCCAGAAAUGACCCAUCAGAUGACCGAGUCUCUCAGGCCAAAAUGGUUAUCUUUCGACCAGUUUUUGAUUUAAAUGCCAACAGUCCGAGCAUAAUGUCUUUUUCAGGCUUAAAACUUGAAGAACUAAAGGAUGAUUCCAAAAUGGCCGAUACGCGAGAAACUUUGGCCGAUACGCGAGAGAUUUUAGCCGAGAAAUCAGUAGCACCUCGGCCAGACCAAUGUAGCGAUGGAAUCUGCCGUACUGAAGCUGGCAUUGCUCGACCAAAAUCACCAGCUGAAUCAAACGGACGAGACAGAAACAAGUUUGCCCGAGCGGAUAAUGAGAUGGCCGAGCCCAUACAAGAUUUGGCCGAUAACUCAAAGACACCAGGGCUGGAGCCACCAGACGACUUGGAUUCCUCCAACAAAGGUAAGAUCUCUCGUCCAAGUAUAUAUACUGAGGCUAACGAACGUGGAAUUUUGUCCCACCAACGAGCAGAUUUGGAGAUGCUUUACAAUACACCACCCGGACCCGAGAAAGGCCAAGAAGACCAAGAAACUAGGACGGAGCACCAAAAAGCUUGGGGACUUGAAGACAAGGACUUAGCUACAUUGGAGAAGCAUUUAGAAGACUUUACAAGAAGAUUCCAAGCCAAGGACGCCACAGCCUCAAGCUCGGCCGACACAGCUACACAAGCGGCCAUCCGGAACCCUUCACACCAAGAUAAGCUUUUCAAUUAUUAUAUCGUUCUUGCAGGAGAUCUCAGCCCUCACAACGGCUAAGUACAACAUCAAAACGACGUCAAUAGUUUAGUUUAAAGAGUCUUAAGCAAACUUUCCAUUUUUGUAUUAAAUGAAACGAUGAGUUUAUGUUUUCGUAGACUAGGUUUGUUUUUUGUUAUUUCCCUUUCAAAAGUACUGUCGUUUUGAGUCCCUUUUCUUUUCUUUGAGUCGAACCCUAGAAGGUUCAAGCUGACGGACUAUUUAUAAAGUCCCACACGCAGCUUUGUAGUCACCAACCUUUUUUCCAUUAUCAAUAAAAAAACGAACUUUCUUCAAAGUUUCUUGAGAAGCGGCUUCUCAUCUUGUUCACUGCUUUCUUGUGAGAUUCAAGCAAGUGUAAGCUACUGCACCGUAUCAGAGAAUCACCAUCCCUCUGUGUUGUAUAUUCAUUCCACCAACACACCAUCUCUAGAUCCCACACGAGAGGGCGACCGCUUGCGUGUCAGAUCCCCAUCCAUUGUUUAUUCACCGAAUCAAAGAGAGGGCGACCACCUGCUUUGCCUCACCACCACCUGCUUUGCCUCACCACCACCUUGUUACCCGUGGGAAUCCCCUGAUUCUUACAUCAUUUUGCCUCUUAUCUCUUAACCAACUUGUUAAUGAGAUACUUUAGGCUGUAAGCUACUAGAAACUACUAGAAGCUUAUCCAACACUAAUUAAUUUGAUUAACCAAAUAUAUAAAAGUAUUACUAAAUAUUAUAUAUAAGUUCUGAUGACGUUUUGUGAGGAUUUUAAGCAUAAGGUGUAUGGAAGUCUUUACUUUAAUUUUCUUGACUUUUUGGUGAACCCAUAUAAUAAUAAGUGUAGGCUAGUUUUAGUUUAUGUUGAACACAUUUUUGGCGUUUGUUUAUGCUUAUUCCAAUUAUUGACUAAUGAAGAUGCGAGGUAUAUGAUUGGCAAAACAAUUUUUAAUAUACACAACAUAACAGUCUUUUUAAAAGUAAUUACUUGCUACCAUUCACAUUGAGCUUAGUUAAUUCAGAUUAUAUACUCCAUCUACUUCCAUUACUUGUAAUUUAAUUAAACUAUCGAAGACGACUAUUCUCGGACGGUAGUGAGCCAAAAAAAUGGUGGAGAUUCUACAAACAAACGUGUUAGAUUCUAAACAGUUUUGUGAGCAUACGUCGUAUGUUCCUAUCUUCUUCUUUUUUUCUUGAAUAUAAGUCUAAAGUCAUCUUCCUCCUUUAAUUGUCUAUUUUUCAGUUUUGUUAAUUAAAGCCUUCCUUCUUUCUUUGUUUAUUUGUUUAUUUGAUAGAAAAACGUGCUUAAACACGGCAUGGGUAUUAUGAUAUUAAUUAGUGUCAUCCAAACUAAAAUAAUGAUUAAUAAUAAUAAUAAUAAUAAUAAUAAUAAUAAUAAUAAUAAUAAUAAUAAUAGUUACCUCGCCAAAAAUGAAAUCAUUACCUUAUUUUUUUGUUCGUUUAACUUGAAUCCAAAGUCCAAACUAUUGUAUCACGUCGCGAUCGAUUUUGUGCUUGCUACCUGAAGAAUUAAGUCGUAACAAUAAUCACAUUGUAUAACGUCGCGAUUUGAGCUUGCGUACUCAAGAAUUAAUUUUGACGACUUACGAGUUACGAUCCCAACUUUUCAUUUUACAACAAAAAACUUUCGAUUUUAUUAUUCAUGUCAUAAAGGAUAAUUCUACUUACUCCGUACAGAUUUCCAAUUUUUUUUUUAAUGGUUGUUCUGAUUUAACAUUAUCCGAAUUCCAAGGUUGUAAAGUGAAAUUCAUCUUCCCACCCUUCCACAUUGUGGCAACGUGUGAGGCAUGUGCGAUGCCUACACAUGGAAUUCACACAUGUGAUCUGUUAUAUGAAAAUACAUGUAAAAAUAUAUUUAUGGAUAUACUCAAACAUUUCUCUUUCAUCCAGUUACAUAUACAAAAAUGUAUCAUAAAAUAUAAAUAAAAACUCUCAAUUUCGGUUCUGAAUCGCGACCAGCUCCGUAACACAUGUCCGAUACCAAUCACCAAAGGACAAACUAAUUCUUAAUUUUUUUUCUUAUGAACUUUUCUUACCGUACAUAGAAAAGCCUGUUUUCAUAGAAUAUAAAAUUAAGUCCCAAUUUCAUUUAGUUGCUUAACAGAUAUUCGUUAAAACCUGAAGCACAGAAUUUUUUUACUGUUCCAACACUCUAUUUUCACUUUAUGAAAACGUAACAAUUUCUUUAGCAUUUCUAGCUAAUUUUUUUUUCAGCUAACUGACUCUUGUUUAAUUUUUACCACUUUAUCGAGAAAACAUUGUUUUUUUUCUUCAUUUUAAAAUUGUCUAUUUCUUUACUUAUAAAGUGUACCCUUUUUUUUGUGUCAAAACUCAGCUGUAUUCUAGUAUAAUUCUAAAUUUUAGAGAACAUUUUUGAAGUAGAUCCUUUUUUUUUUCUUUUUUCACUAUUUUAACGUAUACUAUUUAUUUAAAAAAUACUAUUUAAAAAAAAUCUCGGAAUUAAAUUGACAUACAAAUCUUUUCCGAAGUAUCCAAUAAGAAAAUUAGCCAAAUAUAAGGUAGAAAUCAGAUUUGAUCCAGCAAUCUAUUUUAAAAACAUACUUCACAAAAAAAAAGUCUAUUUUAAAAUUAUUUCCAUGUGAAAUUUACUUUUAAGAGAAUAUUAAAAAUGGUUAUCUAGAAUCAACCACUGUCAUAAUAACACGUGUACGGUUCCAAAGCAAUCGGAAGAGUCCUUUGGAAUGUUCCUCCACCGUCAAAUAAGUAUCUAUCAUCUAUCCACUUGCUGACUCAGCCGGAUAAGCCUAAACCGGAGUUGCCUCACCGUAAGAAAAUUGGAUAAAACCGGGAUAAAUAAAAAGGAGGUAAAAGUAAAAGUAAAACCAAUCGGGAGUCCUAGGUGGUUUACACGUGGCACCAGCUGGGACGAGUUAUCCGGUACAUAUCCGGUUGCAGGUAAAACAUAAAUGGGCCCUACAUACGAAACGCGACACCACGGCGCCGUUUGGACUCUAUAAAUAGAGCAAUCGGUCGCAGAGAACAAGACAUCAAACGGGAAAACCGAUAAAACGCUCUACGUGCAAUUUCUCCUUCCCGACGUCUGUCAGUUUAUUGAUUUUUCGUAUUUUUCGGAUUUAAUUUUCUCUAAAGUUUCGGAGAUUCUGUUUUUCUUUUUUCUGUUUCGCAUUCUUUGUGAUCCUUCAUUUUUCUGCACCUUAAUUAAACUUUUCGCGACCAAAAAAGAAACAUGUGUGGAAUUCUUGCCGUUUUGGGAUGCUCCGAUGAUUCUCAGGCGAAGAGAGUUCGUGUUCUUGAGCUUUCUCGCAGGCAAUUCAUUUCAACUUUCCUCUGUUUUUUUUUGGUUUUUUAAAAAAACUCUUUUCUGAGAAUUGGAUACCAAUGUGCUUGUCACGUUAAACUAACAUAAAUUGGUCGAAGCUACAAUCCAAGAAUAUUUUGUUUGUUUAAGAUUAUUCUGACGAAGACUGAUUUGAUCUAUUAUCAUAUUGUAGUAUAAUUAUGAAUAUUUUCAUAUUUUGUUGACCCUUUUUGUUGAACGUGACAUGAACAGUGAUGCUUGAUCGAAUCAAAUAUCUCCUUUUUGCAUAGUUUAUGUAAUCUCUCCAAAAAAAAGCCGAAACUUUUUACUUGUUGGUGGAUUAUUCUACGAGAAAGUAUCAAAAUUUAAGCUUUGAGUAUCAGAAAUGGUAUAAUAAUUUGGUCUGAAAUGUUUUUUUUUUAAAACCACAAUAUGAUUACAGAUUGAGGCACAGGGGACCUGACUGGAGUGGAAUAUAUCAGAACGGAGAUAAUUACUUGGCCCAUCAACGUCUUGCGAUCAUCGAUCCUGCUUCUGGUGACCAACCUCUCUUUAACGAGGACAAGACCAUUGUCGUCACGGUAUAAGCUUCAAGUCAAGAUAUUCUUCAAAUCAUAAUAAUAACUCUUUUAUAGUAUUUUUGAUGCUGAAAUGUUCUCUAUUCUUGAUUUUGUUGGAAGGUGAAUGGAGAGAUUUAUAAUCACGAGGAGCUGAGAAAACGCUUGAAGAAUCACAAGUUCCAUACCGGUAGUGAUUGUGACGUCAUUGCUCACCUGGUACGUUUUGAUUUCGUUUUGGUUAGUUUUGCUAAAUUGGUUUAAUUACUAAUGAUUGAUUCAAGUUUGAUGUGUGUUUGUUUGGGUGGGGAACAGUACGAGGAGUAUGGUGAGAGUUUUGUUGAUAUGUUGGAUGGAAUCUUCUCCUUUGUGUUGCUGGACACAAGAGAUAACUCAUUCAUGGUGGCUCGUGACGCGGUUGGUGUCACUUCGCUCUACAUUGGUUGGGGAUUAGACGGAUCUCUGUGGAUAUCUUCAGAGAUGAAAGGUUUACACGAAGAUUGUGAACAUUUUGAAGCGUUUCCUCCAGGUCAUUUGUAUUCAAGCAAAUCAAGAGGGUUUAAACAAUGGUACAAUCCUCCUUGGUUCAAUGAAUCAGUUCCUUCUACGCCUUAUGAGCCUCUCGCGAUUAGACGCGCCUUUGAAGACGUAAGACCCUUGAAAGAUCUCUUCUUUUGAACGCAAUGUAUACAUAUGGUGUGAGAAGUUAAUCUGUUUUGUGUUUCUCUGUAGGCUGUGACUAAGCGUUUGAUGAGUGAUGUUCCUUUUGGAGUUUUGCUUUCUGGUGGUCUUGAUUCUUCUCUUGUUGCUUCCAUCACUGCACGUCACUUGGCCGGUACUAAGGCUGCUAAGCGAUGGGGUCACCAGCUCCAUUCCUUUUGCGUAGGUCUUGAGGUGAGAUAUACAAAACAGAGGAAGUUCCUCUGUUUUCAAAAGCAGAGUUAGGAUCAGAUGUAAAGUGAUUUUAAUAUGUAUGUGUCUUUUUUUCUUUAGGGCUCGCCUGACUUGAAGGCAGGGAAAGAAGUGGCGGAAUAUUUGGGGACGGUGCACCAUGAGUUCCAUUUCACGGUGCAAGAUGGGAUCGAUGCGAUAGAGGAUGUGAUUUACCAUGUUGAGACCUAUGAUGUGACAACAAUCAGAGCUAGCACGCCGAUGUUCUUGAUGUCUCGGAAAAUCAAGUCUCUAGGUGUUAAGAUGGUUCUCUCCGGUGAAGGUUCUGAUGAGAUCUUUGGAGGAUAUCUUUACUUCCACAAGGCACCUAACAAGCAAGAGUUUCACCAAGAAACAUGUCGCAAGGUAUCCAUCUAUUCAAAUUUAAUCACAAAAAUAACAUCAUCAAAGACGAGAUCUUUUAACUCUUGGUGCGGCGAUGCCUUGCAGAUCAAGGCUCUUCACAAGUACGACUGUUUGAGAGCCAACAAAGCUACCUCUGCCUUUGGUCUUGAGGCGCGUGUUCCUUUCUUGGACAAAGAGUUCAUCAAUACCGCUAUGUCGCUUGACCCUGAAUCCAAGAUGGUAAACUACAACAACUCAAAUGUCAAAUCAAUACAUUCUUUCACAAGCUAACGUUUCAAUAUGGGGUUUUCGUAGAUCAAACCAGAGGAAGGGAGGAUUGAGAAGUGGGUUCUAAGGAGAGCUUUUGACGAUGAAGAACGUCCUUAUCUGCCAAAACACAUUCUAUACAGACAGAAAGAGCAGUUUAGUGAUGGUGUUGGCUACAGUUGGAUCGAUGGCCUCAAAGCUCAUGCUGCUGAAAAUGUACUACACAAAAAGAUCUCAUCUCUCUUCUGAUCAGCCUAUUUUUCGGUUUAGAUCUGAUUAUUUCAUGUUCUGGUUUUAGGUUAAUGACAAGAUGAUGUCGAACGCUGCACAUAUCUUCCCUCACAACACUCCACUCACAAAAGAAGCUUACUAUUACAGAAUGAUCUUUGAAAGGUUCUUCCCACAGGUGAGACUCCUUUUAUAAAUCUCCACUUUUCAGUUUUGUCAAAACAAGUUUACGAACUUUGAGCUGUGUUUUCUUGUAGAACUCUGCGAGGCUAACUGUUCCUGGAGGUGCCACCGUGGCUUGCUCGACAGCAAAGGCAGUUGAGUGGGAUGCAAGCUGGUCCAACAACAUGGAUCCAUCGGGAAGAGCCGCCAUUGGAGUUCACCUCUCGGCUUACGACGGAAGCAACAAGGCAUUGCCUUCGCCGCCACUUAAGGCAAUUGACGACAUGCCGAUUAUGAUGGGACAAGGAGUUGUGAUUCAGACAUGAGUUUGAAAGGAAAAGGGAGGAAAUUGUUUGUUAUUUUAAGGUUGUCCUAAUGGGUUUUUAAGUGUUUUUUUUUUUUUGGUAUCAUUUCAAAAUAAAAAUGGUUUUCUAUUUCUUAUGAAGAUUUGAAUGUAUAAAUUUAUUUUCUUGUAUUUUUGGGUAAGAUUUGAAUGUACUGUUUCUACAUAAUUCGAUGUACAUCAAUCUUAUAUCAAUUCUAUAUUGUAUUGGGUAACCAACAAUUGUUUCCAUCCAUCCUAUUGGAAUAUAGAUAAUUGUGCUGGUUUCUCAAAACUCUAUCUAAAAAAAAUGUGUAAAACAACAUUUAGAGUUAACCAAAUCGUAGUAGCUGGUGGUUUCUAUUUUUUAGGUUUAGGCUAAAGAUUGAUCAUCAUAUAUAUUAAAAGCCAAGUGAUUUUUAACCUUUAAACUCUUUCAUUUUGGGAAUGACUAAUUAUUAUUCUGUCUCUCACCAAAAAAAUUCUAAUAUUUUUUUAAUUGAUCUAAAAUAAGUUUGCAGAAUAAUCACAUAUUACCGAUUACUUAUCUCUAUAUUAUUAUUUAAGUAGACAUUUUAAAAUAUAAUCUUUAUUUUAUAAAAUAUUACAUGAUAUGUCAUAAUAAAUAACAAAGAAUAAUUAAAAUAGGAAAGGAUAUAGUUGUCUUUCAACUCUAUUGCUAAAAAUAUGGAAAGUCUUUAUUUCUCAUUUAAUAGAGUAUAUUUAUUAUUUAAUUUCUAAAUUCAAAAAUAUAAUAGUUUUUAUUAUUUUUAUUUUCAAAUGAUAUUAUAAAGUAUAUUUAAUUAAAAACGUAAAAAUAAAUUUUUGAUUUUAGAAAUAUUAUAAAAGUCAAAAUUAAAAGUUAUGAUAUUAAAAAAGUGGUGAAGUAUUUUUUUUCAAUAAUUUGCUACAUUUGAUUGAUUAUAUACAAAAAUACUUUUUUAGUUAUUUUACUAAAAAUUUGAUAUGGAAAAUUGAUUUUUAAAUAAAAAAAGUUUGUGGUGAAAUGAUUUAUAAAUGUUAUUAAAUUUUAAUCCAAUACAAAUAUGUUAAGUAAACGGGUUAGUUCGAUAUGAACAUAUUAUAAUUUUAAUUUUUUAAUACCCACAAAAAAAUCUCAAAAUUCAAAAUAUUAAUUUUUUAAAAUAGGUAAUAUAUUCAAUCUACUAAAUUAUAUAUAUUUUUAAAUUAAAUAUAAUUUGUUGUAUAUUUUUUUAUUAUAUACCAAACCUAAGUGUAAAGAAUAUUAUAUUAGUUUCAUAUAUAGUUAAAAAUAUAAAAUUAUUUUUUUAUAGUUAGUGAACAGAUUAUAAAUGUCAAUUAUUAAAUGAUGCAAAUUAGAGUUGAUAAUUAUAAUAUUAUAAUUUUUAUGUAAUAGCCUAGAUAAUAUUUUAGUUUAGUGCCAACGGGUUUAAAACAACUUAUUUUGCUUUACACGCUUAUAAAAUAACUUUAUAUACGGACUAAUUCAUUCAACUCAUUAUUUAAAAUUCACAAAAAGAUGCAAUAUAUUAUUGUAAACUUUAUAACAAUAACUGUUUUUACAAAAUAACUGUUUUCAUAAAAUUAUUUAAAUUAAUUAAAGAUUAAAAAUAUAUCUCUCGCACUAUAGGACGGGUUAAUCCCUAGUGUAAUACCAAUUUGUUAGUUUUUUUUUCCUACGAAGUCAGUCCCUAUUUGGGCUAAAGUCAUUGGUUCCCCCCUUACCUCACAAACAUUAUGUUUGCAGUGGGUUACCGUUUUUAGAAUUUUACAACAAUCACGUAAAUUAUUUUGUGUUAUUUCAUACCAUUUUUUAUCAAAUUAAUUCAGAUAUUUUAAAUUGUAUAAGUUUAUGAAAUCUUUUUAAUUCUUUUAAUUUUAGUAAAAUAUUAGGAAUAUAUAAUAAAUAAUAUGUAGUACUUCAAUAAAAAUAAUAAAUUAAUAAUUUUUGGUCCAACUCAAUCGUAAUUAUAUUAAUAUAAUUUUUUUAACAUACUUAACUUGUCCUAAAUGCGUUUAGAUGGUUUGCCCGCACAUGUUAAUAUACUUAAUUUGUUCCAAGUGAGUCUAGGUAGUUCGUCCGCACAUGCGUGUGGGAAUAAUUGAUGGGAUUACUGCAGAACACAUCAAAGAUUCAAUGCAGGCGAUGUUUCAAUUGAAAAUAGAUUACACAACUUCGUAUAGAGCUUUGAUGUAUGCACAAGAAUGUGUGAGGGAAACCCCUGAGGAUGGAUAUAGUCGACUGCCUUCUUAUUUGCAUCUGAUCGCUGAAGCAAAUCCGGGUACUAUAACUGCCCUUGAACGCGACAGUCAGAAUAGGUUCAAGUACCUAUUCUUAGCCUUCAGAGCCUCCAUAGCUGGUUUUCAAUAUCUCAGACGGGUCAUUGUUGUCGAUGGGUGUCAUCUGACUGGAAAGUAUGAAGGGACUCUGCUAGUGGCCACAGCACAAGAUGGUAACUUCCAGAUAUUUUCACUAGCUUUUGGAAUAGUGGACUCUGAGAAUGAUCACGCAUGGGAAUGGUUUUUUAGAACAUUGCGGGAUUUUUUUACAGACGAGUAUCCGUUGGUGAUAGUUUCAGACCGGCAUCAUUCCAUUAAGAAGACAUGUGAGACUGUUUUACCAUGGGUAACACGCGGUAUAUGCUAUUAUCAUCUGCAACACAAUAUUGUCACUAAGUUUAAGGGGAAGCAUCUUAUGUACUUAGUCAAACGUGUUGCGUAUGCAUAUACGGUACAUGAUUUUAACCGUUAUAUGGACGAGAUAAGGCAUAUAAAACCUGACCUUGCAACGUAUCUGGAGGAGGCAGGCAUUCAGUUGUGGUCAAGAGUUCACUUUCCAGGUGAUAGAUACAAUAUCAAGACGAGCAACAUCGCAGAGUCUAUCAACUCUGCUCUCAAACGGGCACGGGGAUUUCCCAUAGUAUUCUUGUUGGAGUACUUACGGGCGAAGCUAACAAAGUGGUUUUGUAAAAGGCGGGAAGAUGCUUUGAGUCUUCCAACCAACCAUACUCGAGGAGUUGAAUAUUUGUUGGCAAUUCGUUCACAUUAUGCUGAUAAUUUGACGGUUGAAGGCAUAGAUGGUUGGCGAUUCAAUGUGAAAGGAGGAUCACAUAACUGUGUCGUUGAUUUGGAACUUCGAAAGUGUGGGUGUGGCGUGUAUGAUAUUGAGAAAAUACCUUGCUCUCAUGUUAUAGCCGUUUCAGAUGCAAUGCAUAUGCAUCUGGCCACUCUUGUAUGCCCGACAUACUCCAAAGAUUACUUGUAUGCAGCGUACUCGCAUAAUAUAUAUCCUCCAAGCAUUGCAAUGAAACCGAUGAAACAACACAAUGUCUACCUCCGGAGGUCCGACGUAAAAAAGGCAGGCAGAGGAAGUCAAGAUGGCAAACUUGGCUGGAAAUUUCGAGGCAUAAGCAAAAGAAACCCCGUAAGAUCCACAAGCAGUACAGUUGUUCAAAAUAUCACCAACCAGGACAUAUCAGACCGGAUUGUGUAAGUGUUAGGUUACCUCAUACUUUAAGGGUUACAUUGGUCGAAGUUAAUUUCCUCUGCUUUUUUUGCAGACGUUAAAGUCAAGAUAAAACCCUAAACCUAUAAUAGCAGACUUACACUGAAGACUACAACUAGAAGUCUUCGACAGUAGUCUGCACAAGAAAUCUGCUUCACCAGGUAAGGGAAACACUACUGAAAUGUGUCUGUUUCAUGUCUAUGUACGAUCAUUCUUAGUUAUUGUCAUAAACUAUGCGAUAUAAUAAGCUAUGAUUAGGCUAAACCUUAGAAUACGUGAAUUAUCACAAAAGCCACACUAGUCUAUUACAAGCGUUUUAGCCUCCCAAAAGAUACAACCACAAAAGAUACAACCACACCAUUGUUUUAAAUAUUACUAAACAAACCGAACUUAGUUAGGAACAUUACAGUUAAAUAGAGAACAACAAUUCUGGCAGGUUAACCAAAAACUUCCAACCAUACCACACCCAACGAGAGUCCUUUCUCUUUCAGUACAGAAUAUACAUAGUUGGACAUAUCACUUACCUUCGUAUACGUCCAACCAUGGAUAAUCAUACUUCUCUGUGCCGGUUACUCCUGUCUCGUCAAAUAUCUCAGCUGCCAGCUUGUCUCGGACGUUUUUAAUGUUUGCAUCGCACAAGGUCUUAGGAAAUGGCAUCCCUAGAGCAUGGCAUUCAAGGUACUUCAAGCAGUAAACGCCACAGUCACCGCUUUGUUUUUUUUUUGGGAUCAAAUGCCCCUUGAUUCGCUCCCACAUGAAUGGAUCAUAAGUCAGAUUGAUACGGUCUUCAGCAGGUGCACAUUCACGGAGUAUGUAGGGAACCAAGACGGUAAUCGGAGUCACAGCAGCCUCAAUCUGAAUAUCCGAUGCAUGAGUAUUCGCAUGGCUAUCCCAAAUGACAAUAUGCUUCAUCGGAAUCGAAAUCCACAUUGCCAUCCAGUGAUCAUCAGUGAUGUGUAACAUCGAGUACAGGUCAUCCACAUCAUACCCUAACGCAGUAGGUUGGCGCUGCGCCAGUGUAGUACUCAAACGAGCUAACUGGAAGGAGCUUGCCUGAACCAUCAGGGUUGGCGUGAGAGUCCACGAACUCCUUGUACUUGUGCCUCCACAUCGUUGCAAAGUAAGAGUUGAGGAAUGUUAUCCUGUCCGACCUAAACCACUCAGGAUGCUUUGUAAAUCGCAGCCUGAGUAGGUUAAUCCUAGCUUCCAUGUGCUGCAUAUUCAAUGAAAACAAUUAUUCAAGCAGAGAGAAAUAUGUUGUGUUCAUAUCAUAUAUACACUCACGUAACUUACAGUGUCUGCUAGCCAUUGUUUUGGGACUCUUAGGAUGAAGUACCAGUCCACGGAUGACCAUUUUACCCGCUUCGGAUAGUUCCUGAAAACACCACCAUUUUACAAUAUCAUCCACUACUCUUACAAUAGAAAGUCUGCUUUAUGCUAACUCCAAAACAAAGACUUACGGAUCUUUUUUCAGACAAUCAGUUAGCACACCGAUCUUUUGCUUCACGUGUUUCAUAUCAAACGGAUCAUAUCCACACCCUCAGACAUUUUUGUUUGGGAUUAUUUCCUUCGCUGUGUUGUUGGGUUUGAAAGGGCUUUGUUGUGUAGGAGCCAACUUUCUCAGACGUUCACUCUUCGCACGAGCAACCAGUUGUGCCGCCUUCUUGCCUUUCUCGUGUUUAUCUUUCUGGACCUGAUCGAAGUCGAUGUCGCAUUUUGCUGGAUCAACCAUAACGACGCUUGGCUCUGGAGUUCUCUGCUUACCAUCGUUCACGCUCUCACUUGGGACAUCAGUUUGUUCAUUUUGCUUAGACAUAAAAUUACUCUGCAAAUAUAAAGAUUUAAACACACAUCAAUGAAACGAAACCAAACAUCAAACAUUAAAGAGUACAAAUAAAAACAUUAAAUAUUUAGUGGUGACAACAUUUUAACGAUUUCUAAGGUUUUAAAACAGAUUGGUAAGGUUCGAUGAGAAGUUUGAAAACAAAUAUGGAAUUUUAUUUUUUCCGGGGUUUCCUUCCUCUUUUCUUUGGAGCGGGUUUUGGACUAACCCCGAUAUUAGGAUCGGCGUCCGCGUCCGUUUGAUCGUUGCCAACAGGUUUUGCGUCCUCGGCGGCUGCUUCACCAGUCUGAGCCACAUCCUCCUUUGUACCUCCGGUCCCAGCUUGGAGGAUCACUGCCUCUAAUUUCUGCUCCACCGUUCCCAACUUUGUGUUGAGUAGUUUGAUCUGUGAUUCACAACUACUCAACCCAUCCAUCAUCUUGUUGAAGCAGUCGUCCAUGUGGUCCUUCAGAAUCGUGACCAUUGACUCAUCUUCCUCACCAGAGGCUGGGCAGAACCACUUCCGACUUCCUUGAUCACCAACUGAUUCCGAUCGCCUCUUCAGAUCAACAGACCCUUCGGACUUGACAUACUUGGUCACACCUGUUGGAGGCCAAUGACUCCUUUCCCAUGUCCAUUGUUUAGGGCCAAAAUGACCAUACAUCGCUUUGAUGAUGUUGUCAGUCCUCUCGUUUUCUUCAUCAUUGUCUUCAACUUCCCAGUGCGGAAACAUGUCGAAGAAUUCCUUAACAACGUAGUUGUUAAUGCGUGUCUACAUGGAAAUCAAAACUGUGUUAUAUAAAGUAUAAUGUAGAAGUCUACCAACAAAGUCUGCAUUAGAAAUCUACUAAGGAAGUCUGCUGUAUAUUAGAGACGUCUGCACUAGAAGUCUACUAAAUAAGUCUGCCGAUAUAAUAGUCAACCAAGUAUGAAUUCAGACUACUUACCUGUCGGAGCAUAUUCUCUUUCAUAAAUUUCCUCCCCCUGGAUCCCUUGUAAGCUAUCAGCGGUACAAUGGGGUCGUUUGGAAGUGGUUCACCAAAUUUAGCAGCAAAGUCGGGAAGAGCAAAGUAAACCCAGACUUGUAGUACUUGAACAAACCCCUCAAUGGUGUACGACGACUUCCAAAUUUCUUUCUCCUUCACCGACCGCAUCAGGUUUUUGAAGGCCACUCUUCCCCAAGGGUAGUUUUCAAACGCAUCUAAAUCCAUCACAAGCCUUGCCAACCUAGCCCGAGUAGCUGAAGAUGGUUUUCGUGCUUCAAUGUACCUAGUAUAAAUGCUAAGGUAUCACAGCCUCAACCGAUCCUCGGAAGACCACGACCCGCAUUCCUUACAAGCUUCUAUCAAAUCUUCAGUGCUCGGGCCCAAAUCCUGAUUGACUCCCAAUCGCUCCCAGAAAUCUUGCAUCUCCUCAGUUAUCUCAACCACCGGAUCCUCGAGGUUGUCCACGUACUCGCAAUUCAAGCCAGUAAUAUGUUCGAACUCAUUCAAAAAAAAGCGAAUCGGGAUUAGACCUACGAGGCUCCAAAUCUCAAAUUUUUUCUUGCAAACUAGUUGCAUGCCAAGAAUGUAAUGCACCAGUCUAGAUGCCCAGUCGAAAUCCAGCUGACUGAACUUCAAGAACACUCCCAGUUUAGAGUUCAAUAUCUCUUCCCACUCAUCUUGUGUGAGUGCUUCCUCGAGUGCAGUCAUCAGCUUCGUCUCACCGCUAUAGUAACCGAUGCUUUUCAGCAGAGACGGCUCAUCGCCUUUCGAGAAGAGACGCGGGGGGGGGGGAACUCUGGGUUUUCCAUUGGCUGUUCUGACGUCUGCAAAACGAAGUCAAAUAUUCAAGAAGUCUACUUAUGAAGACUUACGAAGAAGUCUGCACACGAAGUCAGCCAACUAAGUCUGCAAUUGAAGUCUGUGGACCUAAUAGUGUAAUUAAUAAAGUUUCAAAAAAACUAGCUGCCGACAAAGUUCUCUAAAAAAACACAACCCGUUUUGAACUCCGUUUUGAACUCCGUUUUACGAGAUAAUACUUCCAAAAUAGUUCGCCUAACACUAUACAAUUCCGUUUAAUAAAUAAAAAAAAGUACAGAUAUCUGUAACACAGCAACUAGAAAUUGGAAACGGGUAUUCGAUUUUUGUCCGACUUUGGAAAUAUCUACUCGGUGUUGUCCGAUUUUUAGAAAAACCGAUGUAGAAACCCAAACGACUGGGAACUUGGAACCCGUAAAGAUAUUUAUUUACAAAUUAUAAGAAAUUAGUACAGCCAAAUACCUUUCCACGACCAACGGCGAAAAUGAACAGACGGCGGAAAUGAACAGUUACGGACGGCGGCGACACCAGAUCUGGAAUACAAAGCGAAGGAGAUUAGGGUUCGUGAAUUACACAGACGACUUCGAUCCAAAAGAGAAGUCGGCAUUAAUUUCGACUUACCUUAAACGGUAAACGGAUGUACAGUAAAAACCGGCGACAAGUUUCGAGAAAAAUUUUCCUAACGACAGUAGUUUUUUUUUUUACUGAUUUGUGUUAAUACAGUGUUCGUAGCAACUCUUAUAUAUGACGGUAGAAACCUAUUUAACCGUCGUACCGGUUCAAUAACCGUCGUACCAGUUCAAUAACCGUCGUACCAGUUUAAUAACCGUCGUACCAGUUCAAUGUGGUUUAUCGAUUUUGUUAUUUAAAACGCAAUUGGUUUAUCCAAUUAUAGCUGGUUUGCAAUAUAAUUUUAAAACUGUCUGGUUUAGUUUAUUCGACGUAUUAAGUCUGCAUAUUAAGUCUGCUUAAGAAGUCUGCCUAAGAAGUCUGCAUAUUAAGUCUGGUUAAGAAGUCUGCCUAAGAAGUCUGCAUAUUAAGUCUGUUUAAUAAGUCUCCAACGAAGUCUGCCUAAGGGCAUCCUCAGUGCAGAUACCCUCAUGGGUCUCCAAAUGUGUUUUUAUUAAUAUCAUAUGAAAAGUAGUUUUAGAGAUUGUAUGUAGAGACCCUUAACUCAUGGGCCUGCAUACGUACACAAUACACAUAGUGCACAUAGCUUCCGCAGUAUACGGAGAAUGUAUAUGCAACAGUCAACACCAACAUUAAUCACCAUAGAAGUCAUAUACAUAUGUUUUAUCCCCUCUAGUCUACUUAAUGGUUACACAAGUCUCUUGGUCCUCUAUUCUACAUCCCAACGCAUGAUAACACAAGAGAUUACUGCGAAAAUAACUAAAAAAACACACAGUAGGAUGUCACAACCUCGACUAGCAAGUGCUCUUUCACUCCAGCAAUUUCACUCUGAAUGAACCCUAUGACUCCUCGAUCUCGCUAAUGGUCUUCUCGGUGCAGCAAGGCGAUCCUCCAAUGCAUACAGCCGAUUCUCAUAUGAUUGCAGAAGGGCUGUUCGGUUGUCACGGAACAUGCUUUCGCUCUGCUUGUCAAUUCGUAUUUGAAGAAUGGUCAGCUGCUCUUCAAUGGCUUCAUCCCACCAUUUGGAGAUGUGACCCGGUUUAUCCUACACAUAUGACAAACGAAAACUUCAGUUAUACUCGAUGAAUAACAUUAAAACUAUACACAUAUUGAGAAAAACCUCAUUAAAACUAUACACAUUCGCCUAAUAUUUCAGGGCAACUAUAGAACUUCCUGCCAAACGUCUCUGGAGCUGUAGACUCUUCCAAUCUACAUCGAAGGCCGCAAUAGCAUCGUUCAGGUAUCCCAAAGUCUCCAUCAGCUUUGGCACACCCGCUGUCAUAGCUUGCUUUGGAAGAUGAGCUGUUGGUGUAGCUUAUCGGCAUUACUCUGUAGAGAUCAAGCAAACAAACUUGGCAGUUAACAAACAAAAAACUAAAACAGAUACGACCACAUAAUAACUUUGCAGCUAAAAACAAAACAACAAAAACAAACUUUUCAAACAAAUAUUUCUUACUCGCUAAACAACAAAAUAACAAAAAAGGUACAUCUUGAAAUAAAGAAAAAAUCGAAAUAUUUUUACUUACUUGCUCACGGAAUCUGUGAAAAAAGUAUUUUUACUUAGAUCUGUUAAAAAAACAGUAAAGCAAAAGGACAAAAGAACAAAAGAACAAUUUUAAAGGACAAACCAGUAAACAAUAAGAUACAGACUAAACAGAGAAUGUAAUGGCGAAUAACUCACAGAUCUGGAGAGAUAACUAAGAACGAUGAAGACGCCGGCUGAGAUCUGCAGCAACAAUAUAUGUAGUGAUAUAUAUAUGAAACAACAUAUGCAUCAGAAACAGAAAAGAAGAGAUGGGGAGCGCCGGGAAAGGCUUACUGCGAGAGAGAGUCGCGGCGAGAGAGACUAGAGUGCAGCGCCGUUUUACAGUGAUCUAGGGUUUUUAUUUAUGGUAACGACUGGUAAGUUUCUUUAUAUACUAUGUUAAAAAAAAAAUUCCGGUUAGGUUAAUUAUUCUGGUUUGACAAGACUUCGAUCCGUAGUCUGCUGAGCAGACUGAUAAAGAAGUCUGCAGCCCUAGUUUAAAACUUUUCACUUUUUAUGUUUAUCUUAGAUGGUUAAAAAUGAUUCAUAUUUAUUAAAUUAUAAUUUUUAUAGAUCAUACUUGUUGACAUUUGAUUUAUAGAAACAAAUUUCAGUUUACAUUAUUUUUAUAUAAUUUUAAAAUUUAAAACUAAGAUUUAUUAAUAUAGUAGACUUCUUUAUCAGUCUUCUGAGCAGACUGAUAAAGAAGUCUGCAGCCCUAGUUUAAAACUUUUCACUUUUUAUGUUUAUCUUAGAUGGUUAAAAAUGAUUCAUUUUUAUGAAAUUAUAAUUUUUAUAGAUCAUACUUGUUGACAUUUGAUUUAUAGAAACAAAUUUCAGUUUACAUUAUUUUUAUAUAAGUUUAAAAUUUAAAAAUAAUAUUUAAUAAUAUAGUAGACUUCUUUAUCAGUCUGCUGAGAAGACUUCAUUAGUAUUUGCAGACUUCGCAGGGUUAUAAUCGUAAUUGAGACAUUCGUUUUAUUGUUUACUCAUGUACGAGAUAAUGGUAAUUUCUCUACCCCUCUGACCUAUUUUUGCAAUAGGUUGAAUUUGGAGUAUAUUUUUGCAUUUGGAAUCAAAUUGUGGCCUAUUUUUAUCAAUUUCCCAAGCUUUUUACAUAUACAAGUGUAGUUUUCAAAAAAAAUAAUCUAUUAUAUAAUGAGAGAGUUUUCUCUCCAUCUAGACUAUCCACAUCAGCAAAUUCAUAAAGCUUAACAUUUAAGUAUAUUUAAAGUAUGCAUUUAAUAAAUAUAUUAAUGUUUGUUAUUAAUAAAUUUAGUAUAAAUUAAAUUAAAUUAAAAAAAUUAUAGUAUAAAUAAAAAAUAAGUGAUAAUUAGAUAUUAAUAAUUAAAAACAUUGUAAUACUAACUGGAUUAAAUAUAUAUAUAUUUUUAAAAAUGAUAAAUUAUUAAAUUGAAAAAAUGUUUUAAAAUGAUGAUAAUUAAAAAAAAGAAAAAAUAAUGAAAAAUAAUAAGAAAAAUAGAAGGAAGAAGAAAAAUCAAAAUACAAAAACAGAAGAUAUUAAAAAGAUGAAAAAUAAUAGAAAUUAAAGACCAUGAAGAGGAAUAUGGAUAAUAAAAAAAAGAACACAAAGCUGAUGAAAAAGAAUUUUGAAAAAUAUGAAAACAAAGAAAGAGAACAGAAGAUAAAGAUAUCAAAAUAUGAAAAUAUAAAAAUGGAGAAGAAGAAAAAAAUUAACAAAAAUGGAUAAAUAUGAUGUUUAAAUUUCAAAAAAAGGUAAAAAUAAAUGAUUAAAAAUUAUUACUGCGCAACGUGUAGAGCAUUAACAAAAAAAAAUAAUUUUAAUACUGUAAUAAAAAUCACACAAUAGUGACAGACAAAAUAUAAAAGUACAUGAAAUAAAAAAAAUUAACAGAAAUUAAUAACAUAAUUAAGAAAAUUUGUUAUUAUAUACAAACACUAAUAAGGAUUGUACAAUGCAAAUAUAGAAAAAAACUAUUAAACUAUAAAAAAUUUAUCCAACAGAUUAUUUUUUUUUAAAAAACACAUAAAAAUAUAAAACACAUAAAAAUAUAAAAUAAAAUCCGCGCGAAGCGCGGACUCAACCCUAGUAAUAAUAAUGACAGUGUAUUUUUCAAACUCAAAAUCCAAAAUAGUGUAAUUUGCCAAUUAUCCCUGUAAAUUUCCAUAUGUUGGAUUUAUUACCCAAAUGAUGAUGAACUGUGUCGGGUUCUGUUUGUUUUGAUGUGAUCAAUCGGACUUCGAGUCCUAUUCUAACUCUCUAAUUAUUUCCAUCUGAUAUACACGAAACGUGUUCUGUCUCAGAAAGCGUUUUUCGUGUGCAAAUUAUUGGCUUAGUCAUUGUGUCUUUGUUGUAGAAGAGUGCUCUUUUUAUUAAGCAAAAGUACAGAAACAAUAUUUGAUGGAACGACAGGUGGCAACCCGAAAUCCAUAUCUGCAGUUCAUAAACCAAAAAGUCAGAAUAAGACCGCACGACUAAAUAUUUGUUUAUAGCAAAACUAUAAAACCUAUAUAAGGAUAAGUAGUUACUUAUAUAUGAAUUUUUUUUUUGGCAGUGAUGUUCGUUUGCAGGUUUUUAAGCGACAAAACGAAUAUUUGUAAGGAUAAGUAGGAGAAGAAGAUGAAGAAUUUGUAGAGGAAAAAGAAGACAAAAGGAUUAAAAUGGGAAAAUAAUGAAGAAGACAAAUUAAAAAUGAAAAAAAAAGAAUAAAAAAAUACAAAGAAGAAAAAACCGAAAAGAAAAGAAUAAGAAGAGAGUAGAACAAAGCAGAAGAGAAAUAAGAAAUAGAAGUCAAAGACAAUGAAGCAGAGGAAAGAAAGAACGAGGAAUAAGAAAUUUGAAAGACAAAUAAGUGGAAAAAAAGGGAGAAGAAGACGAAGCCGAAGACAGUGAAAAAGAAAAGAAAUAAUGGACGAGAAAGAAGAAAAUUAAAAGUCAAUUAAGAGGGAGAAGAUGAGGAUGAAGAAAAUGAAUGAAGAAGACCAAAAGAAAAAAUAAUAAUCAGAAUAAGGAGUAAGAGAAUCGAAAAAUGUAUAAGAUGAAGUAGAAGUCGGAGACGAUGAGGAAGAAAGAAAAGAUGUAGAAAGGAAGAAGAAGAUGUGACAAAAAAAAACCGUAAAAAUAAGAAGUAAAAGAAAACAUUAGAAUGAUAAAGGAGGAGGAGAAGAAGAAAAAACAGAAGGCAACCAAAAAACAGGAAAAAGAUGUGAGAAAAAAAUGGGGAGAUUAAAAAGAAUACAAAAAGAUAAUAAAAAAAAUAAAAAAAAAAUCAAAGAAGAGGAAAAAUGAAGAAAAAAAUUGCAUUUGUUUUAGUUUAUUUGAUUUAUGGGUUUUAUAUUUUUUUUCAUUGGUUUCAUAUACUUAAUUUGUUGCUUUUUGGAUUUUUAAUUAUGAAUGAUGUAUACUUUUUAGGUUAAUUUUAUUUUAAUUAGGUAUAUCUCAAAUGAUUGUUUUAAUUUUCUUUCGUUUAUAACAUAAGAUUUUGUUUUCUAUUUAUGAAACUUUUCCGCCUGCACAAAACCUGUUUUUUUUGUAAAUAUGAAAUCAUCUAAUCACUUUUUUUGACCAGUUGAAAUGAUUGUUAUCAUAAAAAAAAUCUGAUGAAUAAGCUACACUGUCAAAAUUAGUCAGCUAGUAAAAGUUCAGAUCAUUUGGUAUCAAAUCAUAAACAGAAGCUCUGAAUGGGAUAUGGGAAAAAAGCAGAGCAUCUGUCAAAAAGGAUGAAUUGCAAAUAUGUAACCACAUGACAUAAAAAGACUACAAAAGAAAAAUAAUAUUUUAAUUCUUAACUGCAUGCAGAUCAUUUUUCCGUAGAAAAGAAAGGCAUGCACGGACUGCACAACUUUCCCACCAGUCCGCCUGAUCUGCAACAAUUUUCUAAUUUUUAUUUUAUUUUAUUUUUCCAAUUUCAGUAUAAUAAAUCACUUCUUUCAUGCACAACUUACCAUUACCACCAUUUCCUUAUAAUUCUUUCACACUGAAGUAAAAAGGUACGUUCCUUGUAUUUGAUAUUUCUUUGUUUUUUGUUGUCAAUUACAAAUGUUUAAAUAAAUAAUUGUCCUACAUAUUGUUUCAUAAACAUGUUCUAAUAUGUAUGUAUAAUUUGAUAUACAUGUCCAAUAGUUUAUGGUAAAUAUUUUAAUUAUUUUUCUUUGUAAACACAAAAAAAAUAAUUCAAAAUUUUUACUAUAGACAUAUAUAUAUAAAAUUAUUAAUACCUGCUUAAAAAAAUAAUUCUUAUUAUGAAAUAUAGAUAUUCAUAUAAAUUAUUAUAAUAAAUUCAUGCAUGCAUGUUAUAUAUAUAUUGUUUAUAAAAUUGAUAUAUAUAUAUAUAUAUAUAUAUAUAUAUAUAUAUUUGUCCUAGGCACAUAUUCAAAUACAUGCAUGUGGUUCUUAUCUUUUUGAAGUUAGAUUUUUAAAAAUACAAUUUUCAAGUUUCCUUAAAAACAAAAUCAAAAGAAAAAAAAUAAUUAUGAUAUGUACACAUUUAUAUAAAUUGUAAAAUUAGUAUAAUAAUUUAUGCAUGUAAUUUGAAAUUAUUCUAUACACUACGAAUGUCACUAGAUUGUUUUAUGACAUUGUGUGGUGAACUGGAAACUAGUUAUGGUUUAAAACCAACAUUAAAUGUAAGCAUUGAAGAGAGUGUAGCCAUAUUUCUGGGGAUAUGUGGGCACAACAAGGUCCAAAGAAGUGUGGGAUUGCGUUUUGGACGAACACAAGAGACAGUGAAUAGAAAUUUUUUUGAAGUGCUUAGAGCAGUUGAGUUACUUGAUUGUGAUUAUAUUAGGACUCCUACGAGGCAAGAACUAAGCCGGAUUCCCGAACGACGGCUGAUGAAACGAAAAUAUUGGCCAUAUUUUAGUGGGUUUGUUGGAGCCAUGGAUGGAGUUCACGUAUGCGUCAAAGUGAAGCCUGAAAUGCGAGGAAUGUAUUAGAGCCGUCACAAUUAUACAUCAUUUAAUAUAAUGGCUAUAUGUGAUCUGAAUAUGUUAUUCACCUAUGUUUGGAAUGGAGCACCAGAUUCAUGUCAUGAUACAUCAGUUCUCACUAUGGCGCAAGACAAUGAUUCCGAAUUUCCUUUGCCUCCGGAAGAUAAGUUUUAUUUAGUUGAUUCUGGCAAUACAAAUAAACAAGGUUUUUUGGCACCUUUUAGAUCUUCACGAAACAUGGUGGUCAGGUAUCAUAUGUCACAAUUCGAGAAUGGUCCUCCUCCUAGAAAUAAACAAGAAUUGUUUAAUCGAUACCAUACAUCUUUACGCUCGGUUAUUGAGAGGACUUUUGGCGUUUGGAAAAAAAAAUGGAGGAUUCUUUAUGAAUUUCCUAGAUAUGAUAUUCAUGUUCAGAAAAUAGUUGUAAUGGCUACAAUAGGACUACAUAAUUUUAUUAGAAUCUCAAACGUUUCAGAUGAAGAUUUUGUCGAAAUAAUGAGACGAAGAGCGAAUAACAUCAAGACCGAAGAAAAUGCUACAGAAGCCGCAGAAGAAGAAAAUAUUAUGACACACAUUAGGGAAAAUAUUGCAAAUUUGUAUGGGAAGAUCAAAAUACCCCAUAUUAGUUUAGUUUUUUCUAUUUUGUUUGAUGAUGUAUUUGCAUUUUUUUUUAUUUGUAUUAUUUUUAUAUUUUUGUAUUAUUCAAUUAAACAUUUUAAAUUAUUAAAUUUAUAUGAUUUGUAAUUAUUCUGCCCAUGAAUUGCAUUUGAUCUACGUGAUCUGUAUGAUCUGCAUUUUUUUUGUCGGCGUCACCAUUCGAAGCCAGAAUUUAUUCUCUUCUCAUUAGCUAGCUAAUGGGCCUUGUUCGGUUUACAAAUGUCGGGGGUGUGUUGAAUACAUUUUGAAAGCAAUGGGGUGUUAAAGUGUAAUAAAAAAGUCAAUGAGUAGGAUAAUGAUAUCCGAGCUUCCAAACAACGCUUCUCUGCUGUUUUCUUCCCCGAUCGCUCCUUCAAAUUCAACUUCAUCCUUCUCUAGUAUCUUUCCCUCUCUGAGAUUCAAUUCCUCCGCCAUGGACAGGACACAAUUGAUCUUGUUGGGAUUGCCGAUUUUCUUGUUUUGUUCUGAUCUCUUCAAUCUCUUCACUCCGCCACCGCCGAAAUCUCAGAACCACCCACCACCGCCUAUCUCUCAUCCGCAGCGUCCGGCGACUUUUGUCCCAGAAACCCUAGAUUUCCCAUCUCAGGUGAAUUCAUCGCUAGUUUCUCUUUUAUCCUUACUAAUCUCUCUCUCACGUUUCCGUUCUAAUCGUUCCUCUUUAUUUGUUAGAGUAGCAGUCAAGUGGUCUUGGAGGAAUUGGAUAUGGAAAUACCGUAGAGAUCAAAUUCUGCGUCUCCUGCUCUUACAAGUAUCUUACGAUUUCUUUCUAAGUUUUGGGUUUGAUCUUAUAAGUCGAUUUGGUUCAUUAGCUUUAGUCUUGUUCCUAAUUUCAACAUCUGCAUCAUCUUCACUAUUGUUUAGAGCUGAAAUGUUUUUGAAUUUAUCAGAUAUUUCGAUUUCCCAUGAAUGAAUGCUACAAGUUUAAUUCUUGAUAAUCCUUAUUGGACCUAGCUGCAUUUUGAAGUUUUCGGAAAUGAAAUUUAUUCGUGAUUUGAUAUGUUGGGUGCUACAUUUAUGUAUAAAUUGUAGAUUUUUGACACUUCCUAUUGAAUGACUGUUAAAAGCUGUGACCUUUUGAAUUAGCAUAAGUUGGUAUACUGAUGUGUAUUACUGCAGGAUUUGCACAUUCUUAGAGUUUCUUGUUUUGAUUUGCAGGGGAACUGCAGUAACAAUGAAGAAGAUGCUAGAGACGGCUUUUCCUGGAUUAGAAGUAGUGCUCGCAAACUACCCACCACCAGCGCCUAAACGGCUUCUAGCUAAGGUUGUGCCAGUUGCUCAGAUGGGAGUAAUUGGUCUCAUAAUGGGAGGUGAGCAUAUCUUUCCCAUGAUCGGGAUUGCACAGCCUCCUGCUUGGUACCACUCUCUGAGGGCAAAUAGGUUCGGAUCCAUGGCUUCUACUUGGCUUCUCGGUAACUUCCUGCAGUCUUUCCUGCAAAGUUCAGGCGCUUUUGAAGUUAGCUGCAAUGGACAAAUGGUCAGUUUUUUUUUAGUGUCUCUCUCUUACAGUAUCAGAUCACUUUCUGCGAUAAGCUUUAUAUAGAAAACAGACUUGUGCUGCUAUUGUGCCAAAUGUAUCAGUGUUAGUAUUAGUAAAGCUAAUCCGAUCUAAUGGUUGGUCUUUGCAGGUGUUUUCUAAAUUGAAAGAAGGUAGAUUUCCGGGGGAGAUUGAGUUGAGAGAUGUCAUCAGCAGAGCCCUGACGAAACCAUUCGUCACAGGCAGCUACUGAUUAAUCUCUCCGGCUAGAAGGUUCUGAAACCCUAACCCGAAGCUCCAUGGUAUAGACACAAGAUAAUGUGUUUAUGUCAAAAGCUAAUGUGCCAAAAUGUCCAUGUUUUUUUGUCUUAGCAACAACACCAUGUCUUGAUCUCCACAAAUUGUCUGAUUGAUAUACAUAGUUUACAUGGUUUUCUUAAAGAUUUUUGCUUUGCUACUCAGAUGAAUGGGAAUUCAACAAGCUCAAAACAGUUUUUUAUUACAUAUUUAUUCAUACUAAAAUAAGUAAAAGUCAAAGAGUUUUAAGGUGUUGUGUCAGCCUUUGCAUCGGUUGGAAAGCUGGGAUCGUGUCUGGUGUUAGCAGAUGGAUCACCAUAAUCCUCGAUGUUCACCAUCAACGAUUUCCUUGCAAUCCUUGUCUUUCCAAAUUCUAACAAAUAAAAACCAGUUCAAUUUUGGGUAAACCCAUAAACAGAAUCAGAACAUCACAUAUUUCUAUCAGUGUUCAAAAAAUCCGCCUAGCCGCCGAGACGACUAGGCGGCUAGUCGGGGUUAACCGACCUAAUUUUCAUAAAAUCAGUGAAGUAAAUCCGGUUUAGUAAAAAACCGGAUCAAGUCGGAGAAAAUCGGAAAAAUCAGACCAAAUCGGUAAAAUCGGCCAAAUCAGACUAAUUAUUUUUAUCAUUUUUUCAGUCAAAUUUUAAGGUUUUGGAUAGUAAACCAAUAUCGGUUUACAGAGAGAGAAAAAAAAUUUGAAAUAUGAAUUAGGGUUAAUAACUUAAUAUAAUCAUCCUUGUUUCUCCCUGCUACUUCACUUUCAUAAGCUACAAGAGGCGAUCAUUAUUCUCUAUUUAUGAACUUUACAAGUUUGUUUAAUCUUCUCUUUAUCUAUCUGUACAUAUUAUAUAACUAUAUUGUAUUCUUUUAAUUUGUCUUUUCAUCUUUGUUUACUUUGUUUUUGUUUGUGCUCUGUUUUAAGUUUCAACUUUCAAUUUUAACGAUGAACCUAGAAGAGAUAUUGAUUCCGACGAUGAAAAUGAUACAGCUAUUGAUUUUGAAUUUGAGUCUAAAAAUGAGCAGGUGGUGGAUAUAUAUGGAUGUGUUUAAAGAAUAAGUUAGAUAUAUUUCUCUUUGCUUUAUAUCUUUAAAGUUUUUAGAUUAAAACUUAUUUUAGUUUGAAGAAUUUGAUGAUUUUUAGUUUGAUUUUUUUGUUAAACUUUAUUCUAUAAUUUUAUUUAUUAAAUUUUCUUACUUUUUCAUUCAAACAUAAAUUUUGAUAAAAUAAUUUUUAAGAAAACAAUUAAAGUUUUUUUAAAAAUAUGAUAUAUAGAUAGAAAAUUUAUAAAAAUUAACAAAAUUUUUGCUAACGCCUACGCUCUGCCUAAUCUCCGACUAAUCCGCCUAAGCGCUAGUCUCCUAUUACCUGCCUAGCCACCGCCUAGCGAUUUUUUGAACAUUGAUUUCUAUAAGUCAAAACAUGAAGUUGAAGAAGAAGAAGGAAUUGAAAGAGAUGAGACCUGAAACAGAGAGAGUGUUGCGUGCAGAAGAUGUAACAAGUGGAAGGGUUAGUAUGAGGAACAAAAGAAGACGAAUUCCAAAACUCAUCUCAGUUUUGCUUUAGAGGUAUAUGUGUGUGUCGUAUAUUUUAUAGAUACGGCGAUACCAAAAUCAAAUCUGCUGUGUUUAUCCAAAUGCCAUCUGUUUUUUUUUUUCACGUGAACAAGAGACUAAAUAUUAAAGCCUACUUCUUGCGUGUGUGUUACAGAACAGAGUUAGUUUGGGAGAUGAAAUAUUAAUGGUCAGAAGAUGACCAAGGAAAUAAGAACACCUGGUUUAGCAUUGUCGUCACACUAGGCACAUCAGCUUCUUCGAUGGUUACGAUUUACGAAGUUGCGCCUUGCAUUUUAUUCACUCUUGUUCCCUCUGUUUCUUGCCCUUAAGGCUUAGAUCCAAUUUCAUAUACUCUCUAGAAGAGAACUUAUACACUCAAAGCUACCACUUCUCUCUCUCUCUCACACAGACACCACCGAAAAGCUCAGUUAUUUGCAGAAUACUUUUCAGACUGACUUUUUGGCCUGUAUAGCUUUAACGGACUUAAUCCUGAUUUUCUGAUAUACUUUGUUGUAACAGUACUAACAGAUCAAUAGUGCAAAAUGUAAUUUGGUUAAUGCGUUCUAUAUAAUCUGAUAUCCUCUUCUAAUGUGUAGCUAGUUGUUAAACUAAAUUAGGUUAAAAUGUGAAGUUAUUUAUAAAGAUUACCAAAAAUUAAAAAAAAAAGUUAUCUAUAGGGUAUCAGUUUCAUGGGAAGUUGACUUAAACUUAAAGAGUUAUGGUGAAAAGAAUCUCCAAGUUUUAAAACAAUCUCGAAUUACAUAUAUGGAUUUGCAGGACAAUGAGAGGAGAGUUUUGGAAGUGAAACCCCAAGUAUAGUUGUACACUUGGAGCUAUCCUUUCUUAAAAAUGUCAGUCCCCAAUGCAAAAUCAAAUAAGUAGAUAAAAAAAAAAAAGCAAAAUACAACAAUGGAAAGAAAGAAGCUGGUUAGUUAAUUGGUCGAGAACCUGAAACGCAUGAGCAGCAUUGUCGAGCUGCAUCGCUCUCCUUUUUCAUCAUAAAGUGGAACAGCUCGAAUCCCUUCUUUUAGUUCAGAAACUGGUAGACAUGUCUGACCUCCAAAUCCAUCUGCAGCUAUUUCGUGGUCGUAGACUUGGAUAUUAAGCAAAGCAAGGUCAGGAUAGGUCAAAGGGAAUGUGAAUUCUUCUCCCCAAGUAGGUAUCCAUUCUCUGUUCUUUUUUUCUGUUUUCUCUUUCUUUGACAUCGGCCAUUCGUUGCUCUUCACCGUCGUUCUUUUAAUCUUCUCAUCAUGGGGUACACCGGCAAUACUGAUCUGUGCAUUUUCGACAAAUUAAAUGAACCAAAAUCAAACUCACUUCAAAUAAAAAAAGAGAGUUAAUUAUGACCAACCAAAUAGAUUUUACCAAAACAUAUAACUCUGGCUUAGUCAGUCGACCAAGCUUCUUGAAGUCCUUGCUCCAUCCAUCUCCCAUGUAGACUUUGACCUGCAAGAUAUAAUGUCAUAUCUUGAGUGAGAAAAUGGAAGCAUGGGACAAAGAAUUGUUGUAGCAUGACAAACCUUUAACGUCUUCUUCACCUCAGGAUUUACUGUUGGAUAGAAAACUCCACCAGGACUUGCAUUCAAAAGAAAAUCUGGUUUCUUGACAUAACCGCACCCUCCAUUCGCUCUAAACAUCCCUUGCAUCAGCCAAAGUUUUUCUUUGUCCUCCUGUAAUUACGUGGUAAAAGCACGUUUGUACUCGUGACAUGGACUCCAAAUAGGUCCGAAACAGACAAAUAACCUAUUUAUAAGCUUCACUGCUUUAGCGAACACAUGGUUGACUCCACAUAGCGCACACAUGCUCAUGCAAUAACCACUAUACAUUCAAUAGUAAGAGAGACCAGAAAAAAGAUUGGAGGCACACCUGCCUGCUUAGUGCAAUCAUUUGAGCACCAUGCAUCCAAGCUCUCUGGGGUUUAUAGGGGGCAUUCAUAAUUAAUUUUCCUUUUUUUGGACGUGUCCGCAAGAAUCUCUUUUGGGUGAAGCUGUUUAUUGCCAAAUCUUUUUAAUCAGAUAACAUUUCAGUACUCGCAACCCAACUACUGUCACCCUGUUGAGAUUCAGUUGUAAAGGUUUUGGUAUAUUAGACAUACAUUUAUUUUGCUCCACAGUACCUUAUAACAUCUGUCUCGUACCAUCCUGGCCGUUGGAUCACCUUGUCUGUUGUUAAUGCUUGUAGUAGCAUGCCGCUUGGCUCCACAGCAUGAAAGGCAACAAGACUCUGGUAAUUCUGAUCUGCCGCUUCCUGCUGUGUCUCAUUCCCAUUCUGGACGACAACCGUUUGGUCAUCAUCAUUGGCAAAUAACAACUCUUUUGGGGGUCUUCUGGAUAUUAGUAUUUUAUUACGCAGGUCUGAUGGUGAAGGAAACUCCCCUAACCUAUGAGGAUCAUGGUAAUAUACCAUAUUACCAAAUAUCUCAUUUAUCAUCUACAUACACAAAAUACGAAUUCAUACCCAUGUCAAUAUAAUCAUACAUACAAAUGUGACCAGAAAUUUAGAAUAUGUAGCAAUAAUCAUUGAGGAAAAUGGGGAGAAGAAGAAGAUUCUAAACCUGAGUAGCUUUGGACUGAAGAUCCUGUGUCAAGCCGUCCUUGAAAGUAAUUAUCACAGGAUAACUUCUUCCGGGGGUAAAGGCAUGAUCUUUAAUAGAAUCCAAACACGUUUCCAAUUUCAGAGGAUUCUUCGAGUUCCUAUCAAGUUCAUAAUGAAAACAAAAGCUCAGAGCAAGAUCAAUCAAGAAUGGACAAAUGGGUCUGCACAAAUUCAUGAAUUAAGUAAAAUAGGAGAAACCCAAUACCAGCGAUGACCGCUAACGCAGAUGCCGUCUUUACCACACGGCCUCAGAUCUAGUUCAACCACCCUCACACCCUGUUUAAGCGCAUCAAUGAUAGGCUCAUUGCUGUAUCUCUCCAAGAAUUGGCUCCCGGUAAAGUAGGAUUUGAGGCUGGUGUGAAUGAAGUAAUGCGAUAACGGAGCAUUCAUGUCAUGAUGGACCUGAAAAAAACAGAGUCAUACUUCUUACAAAGUGUGUCCUUAUUUUCAAGCAGGAAACUCACAAAGAACCAAAACAGAGUCAACUCGCAGGCUUCCUUCAAGCCCAUAUUAACAUCACUAUUUAGGGUGAAACACAACGCUAAGGUUCGAUAUAUGGCAGAAACUGGCAAACCCAACGGUUUUAUUCAUAUUUAGAGUAAUAAAAACUUCACCUGGUCACCGAUCGGCGGAUUGUGCUCCGUAGAAAACAGAUACUGGUUCAAUUGGGCAAGCCCGAGACGAUUGUCCGUGUCGUUGAACACGCUGAAAUCGGGAAUAUCAUCUCGUCUGAGUUUCAACUCCGCCGCGAUUUUCUUUGCCGCCUUCUCUCCGGCAUCGUCUUCAUCCUUUUCAGUACCCAGCAAUGUCAUGAACCUCUGCAGCUUCUCGGGCAUAUCUUUUUUGUAGCCGCCGAAGUUAUUCGUGAAACACAUUUGGAUGAGCUCCUUCUGAGGAGUAGUGCUCUUCGACAAAAUCACCAUAUGAAGGUGGGGAAACCAAACCAAACCAAACUUAUCCCUCGUUUUGUCUAUUUGUUCAUUCUUUAUAAAUUCUGUAGCAUCCGAUCAAAACUGUGAGACAUAAGAAAAAAAUCGAGUAAAGACUUCUAAUGGAUAUAAGAAAUGUUAAUGCAAGUCCGACACUACAUGGAUCGGUUCUGUUAGGACUUAGGAGAGAUGAUCGAAUUGAAGACAAUAACAUGAAAAUGAUUGUAUUAUUCAUUCCAAGUCAAAAGUCGUUACAUACAUCUCCUUGUAUGAGGCAGAUGGUUCUGGUAAAGACAACCGAACAAAAUUACAUGUGGUUAACACUAAUCGGUUCUCUUAAUCUCAAUAUCUAAUAGGUUCGAUUCAAUAAAGCCUGAUACAAUUUCAUUAACAUUUUUUUUUUUUUUGACAAAGUCAUUAACAUGAAGUCAAGAAAACGGAGACAAUAAUUAAAAGUAAAUAAAUAGAUGUAGUUGAUUAGUCCUGCAUGUGAGAGAUUCCUUUUCAAACCGAACUUCGCUUUGUUUGACUUUCUGUAAGCUUAUCUCAAACUCCUUACCAAACGGAAAUCUAAUUUUAAAUCGAAACGUCUACCUCCAAACAGUCAUAUAACGAACUCCAUCUUUUCUACUAAAACAAAAGCAUGUUUUAUGUACAAACAUAUUUUAUUUAGUUUUAUACUAUUUUACUUCUAGAUAUUUACUAUUUUUAUUAUCAAACAAAAAUUUUAAUUUUAUUUAUCUAUUUUUUAUUUCCAAAAACUAAUAAAAUAAUAUACUUAAAUUUUAUCUUUAAAAUUAAUUUCGAAAUUUUCUAAACUUUAAUUCAAUUAGUUUAAAUUUUCUUAGAUAAAGUUAGAAUUAAUCAUCAAAUUUACAAAAAUAAGUUGUUAUUAUUUUUACAAAAUAGUAAAUAAGAUAUUAACUUAUUUUUUUUUAAAUAUCCAAAUUUAAAUAAUAUUCUUAUAAUGAUAACGAUAAUAAAAAUAUAUUAUUAUAUAAUUUUUCAUAAUUAAUUAUUUUAAAAUUUUAGAUAUUUAAAAUUAAAAAAUUAUAUAUAUAUAUAUUAUAUGGUAAUAUGAACAGAUAAUAUAAAAUUAUGUUGUUAUGUUUAUAGUUUUUUUCGGAUUAAUCGAAUGAAUAGAUUAAAAUUAUGUUUUUAUAAUCAUGAUCAAAUUUAUUAGAAAAAAUAAAAUUUUAAAAAAUAAUUUUUAUUUAAAUAUAAGAAUAAAUUGUAUUAUUUAUUAGAAAAAUAUUAUAUCUAUAAAAAUAUGCAAAUUAUAUUAUAAAAUUAAUUAAAAAAACAAAAUUUUCUGUGUGAACGCACGGGAUAGAAUCUAGUUAGUUUUCUAAAAAAAAAAGAUUAGGAUCACGGAGAAAAUAUAAAGAUGAGUAUUUGCACGCUGUAACGCAAAUUAACACCGUAUUGAAAACAUAACCUAUCAUUGUAUUCGACACUCUGCCUUUUUCAUAUAUACGAGAAAGCCGUUGAACCUUGCUAUACUCUAGCUGUUAGUAGGUGCGAUAAGAGUCACCCUACGUUUGUAGAUGUAAUGAUGUAUAUUUCAAAUUUCAAAUUUCAAAUUAUUUUGGAUGAAAGAGUGGUUUUCUCCCGAAAAUCAGAGUUUAAUUAUUGUUCAGGAAUCAUUUUGGAGAACACCCAUUCUAAUAUAUCUAUCAUCAAAAUCUUACAGUAGAAUACAAUUCCGCAGGUGUUUUUUAGUCAGGGAACACAGAUUUCAGAUCAAAUUGGUGAAAGAGGUCAGAAUUUUUAUUUUCUGCGUCCAUUUUAAUAAUAUCCUGUUUGAACUUUCUCUAUUCUAAUUCUGAACCGUCGCAUUUAGGUAUGGCUACUCCUGAAUUUUCUUCUAGAAUUUUUGCAGCCGGCGACGAACCGUCCAGUGAAAGAGUCAACUCAUACCACAAAGCCAAAACGAUCAGUAAUAUUCUAGAUGUAAUAGACGAAGAAGAGAGAAGUUAUCUUCGUAACUCGCCUUUCAGGAAGCUCAUCGCCACGGCGAAGAAACUGGCGUUCUCCAGGAGUUUUGAUCACUACAUCAUUACCCGACUGCUCAAAGUCAACAAAAAGCACGAAAUUUGGAUCUUGUUUGCUUGUCGGCCUAUUAGGGUUUCACUCCGGGAGUUUGCAAUAGUGACCGGUCUUCCCUGCGGCAGGUAUCCCAAGAGAUCGAAGAAGAAAAAAGGAAUCCGGUCAAGGAGAAACCAAAUUGGCCUGAUCUGUUCGGAAAUCUCAAAGUAUGCAGCGUCGAUUUGGCCACGAAGAUGCUAAAAAAGAGAACUAUUGUGGAUAGAACUACACGACUGAAGUACACCUGCCUUGCCAUAACCGGUGGCGUUCUGUGUCCCACCAACCAUCGUUAUAAAAUAAUGUAUGAUCAUAUCGAGUUAAUCAGGGAUCUAGGUGAGUUCUUUCUUUACGCUUGGGGUCGGCUUGGCUUCGAGAUGCUUAUGGAGAAGUUUCUCCGCCGUGGCGAUUAGGGAGAAGAAAGAAAAUGAGAAGUUAAUGGAGUCAGUUUCUGGCAUGACGGCUGCAGACAAAGGGACUGCUGGAUAUUCCAGCGUGCCAGAGGAUUUCUCAUAUAAUGGCUUCAAGGACCAGUUGGCAACUAUUGAGACCUCACUUGCUGAAGAGCUGCUGAAAAUUGGAGUCCUUGACAAGGUAGUUUGUGGGUUUGAAGAAAACCUUAAGACCUCACUAGACCAGAAAUUUACAAAAAUGUAGGAAGAGCUCGUCUCCAACAUCCUUGGGUUCUUAGAUAAAUUACUUUCUGCUGGGGGAAAACAGAUGUAGGGAAGCAGAAGGCAAAUCCAACCAAAUCAGGGACCAAUUUAAAUCCCACCGGAGCAUCUUGAUCUGUGAGUGCUAGCCCAUGUCUGCUUAACGCCAACAAAGAUGCUGAUGAGGCGAUUGCUGGUGCCAUCGUAAUGGUGAAUGCUCUCUCGCAAAUGGUGAGUGCCUUGUUUGCUUGAGGUAUAAUUUUUGUUGUAUUCUUAUUUGGUUGAGGUGUGUCUUACAGUGCAAUUCUAGGUCGAUGGGGUACACGACAAGAAUCCAGCCGGUGGUGAAUGUAAUUCACAUGAAACAGCAGUGGUGGGGAGCAAGUAUACGUUGCAGGCGGGUUCAAAAGUUGGAGACAGCAACGAUGUGCUAGAGAAGAACCAGGUAAUUCUCUUUUGAUAAUGUUAUUUUUAAUGUCAGAACUAUUAUUUUAUUAUAUUGUUUUGGCUGCAACUGUAUAGUUUGCGGAUACUAUAGUUAAUUGCAAACCAACCAAAUUGUUACCCGAGCUCUGCACUAAGCGUUUGCGUUUAACGGGGGUACAAUGAAAAUGUUAGAAAACUAUUUAAUUUGUUACCGAUUGGAUGGUAUAGUUACAGAUCUAUCUAUGCUAUUAGAUAUCUAUAUAAUUCAUCUAAGUAAAAUAUUAAAAAUGCAGGGUAAUCACGCGGCCAAACAAUGUGGAGAGUUUGUUGAGACUAACAAGGUAUCAUAUAAUCAUAUAGCGGUACGUUUUCGUAGAUAUCCUGGCAUUGUAAAGUUAAUAUAUUAAUUAUAAACUAUUCACAGGAAGCAAGUGAUGCAGAUGGUGGGGAUGAUUUCAUUGAUGAUGUAGCGAAUGCUAAUGUCGGCCUCCGAAGAGAGAAAAAACCAAGGAUUCAGAAUACUGCUUUUACCGGUUACCAGGUCGAUACAAAGAUGUUGGCGUCCACCAUGGAGACGCACCCAUUUUUAUGCACUCCCGGUCAGCAGAGACUAUAUUUCGAGAAGUUUGCCCGGCUACAUUUAACGGUGAAAGCUCAAUGGUAAGUAACACAUUCAUCUCAGUUACCAGUUUCGGCAGUUUUUUUAUAAAUGCUACCCUAUCGCAAGGUAAUCAGCCUUGGGGAUGGAUCGUCUGUUAGUGGGAGGGAUGUGGUAGAUAUUGCAGAGAGGACCAAGUUCAUGGCGCCUAAGAUAACACCUCUUGUUCAGAAAUUUAACUUUGGCAUGGACGACCCUUCUCACAAGCUAACUUCCUAAAUGCAGAUGAUGGAUGCUCUACUCCUAUAUGUGCGGGCAGUUUUCAACAUGAUUUAUCCGAACCCAUCUUACAAUAAAACUGAGUUUAUGGAUACAAAAUUUGUUUCUUAGCUGAUGAAGUCCUGGGGUAAGUUUUCCAAGCUAGCUCCCAAAGACAGACAGAGGUUUGCCUUUGGAGAUGCCGUGAUGGAACAUCUCGAAACUGAAACACCGGAAUAACCAACCACCAUACAGUUAAUAAGAUAUCGUUAACUAUAUUGUUAAUUUAUCAUACAGGUGUUAGUGGACUAAUAGGUCAGUUAUCAUGUAUGGGUACAAGGUAAUAAUAAAGUUGUUGGUUAACUAUAAUGUUAACAGAACCACCUCUGAUUAGCAGACUAAUAGACUAGUUAACGAUGAGAAAUGAAAAGGAAAUAGUACUCAUUAACUGGAAACAAACACAGAGGGGACAUUUUGACAUUGCCCGAAAUAUAUUACAUCCAACUCUUUCAGAAGUCAUUAUGGGGUCCUGGAAUUAGAUAAUAUUACACAACAUAGUUCGGAAAUUUAAAAAGCCCCAUCAACAAAGAAGCAUAAAAAAAACAAACUUUCUUGCUUCAUCUACUUGUCCCCUCCGUUCCAGGCUUCCUAUAUAGGCACCUUACAUGUGGCGCGAUUGUGGCCGAAGCCACCACAGCGACUACAAACACGGAAUAGACUUGUCUGGCCUCCCUGAAACAAUAUUAUAAAGUCAAUUUAAUAGAUAAUUGUUUUUUAGCUCUCCAAUGCAAACAUGUCAAGGAUAACGGUUGUUUACCCCAAAUUUGCCGCUGGAGCGGAUAUGUGUUUUGCGAGGCCUCCUUGGGGGGUGUCUAGUACGAGGUGGUAGCAAGUUCAAGCUAGAGAAGUCGCCAAUCGCGACAGUAGGAGUAUCGGCGGUGACCGGAUAUAUACUGCACUCAUACGCCUUUUCUAGUAGCUGGUGCUGAACUCUGGGGCCACCAACAUGUCUACCCUAGUUCCGAAACAAAUAGCAGAAACUACCGCGUGUGGGCAAGGUAGACAUAACAUCCAUAACUCAUUAUUAACUCAAAUGGCACUUGGUUUUUAGAUUGACGAGGAACGGGACACCUUCUUUGUUUCUCACCUCAAAUUCGUCGUUAUUAACUCUAUGGAACGAGAAACCCGUAGACAUCUCAAAGUUGGUCGCAAGAAUCUCCUCAACCUUCGGUGUUAGUGUUGUACCACAAUCAUUAGCAGCUAAUAGACGGGUUGUAAACCAUUCCUUCAGUUUUGCGCGUAUGCAGUCCACCAGAGGGACGAUGGGGUAAUCACGGGCAUUGACAAGCACAUUGUUCAAAGAUUCGGCGACGUUGCUUGUCAUGAGAUUGUAACAGACGCCUGGAAAGUGUGACCUUUUCCAGUGGUGAUACCCUAUAGCAGUUAGGUUGCUUGCGCAUCCAUUAUCAAUUGAACGUAUCUUCUCAAAAUACUCAUAGAACUCAGAAAGGAGAAAUGUUCUUACUGCUUUUGAAACUAGGUAACUGAGUUGUCUUUUCUUGAAAAUAGCUUGGACGUUUCGCUGUAGGUGAACCACGCAUGCACAAUGGAAGGACUUUGGGUACACCUACAGACAAGUUUAAUAUGACAUAGUUACAAUAUAAUCGUUAUCCAUAAUGAUAUAUGUUAAUAACCAUACAGGUAAAGGAUAUCGUUAACUAUAUUGUUAAUUGAUUGUACAAGUGUUAGCGAACUAGUAAUUCAUCUGUUAUGUUGUGGGAAAAGGUAAUAAUAAAGUUGUUAAUUACCCUAUACGAUUGCAAAUAUAUGGGUAACAACCAUUGUAUAUCGCUAACAUGUAGUUUAGACUAUAACUAAACGAAUAGUGCAUAACGGUCGAAUUAGAGAUUGGAGAAUUUGAUUUACCUUUCGCAGUGCUGCAUAAAUGGAGUUAUACCUGUCAGAAAUGAAGACCAACCCCUCGCCGGAAGUAUGGUGGUUGUCUGCUUACAGCUAGUUGUCAAGAUGGCAACUACCAACUGUUUCCAUUACCUUUUGGCAUAGUAGACAGUGAAAACGAUAAGGCGUGGACAUGGUUUUUCCGUAAGUUGGUAGAAGUGAUACUAGAUGAGCUCCAUCAACCACUAUCACCUGUUGCAUGUAUGGAUACCCGUUGAGGCAUGAUCCUAGUGCAAAAAAAAAAAUACUUAAACUGUUGACUGAUGUCGAUUUUGUUGUCUGUUUCCAAAGAAACGGUGCUUCCCGGGUUGGAGAGAACGAGCCGCUGCAGGAAUGCGGGGAGCACCCGGUAUGAUGAACCACCUGUCCUUAGACUUCCAUCUCUGGCUAACUCCCGAGACCUCCACGCCUUCCAGUAUGAGAUCGGGAGAUCGUGUUCAUCACGCAUCAUGUCACGAAGCUCAUUUAGCCUUGGACCAACCAGACCCCCAGCGUAUCUGCUCCUCACCAUAUCUCCAAUGACUGCGGUAGUUGUUUGGGGGUGGUAUAGUCCACGUUCAUCAACGGUGCACCAAUGAUCCAGCGAAGCCCUUCUUAUCUGGAACCAUUCGAUGCCGUCCAUCCUCACUGCAUAAAUGUACCAUGGAAAAUUCUAUCCCACACAUUCCAACACCAUAAGAUUUGGUGUGCAUCGACGGUGGUGGUAGUGGAACUUUUUGGAUAUGGCGUAAAGCGACAUGUGCAGCUUGAAAGCGUUCUGGUUCUUAAUACCAUACCCACGUACAGUAAUCCGGGCUUGUUAACCACAUCACCUGAGAAAGGAAUUGUAAUAAAGAUUAUUAAGAUCUAACAAAGUUGUUAGCAUGUCCAUAAAGAAAGUUACACGAUAAUACCAUACAUCACACAUAACAGUUACAAUAGCAUAACAACGCAAGAAGUAGUUUUCAAUAAAUAUCUACUCACAGAUGUAGUCGCCGUCUUCAUCGGAUAAUUUCUCCUCCUCCACCAUUACCGGCGGUGGCGGCUGGUUGCUACCUUCACCGGCGCAAAUCAUAGUCAAUCCGAGGAAAGAUCCGUCAUCAUCGUCUGUCUGCAUUGUUUUCGCUUUAUCAGCGUUGGUGGGGAUGUAGUCUUUUUCAGCGCUUGUUGAACCUGACGACAUCGCCGAUCAAUGAAUCAGUGCACCAAGGAAAUUGUAUUUUAGUUUAACAUUUUUGUUUAUAACUUUUAGUUCAGUUUUUUUUACCUUCAGCCAUUGUUGUCCUCAACAAGAGUUUUGCGACUGCUGGAGUUACAGUGUUCGGUUGCAAAACUGUGGUGGGGUCACCAUUUAUUACCUCGAGGUUUGAGUUCUCUAAGCCCGUUUCUGGGAGGAGAAGGUCGAACUCUUCUGAGGAGGACUUUGUUGAUCCGCCAUCAUCUCUGGCCGCCGGUCGACGAGAAGCCUCCAGUUGAAUGAGUGCAUCAUGGACUUUCAGGAUGACACACGUCUUGUCUUCCGUAAAGAUCUCGUGGAAGACACUUUCAGCAAUCUGCACCGUCGGUCCGCCCAGGAGCCCUUCCCAAAAUUUUUUAACAUCGUCAAUAUCACCACAAGUUUUAUCAGCUAAAUGUCUGAUUUCUACGCUAUUUAAAGUUUUAUCAAUGUAACUAGAGAGGUUACCCGAUAACGCCAGAUAUUUACGGUUAAAUCCGGGAGACGCACCGAUAACUUGACCAGUAGUCCUUUUGAUGGAACGAUACCGCUCAACAUUCUCUUCUCCUAUGGUCACAAAUAUUGUGAGAGUCUCCACCUCCACGUGCAAAGCCAUGAAGAGAUCAACAUCGCUAUUGUUGAUGAUGUAGAAAGGAACUGUCUUUCACCCUAGAGGUACAGACAUGCUUAAUGGGAACUGAUAGGUCAUUGCCAUCAUUGUGUGUGGACUGAGACUGUACUGGGCUCUCAUCAUUCUGUCGAGUGACUCGAAAGUUUCUCGCUCAGUCGUCACUUUCCUCUCUCGGUGGUGUCUGUCUCAAAAUCCCACUCACCAUUUGGAGAUCGGUUCCACACACCUCGGGAAUAUUUCACCAUGAAACCAUUAAAUAGAAACAUAACGAAGCCCUAGUCAUAUAUCCAUAUUCAAAUCUCUGCAAUAUUAAAAUUAAUGCAACGUAGCAUUUAAUUAUGUCAGAGGUAUUAAAAUUUAAGUGCAUUUAAAGCUACAUAUUUGCGGUCAAGAACAAAAGCAAAAGAGACAAACACAUAAAAACAUAAACAAGCUAGAUUCAGUAGUCCUACCUUGUUUUGUUGCAUGGAACUUGACUUCUGUUUUUUUUUUUUCUGUUAUUGUUGGGAAAAAUCUAGUCAUUUGGGCUUGGCCCAAUAUGAUUAAAGUCCAGAAAUAACUAAGACGGUCUGCGAGAUACGCAUCAAGGGAUGGCCGUAAAAAUCGCACGCAGCGAUAAAAUUCAACAAAAAAGAGAAUAUUCCUAAGAGGAAAAGGAUAAGGCUGCUAAUUCCUACACGAACGAGGAAUAGGAAAACCUAAACGCGAACCCUAUAAAUAACAGGGAGAAAGAACCCAACAGACACAUUGAAAGAGUUUACAACAGAGAGAAGUUCCAGCAAUUCAAAGCGAGAACCCUAGCAGCAGCGACCAACUUCCUUAAACCCUAGACCUCUAAGAUCUUGACCGCUCAUUCUCUUAGCUGUUGUAAACGAAACAUACUAAUAAAAGAUCUUCGAUUGCUUGGUCUACUUUCUCUUUGUGCAUUUCGUAGGCUUGUUAAACGAAUCACAUAUUUUACCCCGAACAGUUUGGCGCUAGAGGGAGGGUUCAAAAGUUUUAACUACGUGAGACAUGACUGACGAAGGUAACCAAGCAAAUCCUACUGACAGCAGCCCUGCUAAUUACGAUGCUCAACUGGAGGCACUCACCACCCAGAUGAGGCAUAAUGAAGAACGACUAGCACAACUUGAAGCAGAAAACGCUUCAUUGAAAGAAGCGAAUGCCGCCUUGAAUGGUGACACCGACGUAGAUCCUCGCACCAGGUUUCGGACACGAGUUCCUCCAAUGUUACCAUUGGAUGGCAUUGUUCGAAUAACGGAUAACAGAUCCAUACAGCAACAUGAUAACGGCACGCAAGAAACUGAUGGAGCUCAUCCAACAGAAGACGUCCAGCUAAAUCACAUGAUUUCGAAGCGACUUGAUGCUAUGGAAGCCUUAAUCGGACGGCUUCCAGGAGUAGCUCCCCCAAUCACGAAAAGUGCUCCUAACUCUUACGUUGAUACACCGUUCACUGAUGCAAUCGUGCUGGUGGAGAUGCCAAGGAAGUUUACACUUCCCACAAUGAAGAUGUACAACGGAAUCACAGAUCCGGAUAACCACAUAGCACAAUACAAGCAGAGAAUGUUUACAAUAGCCAUUGCAAAAGAACUUCGUGAAGCUACCAUGUGCAAAGGAUUCGGUUUGAGUCUCACAGGAGCAGCUCUUCAAUGGUUUACAAACUUACCAAACGCUUCGAUCGACUCCUUUGCGUCACUAACAGACCGUUUCGUUGAGCAGUUUGCAAGCAGCAGAAAUCUGGAAAAAACGGCUGAUGAUCUUUACGAAGUCAUACAUAGAAAAGGAGAGUCGUUGCGCAGUUAUGUGGGACGAUUCAAUAAGGAAAAAAUGUCUAUACCAUCGUGUGUGAUGUCUACGACAAUCUCAGCUUUCAAAAGAAACUUGCUACAAAAUGGCGAUCUGUACAAGGACCUAAAGAAGUACCAAUGCAGAACAAUGGAGGACAUGCUAUCUAGAGCGUGGGCACAAAUUAGGUGGGAAGAAGAUCCUGCCUACGAUCAACGACACUCACCUCGUUCUGACUCGCGCGUGAUGAGAAACGAAAUGACAGCUAAGGACCAUAUCAAAUCGUAGAGGUACGUGAAUCAGGAGCAUAUAAGCUGCAAGAUAGGGAGGACAAGAUCCCCCCUAACAGCUGGAAUGCACUGCAUCUAAAAACCUAUUACUUUUAUAUGUUAUUUUUCUUUGAUUAGGCUUUAAAGCUUUGAUAGGCUGUUCAAUUAGGACUUUAUGGUUUUUCUACGCGCAGUCCAAAGUUUUAGUUUUGGUUUUCUACUGUCUUUUUAGUUUUUCCGCAUGAUCACGCAGAAUGUUUUAAUAAAGGUGAUUUUCAAAGAAAAUCAUGAUGAAAUAGAAAUUUUGCAGGCUGCAAAACAGCUACGCAAAGUUAAAAUCUCAGACUGUUAUAAUAGCAUAUCGAUCCAAUAGGCUGCAGAAAACAGCAUCCAGAAAUUUUGCAGGCUGCCAAACAGCUGCACAAAUUUCAAUUUCAGGCUGCUAUAGCAGCGUAUCAAUCCAAUAGAGUGCAAAAAGCAGCACCUAGAAAUUUUGCAGGCUGCCAAACAGCUGCGCAAAAUUUUAAUUUCAGAUUGCUACGGCAACACAUCAAUUUAAUAGACUGCAACAUAGCAGUAUACAAAAUUUUACAGGCUGUCAAACAGCUGCACAAAAUUUCAAACUGCUACGGUAAAUUAAUAGACCGCAUCAAACCCAAGAUUAUAUAGACUGCAAAAGCAGCAUGACAAUUAAAUAGGCUGCAAAAAGCAGCGUACAAUUUUAAAAGACUGCACACAUUUCGUAGGCUGCUUGAACGGUAUGCUAAUUUUUCAGACAGCUUAAGCAUCUAAUUAAUUGUUCGGAUUGCUUAUAAAGCAUGUUGGUUUUACGAACUAUUAAAGCAGCAUGUUAUUUUUUUCUGAUUGCUAAAACGCAUGCUAAUUUUUAGACUGCUUGAGUAUGCGGAAUUUUUCGGACUGCGUACAGCAGCUGAUGUACAUCUUUCAUGUAAGAGUUAGUUACGUGAGGUAUCAAAACGCCCAUGCAAAACUUAAUUCCACUAGUUGUUCGGGGCAACCCACAAGAAGAGGAUCUUGCGAAUUACUCAAGCAUCCAUAUACGGAUAAAAAAGUGCGUUGAUCUUUCUAUAUUGAAUGCAGCAGAAAACAUCACGUUCAAAAGGCGUGUAGGAUGCUAACUGCGGUGUGAAAUGGCAAUUGGUUAAAGCUGCAUGAGUGACUUGACAGGAUGUUAAACUCUGGCUUGCAUGCAAAUCAAGCAGUGAGUCCAUGGGCUCCACGCGGAAAGCUAAAACAGCAUGAGAAAUGAACCAUCAAUGCAAUUCAUGAUCGUCAUGGUAAAACAACAUGAAUUACCUCAUCUAAAGCUAAUGGCAAAGGUGGAAAUAAUGGCAAUAAUAAGAGAAGUAACCACAACAUGCCAAGAACGUCCCCGACAAAUUCAGAAUAACGACAAAAAAUAACAUCUCCGAUAAAGUCACGGGGCGAUCAUGAGUGGAGUUUACUAGCAAGAGCGUUCAUCAUGCGUUUAGCUCACAAAAAGUCAUAACAUUUAGAUAUAAUAUUAAUGGGGUUAAAUUGAACUUCAUUCCCAUAAAAAGUUCACGAGAAUGCCGAGGUACGUGGUUAUCCCGACCCGAAUGAUUAUGGUUUGCUACUCUCUAAUUUAUAUUAAUAUAAAUUAGAGAGUUGGGGGGGGGGGGCAAGUUGUUGGGAAAAAUCUAGUCAUUUGGGCUUGGUCCAAUAUGAUUAAAGUCCAGAAAUAACUAAGACGGUCUGCGAGAUACACAUUGAGGGCUGGCCGUAAAAAUCGCACGCAGCAAUAACAUUCAACAAAAAAGAGAAUAUUCCUAAGAGGAAAAGGAUAAAGAUGCUAAUUCCUACACGAAGGAGGAAUAGGAAAACCUAAACGCGAGCCCUAUAAAUAACAAGGAGGAAGAACCCAACAGACACAUUGAAAGAGUUUACAACAGAGAGAAGUUCCAGCAAUUCAAAGCGAGAACCCUAGCAGCAGCGACCAACGUCCUUAAACCCUAGACUUCUAAGAUCUUGACCGCUCAUUCUCUUAGCCGUUUUAAAGAAACAUACUAAUAAAAGAUCUUCAAUUGCUUGGUCUACUUUCUCUUUGUGCAUUCCGUAGGCUUGUUAAACGAAUCACAUAUUUUACCCCGAACAGUUAUCAUACAAAUUUUUUUUUUUUCUGUUUGCAGGUCUAACAAUGGCGUGUUCUGGGCUCCACCUGCUAAUACAUUAUAAAGCGGAGCAACUAAGCAGUAUAACCUAUACAUACGGAAAUCUAUCGAUAUGGCGCGGGGUCAAUGAAAUCUAUCACAUAUCUCAGCAUUAAAUGUUCUCUUCGGCGGGAAAUAACGAGUGGUUUACAUUGCAUCUCGCAGGAUAUCACCAGAUAUUUUCCCAUCUACUGCUCAGCUAAGCCACCCUAUUAAAAUCAUUAUGUCCCUAUUAGUAGCCAAAUGUGUAACAUGGCAGAGGUUAGCAGGGGCUUCGACAUAGUUUGUGGCAACCUCCAUAAUAGUAUUCCUAGAAAGUUAUUGGUCUUUAGUUAAGUCCUCAAUUUACACUCCUUCAAUGAAUAUUAGACUUAUUUACUCUUAAAAAGAUAUAUACUAUAAAAUCAAUAAACUGCUUAGUCCAAUUUAAUUAGAUUCAUAAAUUUAGUUAUCCAAAAAUUAUGCUUUAUAAACUGCAAUUAAAAAUCUAUAUAAUCGGAGAACUGGUGACAAACACCAUCAAAACUUAUGUUUUAUGCAAUUAUCCAAAAUAAAAAUUAAAAAAAUUGUAUUUCAAAAGAAAAAAUGGAGAGGUAAGUAAUCGGAAUAAGAUAAUUUUGUUAGGAACACUUGAAUAUAAGACUAGCUGUAUGUUAUUUGAUCAUACUCCUUCGACGAGUGUAGAGUUUUAAUCCGGUUCUUUUGAUCUAUAAAUCUAUUUCGCAGGUGUUUGUAAAACAGAAAUUGAAGAAGACAACACAAGAUUAGUCACCCAGAGUUAUUAAUAAGGCUAUGUCUCUGGGAGGGAAUGUGAUCCCUUAACUGCAUCCACUAUCGACUUCAAUUACAAAGUGCUUAAAACUUUGUUACAGAAAUCAAGCAUACUCAGGAAUCAAGAGGAAGACGAUAAUCGGACCGGAAUCUCUCACCGACAACCGCCUACUCUGACAUAAGUUCUGAUCACUCUCUCUCUCUCACUAUCUUUUCUCUUGCUUUCUCUCUCUAUAACAAAUUUCUCUCUCUUACUUUGUAAUCAUCUCGCGGGGAAGAAGAAGAAGACCUGGGUCAACUCAUCUUCUGACUUGGGCUGUUACAAUCACCGAGGCCCAAUAAUGGAGUUGGUACGCGGUUUGGGCCUUGAACCUCACAAACUCCACCUUUCAGACACAAUACCAACGACUCCGCUGAACCUUAAUACUCUCUGACCUUUCGAUAGUGACUCUCUGAUCGCGAUGACAAACAUCAGCCACAACUCCGCCGGUUGAUACAUCAACUCUGACACCUGAAUCUGACUAGAGGUAACCAGUGAAACUAAAAAAAAACACUCUUUAGUUUAGAGUUUUCUUACCUUCGAUUCAACUUCCUGCAACGACUAACACCUCUUUGUUGUCUUGCACGUUCGUGCAGCUUCUCCGACGAACAGAUCCUUUUCUUCUGCUGCUUAUACGAGCCAAAGUAAUUAUUUUACCUCCAGACUCGUACCUUCUCACACCUUUCAGCCUGUUUUAGAAAACCUAGAACAGCUUCUGCUGACUUCGACUUUCCUUUAUAGAUGCUCCACCUGUAACUGAAGAGUCCUUCAAUCUUCGUCCCUAUACUCACAGAUAAAUCUCUUCUCCUUCAAAUCUUUAAUUACUUCUCUCCUUAUACCAAUCAGAGCCAUACAAAACACAAGUUACUGACUUACCUGUGUUUCUUAUGCGUGCGAGAUCCUCUGACUGGUAGAGUUACUCGGAGUCGUCACCUCAUCAGAUGACGUUCACCAAAUCGCAGCAGAGCUGAAACUUAGGCCCAUGUAAGGCUUUAGUUAAGAAGUCUGCUGGAUUUUUGCUAGUGUGAAUCUUGUAGAGAACAACAUCACCAUCUGCUACUAUAUCCUGAAUGAAAUGAUACUUCGUAGCAAUGUGUGUAGUACGCUCGUGAUGCACAGAGUUCUUUGCAAGCCAAAGCACUCUAUGAGUCACAUUGUAUCUUCACACCCGUUGUUUUAAACCCCAACUCACCACAAAUACCCUUUAACCAAAUAGAUUUUCUCACAGCUGAUGAGAGGGCCAUAUAUUCUGCCUCUAUAGUUGAUAACGCCAUGACUGACUGUAGAUUAGAUCUCCAACUGAUUGAAUUUUUGCAAACUUUAAACAUGAACCCUGUCACUGAUCUUCUCUUGUCGAGGUCGGUGGCAUAAUCUGAGUCACAGAACCCAUAAAUACUGAAACUUGAACUCUUUAAGAAAGUAAGACACAGUUUAGAUGCACUUGAAAGAUAUCGAAGAUUCCCUGCUUAGACUUGUCAUAAAUUUACUAACCACACCUACAACAUAUGCUAAAUCGGGUCUCAAACCAAUCAUAGCAUACAUAAGACUCCUAACAGCACUAGCAUAAGGAACGUUCUCCAUAUGCACAGCCUCUGGCCGCCUUUCUUUCUUUGACAAGCUUUUCAAUUUGAAAUGAGAUGCCAAUGGGAUUGUCACCAAUUUUGCCUCUUUCAUUCCAAAAGCCUUUAGAACCUUCUCGUGACAAAACCAGAGUUCCCUUAUCUCUAUCUAGGAUAAUAUCCAUUCCCAAAAUACGAGAAGCCUUUCCCAAAUCUUUCAUUUCAAAUUCUCUUUUCAAGCUUUCUUUUACCUUUCUGAUCUCUGACAUGUCUCCUGAAGCAACCAACAUAUCAUCCACAUAUAACAAAAGAUAAAUUGCUUGAUCUGUCUGUGUGUUCCUCAUGUAUACACAAGAGUCAUAGCUGCUCUUCUGAAAUUUUUCCUUAUUCAUGAAACUAUCAAACCUCAAAUUCCACUGCCUCGAGGAUUGAUUCAACCAUAUAGUGACUUCCUCAGAAGACAUACCUUAUUCCCACCCUCCUUCUUAAUGAAACCCUCUGGUUGAUUCAUCAGAAUCCUUUCUUCCAAAUUACCAUUCAAGAACGCAGUUUUGACAUCCAGUUGCUCAAGUUCAUAGUCCCUGUUAACCAUUACUGACAACAUUAUCCUUAUAGACACAUGCUUAACCACCGGUAAGAAAAUUCAUUAUAAUCCACACCUUCCUUUUAUGAGAAUCCCUUAGCAACGAGUCUAGCCUUGUACCUUGGUUUCUCAACCCUUGGAAUCCCUGGCUUGAGCUUAAAAAUCCACUUGCAGCCGACUAACUUCUGUUUGUCUGGUUUGUCAAUGAGAUCCCACGUGUGAUUCCUUUUAAGUGAGUCCAUCUCUUCAUUAGUCCCAUUAUUUUUAUACUUCCAUUUCUUACUCAUCUUGGCUUCUGCAAGAAACCUUGGCUCUUCUGUUUCUAAAUCCUCAGCAGCAGACAAGGCGUAUGCAACAAAAUCCGAAUCCUCAUAUCUUGAAGGAGCUCUCACAUUCUCCUUUCUAUUCCUGUCUCUAGCUAGAAGAUAAUCAUCUAGAGACUAAUUUCCUUGACCUUCUGAAUCCUCUUCUGAAAAUGUUAACCCUUCUAUCUCACUGUCUGAACCUUCCGAGCUGUCUAAACUGUCUGUGCCUUCUGAGCCAGACAAAAUAUCAGAAGCUCCACCUUGAGACGAUGUCUCACCAAGCUCAAAACCUGAUGGUGAAGGUCCCUAAUCAAGUCACUACUGAAUGUCACCUUCUUAUCAUACUUUUUCCCUUUCUGUCUUUUUUCCUCUUAUGGUUCCUCAAUCUUGCUUUCCUGAAGAGUUUCCUUGAAUUCUUGAUCUUCAUUAAACACUAAAUUCCUGCUCGUAGUGCAUUUCCCAUCUUCUGAAAUCCAGACACGAUAACCUUUAACUCCAAACGUAUACCCCAUUAGAAUUCCCUUCAGUGCUCUUGGUUUUGUCUUCUCCUGAAACGUAUGAACAUAACUGAUGCAUCCAAACCUUAGAAGAUAUGAUAGGUCUUGUUUGUGACCUGUCCACACUUCUUCUAGCAUCUUCAAUUCAAUUGUAGAUUUUGGAGUUCUGUUUAUCAAUUAAACCGUUGUUGAAGCCGCUUCAGCCCAAAAUUCCUGACCCAACCCUGUCUCAGCUAACAUGCUCCUCACCUUAUCCAUAAUCGUCCUGUUCAUUCUUUCGGAUACACCAUUCUGUUGUGGUGUAUACGUACACGUCCUGUGCCUCUUAACGCCUGACCUUAUACUUCUUCUCAGUAUGCUUUUCAACUGCUUCUUUCCACCCCUUGAACUUAGAAAAUGCCUGAUCUUUAGUUCUAAGGAAAUAAACCCAAACUUUCUUCGAGUAAUCAUCCAUGAAGCUUAUGAAAUACUUGCAUCCUUCUAGACUUUCUAGAGUUGAUGGUUAUUCCCAUAAGUCUGAGUGCACAUACUCCAAUAUGUCAUUUGUUGUGUGCUUUGCCUUCGAAAAACUCUGUUUGUGAGAUUUACCUAACUAACAUCCCUCACAAAAGCUUAAAUCUCCAACUUCGUCCUUUGACAAGAACCCUUUCUUUACCAAAACCUCCAUCUUCUUCGAACUCAUAUGACCUAGUCUUGAAUGCCACAGACUCGUCAUAUCCUUCUUCGAUGUGGUAAGAUUUGCUUCAACAUUGGUCACCUGACAUUGGAGAUAUUACAAUCCUUCAUUGUAUUUCCCAGUGAUCACCUUUUGACCAUCCUUGUAGAAGGCAACCUCAUAAUCUUUUCCUUCAUACUUGCAUCCUGCCUUUUCAAGCAUACCAUAUGAGAUUAAGUUUCUGCUCAUGUUAGGCAUGUACCGUACAUCAGUUAAGAUCACCGCGGUACCAUCUGGAUUCUUAAUUCAAAUUUUACGAAUUCCUUAUACUUUGCUGUAAGUAUUAUUGGCCAUUAACACUUUUCCACCAUUGAUUUCUUUCAGAUCAAACAACACUUCCUUGUUUGGCAUGAUAUGAAAAGUGCAUCCAGAAUCCAUCACCCAUGCAUUUUUGGAAUCCUGCAUACUCACCGUGAUAACCAGAGGUUGUUUCUCUUCUGUUGCAAUUUUGGCGGAGGAGUCUCCACUCUUCUUUUGGCCUUUAUUCGAACUUUCUCUCUUCCAAUGCCCCUCCUUCCCACAGAUGAAACAGGUAGUACCUUUGUACUUGUUUUGGGACUUUGAUCUGCCAUUCUUGGACUUUGAUCUUCUUUCCACCUUUGUUAUCUGAUCAUUUUUCAGAUCUCACUCUGGAUUCAGUGUAUAGCCCUUCUGAUGAAGACUUUCCCUUGCUUAGAAGUCCUUUUUGUCUUAGCUCAGCUUCUUUGGAGUGAGCUGCAGCAAUUACCACUUCCUCCACGGUAAGAGUUUCCUUACACUUGCAAUACUGAAGAGUGUGAAUUAGAGGUUCAUAAGCAGCAGGUAAGCCAGACAAGAGUUGGAUAACCUGAUCCUCGUUUGAGAUAGUAACUUUUAAAAUUUCCAGAUCAGCUAUCAACUUUAAGAAUAUGUCAACAUUUUUGUCUAUUGACUUGUUCUCCUCCAUCUUUUAACAUGAAAACUGUUUCUUCAGGUAGAUUUGGUUUGGAAGAGACUUUGUUUGAUAAAUCCUCUCAAGUGCGUUCCACUGUCCUAGAGCAAUGGUCUCGUGCAUUAUCUUCCUCAGGAUUUGGUCACUCAGGCAAGUCCCCAGUAAACUCCUCACUCUUCGAUCAUUUGCUUCCUUCUUUUAAUCUACUGUAAACUCUGCUAGAUCCAAUAGAACUUCACCUUUGUUCUUUGGUUCAUCUUUCUUUGGUUCCUGUGUAGUAUAGAUCAUGAUGCCUUCUUCUAUCACAGGUAGAAAACCUUGGAUAUCGAGUUGCCCCAUCAUCUUGUACUUCCACAUCCCGAAAUCUCCCUUUCCAUCAAACUUGUCCAUCUCAAAUUGCCUUUAGUUGGCUCCAUACUUAUCGGAGUUUUCUUUUCUCGCAGGUAUACCUCGUGUGUCUUGGAACGAGUUCUUCGACAACACGCAGCAACAGAUCAGGAUAAAACUUCUACACCAAAAAAUUCCUGAUCUCACCUUAUCCGAAGAACAAGAUAAGUUCCAAUAAACUGUCCCUAGAUUCAAUAGAUCUCUUCCGCUAUCUAACUUGGAUAGCUCUGAUACCAGUUGUAGAGUUUUAGUCCGGUUCUUCUGAUCUAUGAAUCUAUUUCGCAGCUGUUUGUAAAACAAAAUUGAAGAAGACAACACAAGAUUGGUCACCCAGAGUUCACCAGUAUGGCUACAUCUCUGGGGAGAGAACAUGAUCCCUCAACUGCAUCCACUAUCGACUUCAAUUACUGAGUUACACACGAAGUGCUUACAACUUUGUUACAGAAAUAAAGCACACUCAGGAAUCAAAGGAAGACGAUGAUCGGACCGGAAUCUCCCACCAACGACCGCCUCCGAUCACUCUCUCUCUCUCUAUCUUUUCUCUUGCUUUUUCUCUCUACAACAACCUUCUCUCUCUUACUCUGUAAUCAGCUCGCAGGGAAGAAAAAGAAGACCUGGGUCAACUCACUUUGGCCGUUACAAUCACCUAGGCCCUAUAAUGGAGUUGGUACGCGGUUUGGGCGUUGAACCCAUUUGAGUGUUUGACUGAACCAGCUGACCUCACAACGAGAUUUCACAUCUUUAAUCUACAUAAGUUAACAUUGGAGUGAUUGAGAUUUUAGAUCACACUUCAGCAUGCGGAUUUGAAUUCAGGAUACUUGCUAAAUUUGUGUCUAAGUACAUGGUGCAAUCUAAAUGUCGAUACAAUUAUAAGUAGCUUACAUAAAUAUGAUCAACACUAUGUCUAAGAGAUAUGUAGGUUAUUACGAUUUGUUUCCUUCCUUAGUAUUUUUCUUUUUUGUUCAAGGAAGAACAGUUAUCUAAAUCUGAAGAAGUUGAGAUACUUGUAUUUUAUUUUUAAAAGAUUUUCAUAGGGUUUUAGUUAUUUUAAUGUGUUUUUAGUGUUUUUGUAGCUUUUUUUAUUGUCAAAUUAUUUGGACAACAAUAUAUAAAAUGGCACAAAUUUGGCAAUUAUAGCAUUAAGCAGUUUCUAAGGUUUUUUCGGUAGCCAAAUCGUCUAUCAACGCUCACAAAACUCGAUGACAUUUUUCCAAUGAAUGAGUUCAUAUCAACCGUCUGUAGAUUACAAAAAUCGGUGAGCAAUAACAUAUUUAUAGUUUGAGUUUAUAAAUGGAUAGUUAAGAAGUUACCUACGGUCUUAAUAAUAAUGUAGUUAGCCAUUAUGUUAGCCAAUUGUUUUCCAUAUUAAUGACAUGACAACUAGACAUUGAAUGCUGAAUGCUCUGUUAGACGGACCUCGUUUUAACGAUCAUGGCAAAUUGAUAUGUUUAUUAUUUAUAAAAUUAUAACCAGCCUCCGCAAAAUCACCAAGGAAAUAUUAAAUUCUUAAUUAUUUUAAAAUUUAUAAGUAAAUAUACAUAUAACAAUAUAUGUGAUGAUAUUUAAACGUGAAUAUCCAAAUUUUUGAAGAAAUAAUACUAUUAUAAAAAAUAAAUAAAUAUAACUUCCAACAAUAAAUAAAGCCAUACAAACUAAUUUACACACACUUCUACAUGAGUUCAUAGUUUAGAACUAAUGUAACAAUGUAUAAAUCAACAUAUAAAAUACAACUAUACAAUAAACAUUGAGAAAAAGUUAUCCAACGAUUAUAACAAACAUGAUUAAUUUUAUCGAUAGAAUUCAACCGUUGAUAUAUAGAUAUAUUUUACAAUAAAAAGUUGUUAAAAGCAUUAUCCUGAUAUGAAAUGUUAAAAUCUCCAAAUAAAGAGAAUAAAUUUAUAGCGCAAAAUUGCAUAAGAAUAAAAUUCAAAAUUGUCAUUAUCUGUAAAACAUUUAGAAAAUAUUGGAUUUCAAACCAUUAGAAAUAGUUUUGAUAUAUUUUAAGUCAGUAUUAUCUUUUACAACCUAAAAUUAUCUUGAAUUUUGUAACAUUAUGUAGCAUUGGGCUACACAAAAUCUCUUGUAAGAUAAGAUAAUGUUGGGUUAACAUUAUCUUAUUAAGCCUUAGGUUACACGAAAUCCCUUGUAGGAUAAAACAAUCAAAAUUUCUUUUUUGUCAUAGGCUAACAUGCAAGAGAUACAAUAGAAUUUUAUGUGCUUUGUUAUUCUGUUAUUUUUUUCUGGUUGUUUUUUGCAUUUACAUGCUCUUAUCUUUUUUCUAUCCAAAGAUUUCUUAACCUUUAAUAGAAUUACAAGGGAUACAAAAGAAUAAUUGUAAUGGUUUAGAAUAAACAUAAUCCCAACAAUUGCAAUGGUUUAAUAACCAUAAACUCAAAAGGUAUGAUGAUUGGUAAAAUAACAAUAAACUCAAGAGUUGCAUUGUUUAGUGAAUAACCAUAAACUCAAGAGUUGCAAUGGUUGGUAAAAUAACUAUAAUCUCAAGAAUUGCAAUAAUUUGUAAAAUUACCAUAAACUCAAGAGUUGCAAUAGUUUACUAAAAUAAUUGUAAUACUUAAAUCUCCAACAUUCAUUUUCUAUUAAAAUAUAUUCAUAUAUUCACUAAAUAAACAACACAUAUACCAAAAAUAAACAAAAAGACAACAUGCAAUAAUAAUAUUUCAUAAAAAUAGCAGUUAUACAUGAAAAAAAAUUAUUAAACGGAAAGACACAACAGUUCCGUUGUAAUUUUUCAUAGAAAGGUAUAAGUUAAAAAUAUUAAAUAAAAAUACACAACCAUACAAUAAUAAUUUUUAAAAAAAAUUAGUAGUUAUACACGCAAAGAUAUAACUAAAAAAUAAUAUUAAACAGAAAGACAUAAUAAUUCAUUCGUUGUUUUUUAUAUUGUUAUUUGCAAUAUAAUAGAAAAAGUUGUGGUUGAACCCAGAUCUUAAUAAGUUAUGAACUUGGAUAAUAAAUGAAUCUUGCACAAAACACUCUCGUUAAAACGUAUUUCGACCUUUAUCAAGUGUUGGGUUACACAAAAUCUCUUGUAUGAUAAGACAAUCAAAGUUUUCCUUUUGUUCUAGGUUAAGAUACAAAAAAAUACAUAUAAAGUUUUAUGUGCUUUGUUAUUCCAACAGAUACAAAGAAAUAGUUGCAAUAGUUUAGAAUAAGAAUAAUCCCAACAGUUGCAGUAGUUUAAUUACCAUAAACUCAAGAGGUGCAAUAGUUGGUAAAAUAACCAUAAAGUCAAAAAAAAAAAUUACAUCAUUUAGUAAAUAACCAUAAAAUCAAGAGUUGCAAUGGUUGGUAAAUAAUCAUAAUCUUAAGAAUUGCAAUGUUUAGAAAACCUUAAAUUCAAGAGUUGCAAUGAUUUACAAAAAUAACUGGGAAAAUUGGAUUUUUUCAACCUGAACUAUGAAAAAAUCAGGAAAGGCCUAGCCAAUAUAAAACAAAUAAGCCCUUGCAAAAGGGGACCUCGACAUGAUGAAGGUUAGCUAGAGGAGAUAAGGAUCACCACUACGCACCCCACUCUGAAGGUAAAGCUAAAAAUAGGUGAUAGGUAGGUGGAGCAAGUCUUGGUAGAACAUACAUGUCACGUCAACCGUAUCGGACAACCUACCUUUGAGAAGAUCAGAGGAUCUUUGGAAAUCCUCAUAUCAACGAAAACAAUCCUAAUUAGGCAUGACGGGAAGGUCAUUCUAGCGAAAGGGGAGGUAACGCUCCUGGUCACCACGGACUGAGUCAAAAAAUUAAACAACUAUAUUCACAGUAUUCAACAGCGCGUCCUUAUACCCUGCAUUGUUAGACUAGCCGUGGAUGCAUGAAAUGAAAGCUACGGUGUUCGGGUACCUGCGGACGAUCGAGUUUCUUAUCAGGCUAAGAGUAGGAAGACUUCAGGAGCAAGCCAGGAGGAACACAUGCGAUAUACUAAAAAAGGAAAAAAUGAUCCGCCAGACGAGCCACAACACCGACUAAUGCCGGACUCACAAAUGAAAAACAAGGAAGAGACCGCUAAAAAACAAAGCAGGUUUUGAGAGCAGAACACAGUGUUUCCUCCUAACGACUCACAGUCUGCAAGAGACUAAGAGCAUCUCGACGAGAAGAAGAGGAAAGGACACCUCACAUGAGAAGAAAAACAAAGAGAUGGAUAAAGAGAUGGCGGCAGAAAAAAUAUGGGUUCAUAAAACAAAACUUGGCGGAGACUACAAAAUUAUACAUUUACAAAACGCAAGCCCAGGAAAACCAGGUUAUAAUCAAAUUAUCCAAGAAAACAGCAAAGUACAAACAAACAAAAAAAGAAGAAAAAAAAAAUUAAAGAAAAAAAAGCCUAUAGAAUGACGAACGACCUCUAAAAAAGACUCCUCAAUAUAAGUCUGCUGAAUUCACCUCCUCUGAGCCAUCAGACGAAUAGGUCAAUGGGGGCAGGAGAGUGGUGCCUCCUCUCGAUGUACUCCUCGAAGAUUCUUCGAGCUUCUUUUAGCCUUUGAAUGGAACCAUGAGGUUGAAAAGCCUGACUAGGAGAAUCCAUCGAUGACAUCCUCACAAUCCGAUGAUACAGAAGAAAGAUCGAGUCGCACAACCUCUCGAGGAGCUGGAAGAGGGGAGCCGGGAAAGGACUGUGAGGAUUAUGAUAAUCUCCAGUCCUGCGAAGCUGGCCCGUGAUGCCCAGAUGUAUUUCUCUGAGAGAAAAAUAGUGGUUGAAGACGGCGUCGCAUGAGAAGAGAUGAUUAGAUGUGGCUAUGGAUGCGAAAGGGAAAUGUCUAGUAAAAAAAAAUUCUGCGAGAUAAUAAAACUGAAGCGGAAAAAGAUGAAGAAGAAUGAAGGGAGGAAGAGGCAGAUAGUAGAAUAAAUAGAAGGAUCUGAAGAAGGGCAAGUGAAACAUCAAAAGUCACCAGUCCUUGAAGAAAGCAACGCAUGGUAAAAUCAGAAAGGUCUGCAAAAUUUGAACAUAUAAAAUGACGAAAACAAAACUGGGUAGAAGCAGCGGCUAGACUAUGUACAACAGGUUGGACAUAUGUCGGAAUGAUCGAGAGACUCGCGAGAACCAACACUCAAGAUACCGUCAAAAGAAACAACAUAAAUUGUAAAGAGACAUCUAACAGAUAUCACACGGAUAUAACAUGUGUCAAAAGAGACGUACAGGAGACGCAUAAACUGUCUUCAAGGAAAAGCCAGUCAAAUGCAGCACAUGUUGAAGAACGAAAAUAGAGGCAUAAAAAGGAUGCGAAAGCCUCCUUUGAUGAGAAGCCAUACAUCAUGAGGUGCACGCGCAGUAGAGUGGACCCUAAGAAAGAUUAUUCGGCGUAGAAGCCCAAUGACGAGCCCAGUAAGCGACCCAAAGAGGAUCAUGGUGGGCUUGAAAAAGUCGCAGAGUCUAACCAGGCGAGGAACUAAAAAAUGAGCCAGAAAUGAAGAGAAGACCCAAGAUCAUACGUGGUGUUUAUCCCGACAAGGUCAGCCCAGUCAAGGCUUAGUCUGCCCGUUGAUGCCAUGUCGCAAGAAUGGUCUUCUUUAAUCGGAUCAUCCUGGGGCAUGCUGCUCUGCGCACAGCCUAACUAUCUUUUGGAAAUUUUAAUUGUGUAACACAGUCUUGGACUGACAUCCUCUGCGGAUCAGUCUGCCAACUUAUAGUAAGUUCUGUGGUGGACGACUUUCCCUUAGAGAACUGAAUAUCUCUAAAGGAUCGGCCAUGGAAUAUUACUAAGCGGGCAGGACACCUCCUCUGGAACCAAUAUGACGGUCAGACAUUGUGCUCUUCACUUUUUGAGCCCAUGGCUACAGGUCACUUUGCUUACGGCGGGUGAUUCAGGCAUCGCGUCUUUUGUAGCCCACGGUCCUUGGUCAUUUCAGCUAUGAUGUUUGAUUUAGUUAACGCGUCUUUCACUACAGACUCAUGGCCCCAGAUCAUACUGUCCACGGUAGAUGACUCAGGCAUUGUGUCCUUCAUCGAAAAGGCGUCAUGCGCCUCAGAUCGACAAAGUAGAUUCAGGUGAUUACACCGUAUUAUGACCACUUUUAUGGAUCAUUUUGAAAUACUUUUUUUAUGUUUUUAAUUGCUUUCAAGUAAUUUUAUUAUAUUUUUCUAAUAUUUGUAGUUCCAAGACUCUUUUCAGGAAAUUUAGGGAAAAGCUUAAGAAAAUGGAUAGAAGACCGGAUUUUCAGCUUAGAGUCAAACCGUAAGAAGUUCACCCCCGAUUGAAGGCCUUCUCACCGUCCGAUCCAGCUCAAAUUUGGAGAUCUCAAAGAUGGAUGUAUCAGCUUUCCAGCACACUUUACAGCUUGGCAAUCCAACGGUUCAAUAAAAAGAUACGCGAAGAGCAAGAUGUCCCGUAAACCAGCUGGCAAGCAUUUCCACCCGCGGCCAACAACCCAUUCCCCGCGGUCACAACCUUCCCGACUGCGGCCAGCCAUCCAUUCCCCGCGGUCACGCACUUCCCAACCGCGACCAGGCAACUCCGAGUUCGAAGGCCCAUUUCUGAAGCCCAUAUCAUUUUUCCAGCCUCAAUUCCGGAACCCUAGACACCAGAGAGUAUUAGAGACUAUAAAUACAUAUCAUUUAGGUCGUUUUUUGGAGAGAAGAAGAGAGACAAAAUACUUUACAGAAAUUUUACUUUAAGCUUUGUUUUUAGGUUUUAGGGAGAGAGAGAUCUAUCUCUUGAACCAUUGUUCUUUCUUUUUCAAUUUCGGUUUCUGUACUACUUUUUAAUAUUAUGUUUUUGAUUUCGUUCAUCAUGUCUGAGUAGUUUUAUUGUUGGGUACAAGGGAUUUUCGAUGGGGAUACUUAUGUUCGAUGAGGAUUCCAUGAGCUAUUGAGCCGAAUCUUAGAACUUUUUCUUCUGAAUUCGUUUUUACUGCAUGAGAGUAGCAUCAUGAACUACAAUCUGAUCCAGAUGCUUGCUGGUUCAUCCGGUGUCAGAUCUAGUUUGGGAGAGCAAAACAAAUAUAGGAGUGGAAACCUACCUAUGGGCGAUUUGUGAAUGCUGACGAGUCUUAAACAUAAUGCAUCUCAUCUUUUCCAGGGCCAAAGUGGAAACCUAAUUGUCAGGGUUGAGAGAGAUAGUUGUCUAUGAUCACGACAGUGGCAUAUUCAUACGUCCGUGACUCCAGUUCAAAAAGUUUAAGCUAAGAUCUUAUCAAAUUUACUCUCUAGCAAUGUUUUGAAUCGUUCAUACCCCUGAGAAAACUUCCCUGAACCCCAGCGCUUUCUUUCCUAUAGAUUUACACCGAUUUUUAUAUAAGCUUUAGUAUAGUAUCUUAACUCUUUCAAUCGAUUUUCAUAUAGCAAUUAGGUUUAGCCGUUUUUCUCGUUUUUAGUCGUUUUCGUUAAGUUUAGUUAUUAGGUCAUUUUAAUUCCCGUAUGUUCUCUUUAAGAUUCGUUUGCACAUAGCGUCCAUGGUUUUUUUGUAGGUAUGGCCCCUCGGGCCAAAUUAGAUUUUGUAUUUGGCUUACGGUCCAAUACAACCUAAGCAUAUAGCACCGAGUCUCGAAUCCAUCGGAUUUGGGAGAUCCGGCAUAAAAGCCAACUGUUCUCGGAUUCCUCGUAACUGAUAGUGCAGACCACGCUUUCAGACACAAGAAAGUCAGGAACUGAGUAGUCAGGAGGAGGAGAGGUUGACUUCUUUACUUCAUAGACCUAAGCUCACUGAUCUGGAAGGAUCGGGAUAUAAAGAAGGAUAAUUCGUACAGAUACCCGGAGAGAAAAAACAGCAAGCGAGAAAAUCCUGAUAGCUCAAUCCUAGUAUCAAUAAAUCUAGGCUAGGUCUGAAUAUUUUCUUAAGCGGGAAAAACUAUUCAAAUUUUCAUUCUCUUGAUAAUUGGAAUAUGAGUUUUACUGAUUCGAUUGCACAUACCCUUGUAAAUCCAUGCGAUCAACAUUUAAUGCUUAAUGCUUACACAUCUGGUGAUAGUGACCACUCACAUAAUACAGAGAAAAAUAGAGGCUUAGGAAAGAUCAUAUGCGUUUGAACCGCCGAACCCCAACUCGUAUGCUGAGAGUGAAAGAGACACGCCAAGGGCUAGUGUCAUAGUUGGCAGAAGACGCCGAAGAAAGUUGAUGAGACCAUCACAAGAAUGAUGCAAAUAUCAAGAUUCAGAUCCAAUUGUGUUGGAUCCCAGAUCAACCCGCAAAACCGACAACGUAAGGUUCGAUCCUGUAAACUAGUUCGGGUCAGGUAAAAUUUUAUAAAUAUUUAACACUUUCUAACGAAAAAGCGGUUCAAUAUUUUUGCUACCUUUGAGUUUAUGGUAUCUCUCCAGAUACUAGUAACUCAAAAGGCAUAACACUCUCAAUUUUCGAUCAUCAUUCUGACCACUUCUACUUUACUUCACUGUUGUUCUUAAACUAUGGAGCAUUUUUACCCCCAAAUUUAUACACUUCUUUUUUUUGUUCACCUUAAAGAACCCACUAAACUCAGGCUUAUGUAGAUCCUAAGAGUUCACACCCUGCUUUUACUUUCUGUUUUUCCUUCUCUAAUUUGUCGCUAAGUGAUUUAUUCUUUUAUUGUUUUCUGACUUUAGUAUUGGAGUGCCAUCGAAAAACACCUUAUCAUCAUAUUUUGAGAUAUUUUCUAAACCUUCAUGCUUUCUCCUAUUUUAUAGAGAAGAUUUGCUCCAAAAGAAAUUAAUUAAAAAUCCCGUAAACAAUAACUAAACAAGUGUUUGACUUUAAAAUCAAAUUAUAAGAAGGGAGUAAUCAAUUUUUCUUUUUCAUUCACCUAUCACCGAGUACCUAAUCUAGUUUUAACAAUAUAUUAAGAUCCAUAUAAUAUUUGAUUUUUGAUGAUUAUUUGAAUCAAAUAAAAUAUAAAUGCUAAUUUUAUAUUAAAAAUUUAUAUAUUAUUUUUAAAAAAAUUUACAAAUGUGAAUCUCAAACUAUAUAUAACCUCAAAGUAAAGUUACCUUAAACCUAUAGUAUAUAGCAAAACAGAAAUAAAAAAAAUAUUCCUACACAUGAAAUGAUCGUGUAUAUUUUCUAAGAUCUCAUUUAAGUUGGAGGCUUGGAGCAUGCAAAUCCCAAAUAUCUUACUCAAAACUAAUUUUUGAAAAAAAACUUACAACAAGUGAUUUAGCUGAAGAACAAAACACUAUAUCCUGUUCUAGUGUUCUUUGACUUCCACGACAUGGAAAUUAUUUUGCUAUCUAUCUUAUAUUAUUAUUAUUAUUAAUUUCAUCAUAUAUGUAGUUAUUUACUAAAUACCCGUAGAAAAGAACAAUGAGAAAGAAACGACUUUUUAAUUGAUCCGGACUUUGGUUACACGUUUCUCCCUCGCCUCUCUGAGAGUCAAGAGAGCAGUACUCAGGGUUCAACUAAUCCAACUCCUCACAGUAAGAUCUUCGCUUUCUUCUCCAAUCAAGAUCUCGAUUUAUAUUUUAAAUUUAAAGGCGAUCUUGUCUCUUAACAGAGGAAAGCAGGAUCCAAGUAGAACUGAAUCAUGGCAAACAAGACGAAAACAACUUCAUCAUCUUCGCACAGUUCAGGGGUUAUAUAUAGCAAAGAUGAGGAUGCUAUCUUAACUUAUAUCAAAGAACAGUCUAAGAAAGAGUUAGAUCCACUGCUUCUCAAGGAAUCAGCUGGUAAAGAAUCUUGUUGCAUCUUCAGAAUUCCUGAACGCCUUGCAGAAGUGAACCCCGAAGCCUACAAGCCCAAAGUUGUUUCAAUUGGUCCUUACCAUUACGGAGAAAAGCACCUCCAAAUGAUUCAAGAGCACAAGCCUCGGUUUCGGAAGCUUUUCCUAGAUAAGGCAAGAGAAAAGAACGUGGAAGAAAACGUCUUGUUUAAGGCCGUAAUGGAUUUGAAAGAAACUAUUACGACUUCUUAUUCUGAGGAACUUCGGAAAACUUCAUCGGAACUAGUGCAUAUGAUGAUUCUGGAUGGGUGCUUCAUUCUCAUGUUGUUGCUUAUCGAGUCAAGAGUUAUUGACUUUGAUAAGAAAGAGGAUCCAAUUUUCACGAUCCCGUGGAUUCUCCCGUCUAUUAAGAGUGAUCUUCUCUUCUUGGAAAAUCAGGUUCCUUUCAGUGUUCUUAAAACUCUUUUGGAAAUAUCAAAGAUAGAUAUCUCUGGUGAUGUAAACAGGAUGGUGUAUCCUUUCUUUAACUCCUCAAUAGAUAUACCAGAAAGGAAUCGUGUGAGCCAAACAAACUUCGAGGCAAAACAUCUUCUUGAUCUCAUUCGUAAGACCUUCAUACCUACUAUGGGAGAAUCUGAAACAACGUCAACGUCAGCGACGUCAGGUGUUGAACCUAAAACAACAUCAUCCUCAUCAAAAGAAUUCAUUUUAUCGGCCAAAAGACUUCGCCUCCGUGGGAUAAAGUUCAGGAUUAGGAGUGAUGCAGAUUCGGUAUUGGAUAUAAGACUACAGAAGAACAGGCUUCAAAUACCACUGUUAAGAUUCGAUGAGUUCAUCAGCCCAAUCUUCCUCAACUGUGUCGCCUAUGAACAGUUUUAUACAAAGAGUACCAACCACAUAACAAGCUACGUAGUUUUCAUGGGAUGCCUUCUAAAAGGCGAGGAAGAUGCGGCUUUCUUGAGCAACGACAAGGAGAUCAUAGAGAACUACUUUGGCAGCGAGAAUGAGGUAUCCCAGUUUUUUAAAAAUAUAAGUAAAGAUGUUGUAUUUGACAUAAGUAAAAGUUACUUACGGAAUGAGUUUGAGGGAGUUAACAAGUACACAUCAAAAUGGUACAAUAGAGUAUGGGCAGGCUUUAGGCACACACAUUUUGAGUCCCCGUGGACUUGUCUGUCAUCGUUUGCUGUUAUUUUCGUUAUUCUUCUUACCAUGCUACAGUCCACUGUUGCGAUUCUUUCCUACCUCAACGACAAAAAGGAUGAUGGAAAUGCACCUCCUCCAUUACGUUCUCCUUAGGGCAAGAGAGCAACGGACGCUCUAAAAUGGUUUCCACGUCUUUAUGAUUUAUUAUUAGUUUGUUCUAUGUUGUGUUAUUGCUAUUUAUGCGGUGAUGACUUUAUCCUAUAUGCUUUUGUAUUUGUUACUCUGCACUAAAUAAAAUUAAUUUUACUUUCCUUAUGAAUUUAUACUGAUUUGCUUCGAUGUUUUUUCUUGUCACUUGUUUCCUUAUGAACUCCAUUCCAGUCUAUACUUACUCACGACGCCAAAGAAGUUUGGAGGUUAUUUUAUGACUACCAAUCCAACUACAUCAUGUGGAUAAAGCUUUGUUGGAAUAAUCCUUAUGAAGGUUGAAGAACAUCAUAUCCAGCUUUCAAAGAUAUUCUAGCAUGCAAACCACUAUACGGAAAAAUGGCUAAUUCCUACCCGAACUAUAAAAUUUGGUACGGAUUCAUACCUAAAAAAUUUAAGUGUGUAAUUUCAUACCCAAACUUCUAAAACUCGGAAAAUACAUACCUGAACUAAUUUUUUGUUGGUGAAUAUCAACAUAGACUAAUUACCCGUUAGUCAAUCUUCUUAUUUUGGUAACGGAAAGAUGUCCUGUGCCAUGUUGGCUGUCCCUUGUCAUGGGAACCUUAAACAACAUUGUUUUGGAUAAUUGGGCCCUAAAGCGACGUUGUUUUGGGUAAGGUUCAUGUGACAAUGGGGCAGCCAAUGUGGCAAGGGCAUCUCUCCGUUAAUAGAAUAAGAGGGUUGACUGACGGGUACUUGGUCAAUAUUAACAUUCACCGCGAAAAGAUUAGUCUGGAUAUAUAUUUUCCAAGUUUUAGGAAUUCAUGUAUGGAAUUGUACACUUAAAUUUCUCAGGUAUGAAUUGUACCAAAUUUCAUAGUUUAGAUAUGGAUUAGUCGUUUUCAACUAUUAUAAAGAGUGUCCAUAGCCUACAACAAGGCAUUAAAGCUGAGUACGGGUGAAAUCCAUAGCCUACAACAAGGCAUUAAAGCUUAGUACGGGUGAAACUUCAUUUUUUUAAUGAAUAUAAAUUUUGUUGUUUUUUGGUGACAAAUACAGCUAAAUGGGUUUUGCUAGAGCGAAUUGAGAAAUGGAACGGGUCAAAGUCUCAUACUCUACGGUUUUUUUAUUGGACUUGGUAAAAAAAAAAAUCUUUAUCGAGUGGAAUUAAAUAUCGGGUUUUGGAGAUUAUAAAUAUAAGAUUUAGGGUUUGUGAUAAUUCAUUUACACAAUCAAUAAGAAAUUCUAAACAGAUGUUUGCCUUAAUUUACCCUUUUUUUUGGUUAUUUGUUUUCUUUUAAGUUUGUUUUGUGCUUAUUCACAAUAAAAUUUAAUAAAAGUGAAACCGCAUUGUACAAAAAAAAACAUGUUAAGCUUUUUUGCUGAAAAUGUGAAUAAAAUCGAGAGUACAUUCUUAAAAAAUUAUUUAGUUUAAGAAUCCACAUCAAAAGUUUAAAGGAACUGUCAUUAAUAUAUAAAAGAUUUUGGCCACUUAUUGUCUAUUAAUUUUGAAUUAAAAACUUAACAUAGUUUCAGAGUAGUUUGUUGACCCAAGUAAAAUUGUCCAACCGAGCUUAAUGCGUUCGUUAAUGACCGAAUCACGGUGAACAUGUUCCACCAACAAAUCCGUCCCCGACAAUAACUUAUUAAAUUUAUAUUUUAAUAAAUUUCAAGUUCGCGCAGGGAAAAUUAGUACAAAUGGCGUUAAAGAAAACACCUACUGUCUUAAUAAUAUGAGUCUAGUCGUACGGUACCUAACAUAGUAUAAUAUGGUAUUAUCGUUUAGUCAAUUGAUUCCUGUGUUAAUGACAUGACAACUAAACUAUCGGAGCUCUAUAAUAUACUAUUAACGGAUCGUGCGUUGGACGAUCAUGGCAAAUUGUUUACGUUUAAUUAAACAAUAAUUCUUGUGAAUCUCAAUGUCAUUGAACUUGUAGUUUGAAUUUGAUAUUUUUUCGCAUAAAACUGAUUUAAAUGAUAUAGUAUGAUAAUUUGUUUUGGUUUUAAUACUGAAAAAUAUGAAUAUAUCUCUCAUUACAAGUAUGAUUUACAUAAAGUCAUUACGAUCCUUGAUGACGGACCCUUGACAAUAAGUAUAAGUAAAGGGCCGUUCAUACAUAAAGGUUUGUAAGUUUAACUAAUUAGAUCAUCAUAAUAAAUGGGUUUUAAUUUGAUUAAUAACUUAAAUUAAAAUUAAGAUGGUGGUUAAGGUAUUUUUUUGGUCUUCUAGCAAAAAGGUUUCCUACAACUCAAAGUUAGAUACUAAAAAUUUUAGGAAAUAUUAUUCCAAAAAGUUAGAAAAGAUUUUGACUAAUAUAUAGAAACAUGAACCAAUCCAUAUUAUUAUCAAUUGGUUUUGAGUUGAAAAUUUAAGUAAAUUAACAUGAUAUCAGUGUUUGAUUCGUACUGUCCAACUCGAUUAUCAACCCCAUCCAAAGUUGGUCACAUCAAUACAUGUUUGAACAUACCAAGAUCAACAACGAAAGAAUAAUCAUCUUGAGGAACGUAUUAAAAAAUAUUAAUUCAUAUCAGAAAUUAUAAGAGAUUUUAAUUAAUAUAUAAGAGAUAUAAGCCAAUUUACUCAUUGCUAAUUAGUUUUAAAUUGAACGCCCAUAUAACUUAGCAAUAUGGUAUAUAACAUAAUAUAAUAUAGUAUUACUGUUUAGUCAACUGAUUGUGUUAAUGACAUGACUACUAAUCUAUCGAAGCUCAAUAACAUAUUAUUAACGGAUCGUGCGUUGGACGUUCAUGGCAAAUUGUUUACAUUUAAUUUAACGAUAAUUCUUGUUAAUCUCAAUGUCAUUGAACUUGUAGUUUGAAUUUGAUAUUUUUUCGCACUAGUUAGAACUGAUUUAAAUAAUAUAGUAUGAUUACUUGUUUUGGUUCUAUUAGUACUGACAAAAAUAUGAAUAUAUCUCUCAUUACUAUGAUUUACAUAAAGUCAUUACGAUCCUUGAUGACAGACCCUUGACUAUAAGUACAAGUUAGUGGCCGUUCAUACAUAAAGGUUUGUAAGUUUAACUAAUUAGAACAGCAUAAUAAAUGGGUUUUAACUUGAUGAAUAAGUUAAAUGAAAGUUAAGAUGGUGGUUAAGGGAUUUUUUCGUCCUCUAGCAGAAAACUUUCCUACAACACAAAGCUAGAUACUAAAAAUUGGAUCCAGUAGGAGUGUAUUUAAAGAGAUUACCUAACUCGGGCUAGGAUACCGGCUCUAGCACUUGGUACUCGGUGGAAUAUGGAUCCACCAGUUCAACCCUAUACGAUGCACUGGAGUUGUUUUUCACAUAUGUUUCUUGUCUUGUUUGCUAGCUGAUCGACGACUGUAUAUAUGGUUCAGAACGAUCCAGACUGCAUAGUUUGUAUUGGUUGCUACAAAAUAUAUAUGUAGCUACUGCUACAGUUGAAGAUAUUUUUUUGGGAUGAAGAUUGUGAAGAUGUCUUACAGAACCGAAUGAAUGAUCAGUUUUUAAUUGAUUGUGUUGAUUGUUUUGUUGAGAAAGAAUUGCUUAUAAAAGUGACAAAUGAAGUAGUGAUGAAAAUGUUUCAAAAUACGAAGCCUUAUAGGAUAACUUUGUAGGUUUUUUGUAAUUUAAAAUAUUUUAUAUAAAUUAUUUUUGUUAUUUAAAAUAUUAUGCUCCCGAUUAAAAAAAGUUCUAGAUCGCCACUGGUCGGAAAUGCAAUCUGAAAGAUCUUUUAGGUUUUCUGGGUACAGAACGUUUUUUCAGAAGUAAAAGUAUUGUGUAUUUUGGCAAAGAAUAUUUGUCCUCUUUUCUCCACGGAGAGAAGGGUUUAAUUAUAAAAAAUACAUGUCGAAUGCGGUAAUCAGGGUCGUAUAUCCAUAUGUCGGGUCAAGUUUUUAGGGGAAAGUGUUUCUCUUGUUUGUAUGCUACUGUCCUUAACAAUGUUGAUGACGGGCUGCUCAUACACUCCAUUGCGAGGCUUGCAAUUUAAUUUAAACUAUAUUUUCUGAAUUUUAUAUAUGUUUACAUAAUUACUAGAGUAUCUCCAACAUAUCUUUAUUUUUGAUUCUAUAUAUAUUUUUUUUUAAAAUCGUUUUUAACCCACCUCUAUUUCCACCUCUAAAAAUAGCAUUUCUCUAUUUUUCAUUUAUAUUCAGUAAUCUUAUUUUUACUUUAAAAAUAGAGUUAAUUUUUUAUUUAUAAAAUGGUCUUUUAAGUUUCAAUAUUUUUUAUGUAAAACUAAAACAAACAAUAUAAAUAAUAUAAAUUCAAAUUUAUACAAUAAAAGUUAACAAAGUUAAUUUCACAUGUAUUAGUCAAAGAAAAAGUCAAAUUUGAUAUAUACUCUUAUUCAUUUUGGCACAAAAAAGACUAAUAACUUAAUACAUUAGUGACACGAUAAAAAUAUAGCAAUAUUAAUUUUAAAUCAAAAUAUACUAUGUUUUUUAGUUUUUAUUUGAUGUAAUAUAAUUUUAUUUAUCAAAUAGAUAUUUAAUUUAAAUAAUAUCAUAAUUUAUAAAGGUUUUGUAAAGAAUAAAACAACUAGAGUUAAACUCUGUUUUUUUACAAAUAGAGAAUAUUAAUAAUAAAAAAAUAGAAUAUACUGAAAAUAUAUUUAGUUUAGAAUUAAAAAAUACAAUGGAAGGAAAUCCGCCUUUUUUAUAGAGUUCCUCUAUUUUAGAGUUAAAAAUAGAAGAAUACAUUUGAGAUGGUCUUAUAAAGAACUAAUUUAUUUAUUUAAACCUUUCGCAAUAGACAAAAAUCUAAACUUAAAUUUAACCGUUUUAACUUUUAUUUUGAUAUAUCUUAUUCUAUAAAGAAAGAUGAUUCGAACUUCGUAACUUGUCUGAUCGAUUGACUUAUCAUGACACCUGUUAAGUCAAUCGAUCAGGUUUUAACACAUGUAAAUGAUAUUAAACAAAAAAUAGCAAUUAAAAAUUUAAAACAAAAACAAAAAAAAAGAAGUAAAAGCUAAAUUUUUUUCCUCGCUAAAUUUUAUUAAAAACACCAUAUUUCAGUUCAGAAUAAAAAAUAAAAGAAUAGUUUACAAUACUAAAAAUUAAAUUUAAAAAAGGAAAAACCAAUUAGUAUUUAUAUUUAAAUUAAGGAAAAAUCAAAAUUAAUUACAAUCCUAAAAGAAAAGGAAUUUUAAUUCUCUACCCUAUAUAACCAAAUUGAUAGCUUCUCAAUUUCAUAACCAAAUAAACUUCUCCAAACUUUAAGCUGUAUGUAAUUUUUUACAUGGUUACAUAAGAAAAAAGUACCUAUAUUAUUUUGUUAAUAUAUCUAUUAUUUUACAGAAAUAAUUAGAGAGAAACAUUGGAUGUUGAAAUUUAAAUAACAAAAAGGAUUAUCUAACAUCGUGUCAAAAAGUACUUAUAUUGUUGUACUGUAGAAAUUCUAAAUGAAAUUACACACCCAAAUGUUAAAUUAUAAUAAUUGUAUCAAAACCUAUUUUUUGCUGCUUCACCAAUUUUUUUGUUCAAGAUAUAUAUUUAUUUCAUCAUUAUACAAAUAUUAAAUUACAAAUUCAUAUAUUAAAGAUAUUUAGGGGAUUUUUAGUUCUCUGCGGAGGCAAGUCUCUUGCAAAAACCAGAAAACACCUGAUGGCCUAGAAAACACGAUGGAGAUGUGUUUUCUGAAGGCUCUCUUACGCUCAAGUCAGAAAACACGAAACAGACAAGAAGUGGCUAAUCGGAGAGAGGAAAGAGAUCGGAAAAUAAGAGAAUGAAAGUAGGCUGAGUGUUCCUUAAAAAGAUGGAAUCAACUCUGGCCUUUAAGUGGUGAUGAGUUUUUUGAGGUGAAAAGAAAAAAAAUGAAAGAAUUUGUAGGUGGAAAUGCUCCACGGUUUAAGAACCGCCGGGGAGAGGAAUUGAAGAGUUGGUCGGAGUGAUGACCGAAAAGUAGUAUAUGCUAAAACUCAAGUAUCACAAGUAUCUAGAGAGAUAAUAUGAGCCUUAAGAUAGCGAAAAAAGUGAACCAUUUUCUCGUUGGAAGGAACAAAGUAUUUAUAUGAUUUUACCUAACUCGAGUUAGUAUAUCAGGUCGGUCCUUGGGUCAUGAGUUGGGCGGGUCGGUCUUUGAUCCGUCUUGAGUGGAUCCGAAUUGUGUGCUUACGUCACGCCUCUGACGGUUUAACCAACUUUCUUUGGUGUGUUCUGUCUACUGCGAGACCGCUCCUUGGCGCUUUUUUUUCAUCCCAAUGUAUGAGUCGAGUCAGCGGUUCAGACACGGUAUGACAUUUGCUGAACCACUGCUUUUCCUCUGGCUUCUGCGAAGGGUCAUUGUCACGUGACACGUGUAAGAACUAUACAUUAAAUGUCAAUUUUGUGGGUUUGAAAAGGUAAAGGUAAUUUAAAUCAGACCAAGGCAUAUUUUCACUGUCGAAUAAAGAAAAAAUUGAACAGUGUUUUCCGCUCAUAGGAUUAUUCAUAUCUGGCCUAGAUCCCUCAAUACUGAGACCAGGCUGUCGGGAUUGCCUCCAUGGGCGACUCCAUUUUCCGGGUACCUGUAAAGGUCACACUCCUUAUAUCUUGACUCUUUCAGAUUCCCGAGUUUAGGCCUAAGACAUAAGAAAUGUGACAUAUCCUCCUCCCGACCAAUCAGUUCUGAUUUCCUUGUCUCUGACAGUGUGGCCUGCAGUGGCAGAUACGAAGAACCCAUGAACAGUGGUCUAUCAUGCCGGAUCUCCCGAAUCUAAAUGGAUUCGAAGCCUAGUGUUAUAAGUUUAGGUCACAUUGCGCCGUAAUCCCAAUAUGAAUCCUAAUUUGGUCCAAGAGACCGUACCUGCAAAAAAAUUAUGAACGCCACGUACAAUCACGCGAUUCAUCCAUAUAGGAAUGAUCGAAUUUAUCCUCAUCAUGAGAUACUUAUCUAGUAUUAAAAAAAAAUAUAAAUCAUAGUAAAAAUAUUGCAAGAUUUUAAAAAAUAUUUUUCCUUCUAUUUGAACAACCAAUCAAGAAUUCAUUUUUAAUUGAAAGUGUGGUUGGGAAAGAAAAAACUACAACUAUUACCAAUUUACUUACCCAUAGAAAAAGAGCUUACAAGAAACUAAGAAAAAGACUUUAAAUUUCUGUGGACUCUACCUAAGCUCUCUGAAGAGAAGUGUCAAGAGAGCAGAACUCAGGGUUCAAAACUAAUCCAUCCCUCACAGUAAGAUUUUCUCUUUCUUUUCCAAUCAAGAUCUCGAUAUGUAUUUUAAAUUUUGGAUGCGAUCUUGUCUCUUGACAGAGGAAAGCAGGAUCCAAGUGGAGCUGAAUCAUGGCAGCCAUAGUGGAAACAAUUUCAUCACCUUCGCCCACUUCGCCCACUUCAGGGGGUUUUUCAUUACAGCUUGAUGAUUUAGACUUAAAUCCACGGCUUCUCAAGGAGUCAGCUGGUAAAGAAUCUUGUUGCAUCUUCAGAGUCCCUGAACGCUUCGCAGAAGUCAACCCCGAAGCCUACAAGCCCAAAGUUGUUUCAAUUGGUCCUUACCAUUACGGAGAAAAGCACCUCCAAAUGAUUCAAGAGCACAAGCCUCGGUUCCUGAAGCUUUUCCUAGAUAAGGCAAGAGGGAAGGGAGUGGAAAAAAACGUCUUGUUUAAGGCCGUAAUGGAUUUGAAAGAAACUAUUACGAGUUCUUAUUCCGAGGAUCUUCGGCAUAUUUCAUCGGAACUAGUGCAUAUAAUGAUUCUGGAUGGGUGCUUCAUUCUCAUGUUGUUGCUUAUCGAGUCAAGAGUUAUUGACUUUGAUAAGAAAGAGGAUCCAAUUUUCACGAUCCCGUGGAUUCUCCCGUCUAUUAAGAGUGAUCUUCUCUUCUUGGAAAAUCAGGUUCCUUUCACUGUUCUUAAAACUCUAUUAGAAAGAUCAAAGAUAGAUAUCUCUGGUGACGUAAACAGGAUGGUGUAUCCUUUCUUCAACUCCUCAAUAGAUAUACCAGAAAAGAAGCGUUUGAGCCAAACAAUCUUCGAGGCAAAACAUCUUCUUGACCUCAUUCGUAUGACCUUCGUACCUACUAGAGGAUCUAAGGGUAAAUUUGAAGAUUUUAAACUCAAGAAGGAUGGAUCUCCAAUUAAAUCAUCCUCAGAAUUUUCUAUGAUAUUGUCGGCUACCGUACUUUACCGCCAACGGAUAACGUUCAGCCUAAAGAGAGAUGCAGAUUCGGUAUUAGAUAUAAGUUUAAAGAAGAACAGACUUCAGAUACCAUUGCUAAGAUUGGAUGGAUUCAUAAGCGCACUCUUCCUCAACUGUGUCGCCUAUGAACAGUUUUACACAAAGGGUACAAACGACAUAACAAGCUACGUGAUUUUCAUGGGAUGCCUUCUAAAACGCGAGGAAGAUGCAGUUUUGUUGAGCGACGACAACCGGAUCAUAGAGAACUACUUUGGCAGCGACAAUGAGGUAUCCCAGUUCUUCAAAAAUAUCUGUAAAGAUGUUGUAUUUGACAUAAGUCGAAGUUAUUUACGGGAUGUGUUUGAGGGAGUUAACAAGUACACCUCAACAUGGUACUCACGGUAUAUGGCACAAGUGGUUUACUCUCAUCCCCUUUCGUUUGUGUGUUAUUUCUAACCUUCUUCAGCUCAUUGCUGCGACUGUUUACUUCUUUGGCAACUAACAGAAGUCACAGAAUCGUUUGGACUUCAGGCAAAGCAAAUAUGCUCGAGCUUACGUAGAAACAAUGAAGACAACGGACAGUCUUCCUUAUCUUAUUCAAACCUCGUCGUUUCUGUGUCAUAUGUUUUAUUAUCAGUUUUGAGUUCCAUUUGUUUACGGUUAUGUGUGUUAUUGGUUUUAUGUUGUCUUAUUGCUACCUAUUUGGUUUUAUUACAUUAUUAUCCUAUAUGUUUUUGUAUCUGUUACUCUUGUCACUUUGCAUGAAGUAAAGAUACAUUUACUUUCGUUUAACCAAAUUUACCUGACUUUGCUUUGUCUUGUCGAUUUCCUUGGUCCCAUAACAUAUCACAAAAAAAAAAAAAAUGGGAUUGGUCACUCGCUAUGGGCAGUCGCUAUGGGCGGUCGCUAUGGGCAGUCGAAAGUUCUUGUAGGUGUCUUGAACAGUUGAACUUGUCAUGCAGCUGCCAUGACACCUGCGCCAGCGCAGGGAUUAGUGAUACGAUAUAAAAACUUUCGGGUUGAUAUAUAUGAACCAAAUUUCAUAUAACGAUAAAAAGAAUUUAUCAACCCAAAAUUUAUUAAUGAUACAAAAAUAUGAACCAUAUAUAUCAACUCAAAACUAAACCAAAUUUCAUAUAAUGAUAAUAAAUAAAAUAAAAUAAACGGCUACACAUACGAUAACAAACCAAACCCAAAAUUUGUUCAACAAAAAAAAUAUAUAUAUACAAACCAGAAAUUGUUAAUAUCUUUUGUUAAAAGACCCCAAUGCAUGCUUAUUUAUUCAAAGAGUAACUAGAAUCGAAUCUAGAAGGAGAUAAUGAUUUUUUUUUCAUAAACUCACUAGAUAUGUUAAGAAAAAAAACUAUCUAAGUGAUAGCAAAUGAUGCUUUGUUUUAUUCACAAACUUGUUUUACAUAUAAGGAAGAAGUCUUAAAAGAAAAUUAAUUUAAUGAAAUAUGAAGGAUAAGAGUCCGGUUGUAUUAACUUAAAAUCUAUAUUAUAUGUUUAAAGAAGUAAGACCUUUUGCAACGCGCGUAUUUACCAGCGUCUCUAAUAUAUUUUUUGAUUAAAAAAUGCAGAAGAGAAAAAGGGCUGAAACGUCCCUUAAUUAAGGACAGAAAGAAAUGUUUCUUACAGCUACCUGUUACGUUUCUAUUUAUCAUAGUUGAGAACAAAAUCUGUUUAAUUUUUUUUCCAAGUGUUACCCACUUGAAGCAGUUUUGAUGAAGAAAGAAGAAACCUUCCAUUGGGCCAUACAAAAGCAAUGAGUCUUUUAACUAAAUCUUUUAUCCAAUUUUAAUGUUAAAAAAUAAAUAAAAAAAAACUCAUAUGGAUUUAUGCAUUGCAGAUGCUCUAAGAUACCAUAUUACAAAACCUAAAAGUUAGAAAAUUGAAGUUUGCGAUCGUUGUAAAUAGAGAACAUGGACGACGACGUGGAAACAACGUGUCCAAGUAUAUGAAAAGAAAUGUUAAUAACAGAGAAUUUCUCUAGAUACUUCAGUUAUAUUAAUCUAAAGCGUUAGUUAUGCAGAAAAUGACGUAAAUUUAAUUUCUAGAAUCUGAUUCCAAAAUCUACAUAUAAAACACGCAUUCAUAAAAAAAAUACUAAAAAAAUUUGUAAGAAAAUAGUCACACAAUCAGAGAGACAUAUUUGAUAUGAAAUAACCAAAGACUUCUGCAACGAAUAAGUGAAGUAUGAAGCACCCAAAGUUAUAAAAAGAAUAAGAGAAUGAAAUUGAUAUAAUUUUUAACUUUUAGGUAUGUUGGAAAUAGAGAAAUGACGAUAAUGUAUGUAUACUUUGUCAAAUUAAAAUUUGAGUAUCAACUGAAACGAGUAUAUUGAUGCAAAGAUAUAUCAAUAACAUUGAAAAGACAUAUAUGUUAAAAAUGCAACUUUUAAUAAAAUAAAUUGUUAUUUGUGUCUGACGUUAAUUUCGGAUAAUAUUUUUAUUGUCUAAGGAGAUGUUCUAUAGAUUAGGGACCAAUAAAUCAUGUAAAGAUAAAAAUAUGACAAUUAAGAUGGAUAUAAGUAAAGUUUAUGAUAGAGUUGGAUUGUUUUUUAUAGACAAUUUUUAAGAAAAUUAUAUUUUGCGGAGAGAUAGAUAAAUUAGAUGAUGAGAUGUAUAUCGUCAGUACAAUAUAAAGUUCUGCUAAAUGGACAACCUAAAGGACAAAUAAAUCGGAGAGAGGGUUUCGUCAAGGUGACCUCCUAUCACCAUAUUUAUUUAUUUUAUGCACUAAAGUUCUAAUAACCAACAUAAGCAAAGCAGAGAUGGAAAAAAUAUUAAUGGGUCUUAAGAUAGCGAGAACUAGUCCAACAGUUUUACAUUUACUUUUCACGGAUGAUACUUUAUUUUUUUAGAAAGCAAAUUUGGAAAAGUGCCAAAAGAUUCUACAAAUACUACAACAAUAUGAAAGUGUUUCAGGUCAACAAAUUAACUUUGAAAAAUCAUCGGUUCAAUUUUGUCAUACGGUCCUGAUCUGCCCAAAGUUUAAUCCCUAGAGCUACUCUGCAAGAGCACAAAUAUGCCAUUGUAGUAUGCAGGGGUCGAACCACAGACACGAGAAAUUCGUACAAUAAAAUAUCUAGGCUUGAAUUACGCUAAGCAAACACAAUGAAAUUAAAAGCAACAAUGUAGGCAAAACGGUUGGACUCGAUGGGAAAAAGAUAAAUACAUGGUGUUUCUCUGGAAAUCAGAGUAUGCAGAUUAAUCGAUAAAUCAGGAUUCAGGUUUAAGUGCAGUUCUUGAACUCAAAUAACGAAAUUAUAAUUAACCAACUGUCGUUGCGAGAAUUAUCUAAGUCUAAAUCCUAGAAUCCCAAAUUUUUUUGCAAAUCCUAAAGACAUAAACCAGCUUUAAGCUCAAGUUUGAUAUGUUCACAAAGUGUCUAAACAAAUUUUUUUUGCGGAUAGCUACUUUGCUCACCCUAGGUUCUUUCCAGUUAUUCAAUUACACUUUUGUGUCAAUCAGUUAACCUAUGGUGAAGAACUAAUAGAUUAUGAACCCUAACUAAUCAAUUUAUCUAACAUCCAAUGAAAUUAUUUGUGAGAACCCUAAACCUAACAAACAAACUACUCAGACAUGGAUAUUGAAGUAAUAAAUAUGAUUGAAUAGAUUGCAAAUAAGAAUAAUGAGUUUAAGAAAUAGGGGUUCGAAAUCUUCUCUCAGAGUCUCAGACUUGUCUCCCCAAAAGCUCUCUCAAAUCUCCUCUCCAAGUAUGAAAAAUAUAAUAAAGCCUAAGCCAAAACAGGUGACUGAAAACCCUAAUAAAUACUAAAAACACGUGUUGGACUUCCUUGUAAAUAUUGGAGAUUUCUGGGUUCAAGAGAUUCUUCAAAACUAGGACAAAAUCACGUUUUUCCUUUAUUCACGAAACCGGUGUCGAGCGACACCAAACACACAUAUUUUCACCCUUCAUGAAUUUGAUCCCUGCUUAGCUUCAAAAUGCUCCAAAAUCUCCAAUUAAGCUCCAAACGUACCUAAGACCUGAAAAGACUCCAAAAGACGCGAAAAACACUAAAAUUACUCUAUUAAUAAGGCCUAUAUCAUGGUCAAAAACCAUGAUAUAUCAGGUCCCAGAGAAAGUACAAAGUGGAGUGAAAGCAUGGGUGGUGCCAAAACUAGAAACUACGAGAAAUGGUGGAGCGUGAUCUUAUUUUGGCAUCCCUGAAAGCAUGGGUGGUGCCGAAACCAAGAUUUUCAAUUAUGUAGCAGAUAGACAACAUGAUCAGAUUAAUAGCUGGAUGAUAAUACCUGAUUUUGACCACUUUUCACCAUUGAUUUCAAAUGUUUUUUCAAAGGUUUUAAUCAGUUUUAGAAACUUUUAUUAUGAUUUCCAUGUAUUUGUAGUUUCAAGGCUCUUUUCAGGAAAUUUAGGGAAUAUGAUGGCAAAAUAGAAGAAAUCCACAUUUUUAGCUCAGAGUCAGACCGUCAGAAGUUCAGCCUCAAAUGAAGACUUUCUCACCGUCUGAUCCAGCUCAAAUUUGGAGACAAUCAAGAGGAAGCAACCAUCUUUCUAUAGCACUUUACAUCACAAAUAUCCAACGGUGCAAUCAAAAGAUACAUGGAGAACAAGUUGACCCAGUUCACCAGUCCCGGAAGACUCUCACCCGCGGGAAACACAUGCUUUACAUGCCCUGGAAGACUCUCACCCCCGGUGGAUCUUAGGACGAGCCACAAGACCCAACAUCAAAGCCCACUGCACCAUUUCUCUUCAGAGAAGCCCUAAAUGAGACCUGGAAGACCUUAGGACCUAUAAAUACAUUGUUUAGCAGCCCUAAACGGGUGUGUGCUUUUGUAAUGAGAUUUUGAGCCACCAAACUCUGUUUUUCUAGGGUUAGGCGAUGGAGAUGGGUAUUCUUCCCCAGAUCCAUUGUUCUUUCUCCUUUUUAUCUAUUUAACUUUUCUGUUUCAUUUUUUGCAUUCUUCUAUGUCUUUUAUCAUUCAUUGCAUCACGUAGAUUAGUCACAGAGAGUCAAGUCGUUUGAAGAUAUCAACAAGCAUAUAUAUCGAUUAAGAUUUCUAUUGUUCUUAGCCAUAUUCUGUAUAUCAUCUCUUCUAAGUUGUUCAUAAAUCAUGAGAGUAGAUUCAUGACCUAUUAUCUGAGCCUAGGAUCAAUCAGAGCCACAAGAGUGCUGUAUCAGAUCAUCCGUACCUAGCUUCAAAAUAACAUAGUCGCUAUAGGAGUCGAGAGCUACCUAUAGAGAAGAUGUGAGUAGACGAAUUCAAUGUCUAAUGCAUGAUCUUAAGUUUAGCAUAAGAUCGAGAGUUAAUUGCUAGAUCUAAGAGAUUAGUUGAUUAAGGUGACGACAGUUGGUUAAUCAUACAUAUGUCUAUUCCAGGUCAAUGCAGAUUCCCAGAAACAGAUGAAGAAGUCAAGAUCCAUCCGUCGCAGGGGAAAGUGGAUCAACAAUCGCCCGGAAGCUAAUUGGAAAUGCCAUCAUACAUCGAUUAGAGUAAAGCCGAGACGUCUAAAUCGCCACCUAUGAGUUUAAGAGUCUUUAGUUUGAGUUGAUAUGCUUUAGAUGUUUCUUUUAACAAUUCAUCCUGCAUUGCAUUUCUUGUGAAUAUUAGAUUAGGUUUAGUUUAGGAUCUUAACCAAAACCCCAAAACUUUUAUUGGUUUAUGAGUUUGCUUACUUCCCAGUUUGUUGUUUCUCGCAGAUUAGACAUCCUCCCUGUGAUCGACACCCUAAGUCCUACAACGUACAUCUGUCCACUUGCAGACACUAGAGUUUUAUAAAUUUUAAACUUUUGGAGGACCAACGGGCUUAUUAAAAAACAAUCCUAGGCCUGCAAGCCCAUCAUGUUUUUGGCACCGUUGCCGGGGAGGAUUUUAGUCUCUGGAGGUCUAAACCCUAACCCCGAGCAAAGGUCCUGCAACCUGUGUGAAGCUCCCUGCGCAUGUGAAUCACCCUCCAGGCGUGAUUUUGAUCAUUAUCUUCGGAACCCUAAUCCAAACCACCACCAUGGAGACUCGCAACCUCCACAUCACCAAGAUGAGCCCUGUUCGCCACACCUGGUGAACCGUCGACCAUCUCAUCCUCUCCCUCAUCAGAUUCUGCACCAGAACUAUGAGAACAAUCGACUUAACAUCCUGAUUAAUCGAUUGGAAGCCAAGCUGAAUCAGUUCCUCGCCUCCCAAGCCCUCAUCGAUGCUGCCCUGCGAACGAAGAUAGAUGACAUGACCAUCGGCCUCAACAAAUGGUUUGAUGAACUCUCUGAGCAUGUGAAGACAGUGGAGGAACAGAGAACCAAAGAUAAUGACAUGUUAGAUCAGAGAAUAGAGUCUGUCAAGGAAGAACAAGACAAAAACAAGUUCAGCAUUCGGCAAAACGAAAGGAAGCUGCAGACCCUGACCUUCAAGAUCGAUAAGUUGGAUAAGGAGCUGAAUGAGAGCAAAAACUAGACCUACGACUACACAUUGGAGCUGUGGCAAGGCGUAGCAAAGGUUGAAAACAAGACAGAAGAGCUUGAUGCUAUUUUAGACAAAGUUGUCUAUGCUUUUGAUGAAGUAGAAGAGAAAGUUGAAAAAAUUUCUAAAGAUCAUAAGAAGUAUGAUCUGAACUCUGGAAUCAAUGAUUUGGAUACCCAAGAUGUGCCUGACAACCACUGGAAGCAAGAGAACAACAAUGGAGAAAAAAAGAUUGAAGAAGCAAGCAUGGAGAGCCGGAGGAAGCUAACCGUGGCUGCAAGCACCUCACCCGUGGCCAGAGCCACUUCCACUGCAGCUCCGAGCUCCUCAACCAUGGUGGAGCACGACUUCUCAGACUGGGAGAGCUUUCAACCUCUUUCUACCAUGGGUUCGACGACGUCUGGAAGCAAGGCUGCCUUCAAGUUUUCUUCAGAUACAGCAAGGAGACUAAGGAGAACAUCUCUACAUAUUUCAGAAGAGCCAGGUAUCUUUCUUUUCCUAGAUCAUCAUCUGAUGCAGCUGUUUACAGGAUCCAUCUCAAAGAUCCCCAAGAAGCCAGUGAUUAUACAAACAAGAUCAGCAAAGAAGCACUUGAAGAGUUCAACCAAGUAGUUCAGACCUGCCAGAAGGAAUUUCGUUUGCCAAAGAAUGUAGAGACUACAUGGUAGACCACUUCUUUUGUGACAGCAAAGAGUCAAUCUAAGAGAUGAAAGACUUGUUCACACACGCCAAGAAGGUAGACCAGUUUGAACUCUGCACAAAGUUCAAGACAAAUGUCAAUUUCUUAUCUCUUGUGACAUUAGAGGUGAAAGAUUCCUCAAUAUUCUUUGUGAUUCUGGAGCUUGCAUUAACAUGAUAUCCAAAGCAACUGCUUUGAGACUUGGCAUUAAGCACAUCUCAAGUACCAGGAAAAAGAUUAGCUUAGCAGAUGAUUCAAGUGCAACACCAAGAAGGAUAGCCCGAGACAUUCCUCUAAGGAUUGGAGAUUGCAUUGCACCUGUCGAUCUAUACAUAGUGAAGACCAAAGAUGACUCUUAUCCAGUUAUUCUUGGAUGGCCUUUCUUAGCAACUGCUGGAGCCAUCAUGGAUUGGUCCAACAGGGGAUAGCAUAAUCGACAAGGACAUCUUCUAUGAGGCUGCACCACUUAAGAGCAAAAGAGGAGAGCAUAAAGCAGGCAUUUGAACCAGAAGAACUCUGGAGUGAUGAAAAACCUGCAAGACAGAAUAGGAGGAUUUCGAAGAGGACUUGUCUUAGGACAAGAUCCUAUUUGAACUAAGUCUUUUUCUUUGCAAAGUCUAGCUAAUGACUAUAAACCAAAGCGCUUAAUGGGAGGCAACCCAUUUUAGGUACUUAUUUGUUUUUGGUUUAGCUUUCUUUUUCUAUUAAAGUUUUGUUUCUUUUAUUUUAGACAGGUCUUAGUAUGCUAUAAAAAAAAAGAAGAAGAAGAAGAAAAGGAGCAGGCCGCAGCCAAUGGAGAUUCAGCCGCGGCCAGCAGGCGUUUUACUGCGGCCAAGAAGGUCUAACCCGCGGCCGGCACGCAUCCCACCGCGGCCGCGAUGCUUUGACCGGCAGCAGCACAGACGGCCACCUUGGCCACUUCCAUUUCACCUUGGACACUUCCAUUCCACCCUUGGCCACUUCCACCACCACCUUGUUCAAAUCUGUUUUGGAUCCCUAGCAUCCAAGUUUGAUCAAGCAUCACCACCACAACCACCCCACAAUCCAUCACCAACACCAGGUAAGUUUUCUCUUCCCCAAUCUUUUUAAUUUUUACAUACUUUAUUUCUCAUCCCUUUCUAACCACUUUUUCUUGCAUGAGCCUUUGCAUUCUGCAUUAUUUUUAAAAAAUUUCAUUUUUUUCGAUUUUUAAAAAAACUUUUCAAAAGUCUUUUGAGUUUCAAAAAGUGUUUUCAAAGGUCAAAUAUAUUUUGAGGGAAUAAUGACAAAAUCAAUGAUGAUAACCAACCUGUUUGCUUCUACACCAAUCACUCAUGAAAGCUCUUUCAAGGUUUAGUACUAGACUAGGAGGUAACUAGAGUAUUUACACUACGAAAUUCCGCCAGAAGACUUCUAUUCAUGGAGAUAGUUUCUGACAGGAUAUACUAGCUCAUUUUACUUGGACUUAAUCUUGACAUCUAAUUUUUUCAUCAAUGGUUUUAAAAAGGCAUCAUGAUAUACAUCUAGGACAUCUUUACCUAAUUGUUACCACUCUUUGUUGUCCUAGAUGGCCAAUUCAUCUUUAGCUGGUACCACACCCUUAACCCAAACCUUCAUGUUCAAAGCUCAUGCAUUCUCUCUUAAGUUUAUAUCGACAUAUAUGUGCAAAAACGCCGGAGAGGGAGGAACAACAUCGUUUUCAGUCACUCAAGAGAAAGACUGAAAGAGACAAGAAGGAAGUGUGCCAGAAAUCUUAUGAUGCCUCAGAAAAGCUCAUUCUUAAAGGUAAUUUUUGUGCUCCCUAAGACUCCAAGUCAAAAGGCAGUUUUCCCUUUCAAAAAAGAAAAAACGAAAAAAGAGAAAAAAGAAAGAAAAGAAAGGAAACCAAGAGCCUAAAGAGUCUUAGAAGUCGAAAUCACUUGAGCCAAGGCAAUAGGUAUUCACUUAAGGAGUUAUGGAUUCACAACCUGGACAAAAAUCCAAGUCUGGAGGAACUAUAAGGAGAACCUGAAGAAAGGAGAUCAGAAAUCUUGAAGCAAGAAGAAUGUGAUUGAAACGUGGGGGCAUUUACAGUUCCAUUCUCUCUUGCUGUUUUGCAUAAUGUCCUGUCUCUCCAGAAAAAAGUAACCCUAAACACCUCAGCCUUACCAUUAAAAAGCCUUUUUGAUACCUAACCUUGAAUGCCUUGUUUAAUAUCUUUUUGAUGAGAACCACUGAAACCUUUAAUGAAUGUUAAGAGCUAGUUGACUGGAAGUUUGUUCUAAGUGUGUGGAUUUUCGCAUGACGGAUUAACGGACUAGUUAUGUUUGUAUUUUGGUGAAAAUUUUCUAGACCUGAUCUGAUUGAUGCAUUGUCCAUAAUUAAGGUCUAGAAGUAUGGUUGCUGAUAUUUUUGAGUUCCCUGUCAUUUUUGUUGAAUGAUAUUUUUCCAGAUUUGAUCUUGUUUUGUUUGAGGACAAACAAAGUCUUAAGUCUAAGGUAGUUGAUAACACCUGAUUUUGACCAUUUUUCACCAUUGAUUUCAAAUGUUUUAAUCCGUUUUAGGAACUUUUAUUAUGAUUUCUAUGUAUUUGUAGUUUCAAGGCUCUUUUCAGAAAACUUAGGGAAUAUGAUGGCAAAAUAGAAGAAAUCCACAUUUUUAGCUCAGAGUCAGACUGUCAGAAGUUCAGCCUUACAUGAAGACUUUCUCACCGUCCGAUCCAGCUCAUAUUUAGAGACAGUCAAGAGGAGGCAACCAGCUUUCCAUAGCACUUUACAUCACAAAGAUCCAACGGUGCAAUCAAUAGAUACAUAGAGAAUAAGUUGACCCAGUUCACCAGUCCCGGAAGACUCUCACUCGCGGGAAACACAUGUUUUACCUGUCCUGGAAGACUCUCACCCCCGGUGGACCUUAGGACGAGCCACAAGGCCCAACAUCAAAUCUCACUUCGCCAUUUCUCUUCAGAGAAGCCUAAAUGAGACCUCGAAGACCUUAGGACCGAUAAAUACAUUGUUUAGCAGUCCUAAACGGGUGUGUGCUCCUGUAAUGAGAUUUUGAGCCACCAAACUCUGUUUUUCUAGGGUUAGGCGAUGGAGAUGGGGAUUCUUCCCCAGAUCCAUUGUUCUUUCUCCUUUUAAUCUAUUUAACUUUUCUGUUUCAUUCUUUUGCAUUCUUCUAUGUCUUUUAUCAUUCAUUGCAUCAUGUAGAUUAGUCCCAGAGAGUCAAGUUGUUUGAAGAUAUCGACAAGCAUAUAUAUCGAUUAGGAUUUCUAUUGUUCUUAGCCAUAUUCUGGAUCUCAUCUCUUCUAAGUUGUUCAUAAAGCAUGAGAGUAGAUUCAUGACCUAUUCUCUGAGCCUAGGAUUGAUCAGAGCCACGAGAGUGCUGUAUCAAAUCAUUCAUACCUAGCUUCAGAAGAACACAGUCACUAUCGAGAACUACCUAUAGAGAAGAUGUGAGCAGACGAAUUCAAUGUCUAAUGCAUGAUCUUAAGUUUAGCAUGAGAGCGAGAGUUAAUUGCUAGAUCUAAGAGAUUAGUUGAUAAAGGUGACGACAGUUGGUUAAUCAUACAUAUGUCUAUUCCAGUUCAAUGCAGAUUCCCAGAAACAGAUGAAGAUAAAUCGCUCGAAAGCUAAUUGGAAAUGCCAUCAUACAUCGAUUAGAGUAAACCGGAGAAGUCUAAAUCGCCACCUAUAAGUUUAAGAGUCUUUAGUUUGAGUCGAUAUGCUUUAAAUGUUUCUUUUAACAAUUCAUCCUCCAUUGCAUUUCUUGUGAAUAUUAGAUCAGGUUUAGUUUAGGAUCUCAACCAAAACUCCAAAACUUUUAUUAGUUUAUGAGUUUGCUUACUUCCCAGUUUGUUGUUUUUCGCAGAUUAGACAUCCUCCCUGUAGAUCGACACCAUAAGUCCUAUAACGUACAUCUGUGCACUUGCAGAUACUAGGGUUUUAUAAAUUUAAAAUUUUUGGAGGACCAACGGGCUUGUUGAAAAACAACCCUAGGCCUGCAAGCCCAUCACUGGACUUUGAGGUUAUUAUGGAAAGAGGGCAAAUAAGUUUUAAUUAAAUCAGUGGCAUCCACAAUGCCCACUUUUGUCAUGUCAUGUUUUCGGUUACCAAAAUCCACAACGGCCAGACUUACUAGUGUAGCGGCACGGUAUUGGUGGAGCUCUGAUGGGCAACAAAGAGGUAUGCACUGGAUAACAUGGAAGAAAAUGGAUAAAGAUAAGACGGAAGGGGGAAUGGGUUAACGAGAGGUGCUUUAUUGGCAAAACAAUUAUGACGGCUGAUUGAUAGACCUGAUUCACUGUUUGCACGGGUUUUUAAGGGAUGAUACUUUCGAAACACAAGUCCCUUGGACCCAGUACAAUCAUACUCUCCAUCCUAUGGUUGGCAGAGCAUAAUCUUGGCUAGAUAUCUGGUUAAUAAAUGACUAAUCAAAAGAGUAGAUUCGAGAUGUUCUAUUUCAGUUUGGAAUGAUCCUUGGAUACCUUCUUCUCGUCCGAGAUAAGCCACUUGUAAGGGAAUCAAUUAUUACUUGAAUCUUAUGGUUAAUCAUCUGAUUGACCCAGUGACAAAGAAGUGGAAUUUAGAAUUGAUUAAGGCAAUUAUUGAACCAACUGAUGUGGAAAUUAUCCGUGGAAUUCUCAUUAGUAUCUCUUAUAAGCCAGAUUAAUUGGGAUGACAUUUCACAAAAUCGGGAAGAUAUACAGUUAAAUCAAGAUACAAAAUUGAGCACCAAUCAUCAUAUGGAAUUUCAGAUGAGUUAUAUGGACCAGAUAUGAAGGCACUCCAGACAUAUGCUUAGAAAUUAAAAUGCUCUCCAAAAUUACACAUUUUUUUCACUUUCCUGCCGAAGAGUAAGGAGUCACAUUUUAUCUGCAAGAAAUAUCUGGAUGUCUUUCAGUGUCAGAUAGAUUACGCCCUCAGGAAUACAAUGCAAUACAUUAUGUGCACAAUGUGGAACGGAGAAUGAAACCAUAAAUCAUGUUCUUUCGAAUGCUCCCUUGUUUUACAAACUUGGGCAUUAUCUCAGAUACCAACACCACAUGGUGUUUUUCCAAUGACUUCGGUUUAUUCAAAUUUUGAUAAUCUUUUCUAGAGACUUACUAAAGCGAUGAAAAAUACUUAAUUUCCAUGGAUAGCAUGGUAUAUUUGGAAGACACGAAAUAAGAAAGUGUAUUUGGAUGUAGACCCACAAAUUACAUUAAAGAUAGCAGAAACAGAGGAAAUAUUAUGGGAAGAUACUCAAGGGUCUGAACAAGUUUCAACCCACACAACUUUGGGUAUUUCUACGGUCUACUCAAUACCUCCGUGAUACGAAGGUUGGUGGUGUUAUAUUGAUGGCUCUUGAAAAGAUACAGAUUUAUUCGCGGGAUUAGGAUGGUACUAUUUUCAAGAAGGUACUAUAGACCAAAUUAUGGGCAUGAUGAACAAAGGGUCGAUAUCAGUCUCGGAUUGGCGGCAAAUCGGUAUGCAAUACGAUGGUUUAGUAAACAUUAUACCUUUGGUUCGGGUGACAAUGCCAUUUCUCUGUGUUUUAUUGCCGGCGCCAAAGGUGGAUACAGGGAUGAGCGGUGGCGUUCGAGUGCUGCUAACGCUUCCUAGGGAUGCAAUGGCCAAGUUCAAGGAAGAGAUGAUUAAUUUCUAACCAUUGUUUUGGUGUUCUGUUUUUCUUUUUCUUUCUGUUGUUGAAUUUUGUUUUUCAAUGUUUAAAUCUAUCAUCAAUGACAGUUUUGGCUUGUUAUAAUUUCGCAUUACCCUUCAGCGAAAUAGAAACAAAAUCAGAGAACUCGACUUUUCCCACUUACAUCCAUCUAUUUACCUCAUGGAAACAAGAAUGCAUGAAAUAAAAAAGAAUGCAUGGGAAAAAAAAGAAUGCAUGGAAAGCAUGUUGGACAGUUGGACAAAAAAUUGGUACAAAAUAAUAUAGCGAUUUAAUCGCAAAUAUUGAAGUAAAUGUUAUAAGAAAGGAGAAUUUAAAACCGAUAAAAAACAAUUACAUAAACGAAUUAAUGAAGGCGAGAUAACUUUCUUUCUUUCCGUAACUUAAAAGAAUUACCCGUAGUGCAGUGAGAAAUAUCGAUUUAAGAGCCGCAGGAUACAAACGUUGAAUCUAUUAUCGCGUCACUCGAUAACAGAUCUAUCGAACUAAAAACUACGAUACUCUCGAAGACUUACUUUUAGCAAUAGAAAAUUCAAGAAACUUUUGCUUUAAGUUUUUUGGGUGUGAGUAUAUGCCUUUCUCUCAAGAGACGCGAGUCUAUUUAUAGUGAAGGAGAGAGUUAGGGUUUGGCUUUGUUGAUCAAGUUUCACCGACUUGCCACAACAAGGUUAGGCUGCGUCGGGGGCGCGCGUGUGGUCUUUUCUCUUCUCCAUCUCACUUUUAACAAUGAUAUAACUUAGUCCUUGUUUAUAUCAUUACAAAAUUUUCCAAACUACCAAUGUGGGACAAAUGACAUGUCUCCUCAUUUAAGGUAGCCAAUUCAUAAAGCUUUCAUUUAGUCCAAAGGCUUCAUUUCAAUUCACAUAUACAUUUGUAUAAAGCCCACAAACUUUACAAAAAUUGUUCCAACAAAGCAUAAGGAGUGUAAUCACACGAUUUGAAUCUUAAAAUCUGAUCAUAAAAUAAAUGCUCAUACGAUUGUAGCAGUUCAUCUAUGAUAUGGGAGCUACGUCCAUUUUGUUUUUCAUUUUCUUGUUCAAAAAUCAAACAAAACGGCAAUAAAGAAUAACUAAUAAAAAUUCUUUUAAAACAAACGAAUACAUGCCGAUCAGCUUCUCAACUUAAUACCUGAAAUACUUUUAGUGAUGGAAUCCUUAUCAUCAUUUUUUAAAACAAAGCUCUGGAAAACAAAGGAAUCCUUAUCAUCAUUUUUUUUCAAGUCGAUCAGCUUCUCAACUUAAUGUUCUUAAACCACCUCCAACAUGGGUUCGAGAGAGGUUCUUGGCCGAAAAACAUAGGCAAACUGGUACUAACAAAAAAAGAAAAAAACCCAUUUUGUUAAGAACAGUUCUUUAAAUAAGGAUUCUAAGGAUCAGUUCUAAAGGUCACGUGUCCGCAUUUGAUUAGCCAUAUGUUUAUUUUUGUGGAAACUCUCUCUCCUCUCGACCACUUUCUUUUGACCAUUUUUCUUUUUGGCCGAUGAUUUUUUUUUAGGGUUUGAAAGAGUGGAUUUGCGAUUCCUGAAGAGAAGAAUUAGUGGAGAGAAGAGUUGUGAUUCCAGAAGAAAAGAUCAACCAAUUUCGACUUCCUUUAUUCCUGGUUAGUGAUAUUUUACGAAUUUUUAAAUAUCAAUUGUGAAUUUGAAAUUUUUAAUAGAGAUUUUGAAAUUGGGAAUUUAGUUGCGAUUGUAGUUGCUUAGUUGAUUCUCUUCAUCAUUUCUUUCAUAGUUCAGUUUGGUUUGAUUCUCGUCAUCCUUUCAUUGUGGUCGCGAUUGUAGUUUUUGUCGAAUUGUAAUGUGAAUGAGUUAUGAGUUUAGUGUGAUUGAAGGAGUUUUGUUUGAUAAAGAUUUGAUUAUGGACAGAUAAUGCGGAUUAGCUACAGCGAGACAUUAUCUGAAGGACCAGAAUGGACUUGUGGUGGGCAUAUGCGGAUGCAAAUUUUGGCAUUCCUGAGAAAUGUUUCUGUGGUCGGCAGAUGAAGCUUGAAUCGUCGACAGGUGAAGAGAUAGAGACUCCUGACCGCAAGUACUAUACCCGUCCUGACUGGUUUAAAGAGGUAAGUUGAACCCAUUAUUGUCGAUGACUGAAGGUUUUUUUUUGUUUGAAAUUGUUUGAUAAAACUAACCUAUGUAUGUAGGCGAGUGGAGAGCAUAUAUGGAAAUGGUGGGAUGAGGGUGUGAUAGAACAAUUCUCAAUCGUGCAGAGAAAGCUUGAAGAGCAAAGGGAGAAGCUGCUUAGGCUUGACAGACUUCAAGCAUUUGAUCCCACCAUUGGAGAAAUAAAGGAAGAGGUAAGACUGCUUCAAGGAGAAGUUUCAAGGCUGAAGGAGCAAAAUGCUAACCAAGGUGAAGGCUAUUUGCUGCUGUGUUUUCUUUUUAUUUUUGCAGCCAUUUCAUAUAUGUUUAAGUAGAAGAAAUGAGUUGCAGCUAUUCUAUAUGUUUUAGUAAUGUUCCUUAUGAAGUUAUGUACUAAGACAAAAAUGUUUUAGGUUUUUUUUAGUCUAUGUUAUGAAGUUAUGUACUCUUUGUUUUCCAUCAGUAUUAAAGCUAAUGAAAACGUUGCCAUUGUUGUGCCUUUAUAAUAUGGAUUAGGACUUGAAUAUUUUGGGAACAGUUUGCAGGAAAUGCAUAGAGGAAAUGUUAUGAUCUUGGUGUUGCUCCUCUUGAUAGACUCCAAUAUAUAUUAUACUCACCAUUUCAAGUCUUUAGUUUCAGAAUGUGUCUUCUCUUCUUUUAGCAUUUUGCAUCUAUGUUUGUACCAUUGUCUAUGUAUGUCUUAUGUUCAUGCAUAUAUACCAAAAACCGGAAUAUGGAAUAUGUAACAGAGCUAUGUAAACGCAGGACGGAUAACACUUGGGAUGAUUUGAGGUUAAAUGUCUUCAAACCCUGAUGCUCCAUUGGAAACUGAGAAGCUUGCUGAGGAAACAUAAGCUGUUCCUCAGUUCUAGAGCUCGUCUAGACUAGUUUCAAACUUCCGGAAGCGUCCACGGAAAAAUCCAAGGGCUCAAAAAGAACGAGACCCAAUUGGAACAAGAACAGCCUCAUAAGGAAAGUGAAAACGGUUUCAAGAUUCUUUUCAACAUUGAACAAGAAAAUGGUUUGGUUAGUAAAAACUUAAUAAUGAGUGUUUUAAAAUGUUUUGCUUUGUUGUUUAAAAAUUUGUUUUGUUUUCUCUUUUUUUGUUAGGUAAAAUGGAGAAACAACGAACGAUGCUCAUACAAGAUCCCGCCGAUUACUUAAAAGCAAUGAAGCAAGGUAAUUCAUAUUCCUAACUAUUUGUUAGCUUACAUAGUUAGCUGAAUAGUUGGCUGUAAUGAUCUGUUAGAUAUGCUUUAUGAUAAAUGCUUGUUAGGUGUUUGUUAGGUGAAGACUCUUUGUUAUCAAUGCUUGGUAGUUUAGAGUAGGUUAAAUUGUUGAAGCUCUUUUGAUGAAUGCUGGUUAUUGAUUGCUAACAACACUUUAAUCAUAAUCGCUUAUAUAUCUUAUAUACUAAUAAAAGUUGAAGCUAAAUUUUUCUAAUAGUGUCCACAUGGGAUUUAAAAGUUCAAUUUUAUUGGUCCACAUCAACAUUCAAAAUCAAAAAAGUUUACAAAUUCUAAUAAAUUCUAAUAUUAUUACUGAAUAAAGAAAUUAAAAUCUUUACAAAUUCUAAUAUUAUUGUCUGAAUAAAGAAAUUAUAUAUAAUUUUUAUAUCACCUCAAAAUUGAAAAUUAAAAAGUUUCCAAAUUCUAUUAUUGUUUUUAAAAAUUUAUUAAAGAGAAAAAAUUAUAUAAAAUUAGUAAUAAGAAAAAAUAAAAUAAAACUAUUAAAAUAGGAAAUUUAAAAUUUAAAUUAGAUGUAUACACACAUAUUUAGAGACUCUUACAUUAGCAUCCAAAUUUUUCUCACAUAACUAUAUUAAAUUUUAAGUUUUUUUCUGUGUGUGCAACUAUUUUUUUUUAAGAAAAUAGAGUUAGGUUUCACUAAGGAAUUACAAAGUCUAGAGGUCGCUGGUUCGAAUGGCUCUUGGGAUGAAACUAAUAUUACUGUACAUGCUGUGGUUUCGAACCUGGAGGGAUUACGGGUUUCGGCCCAGAACCUCCUGGUAAUCCAAAAAAAAAAACCAACUUGACUAAACUAUAUAUUUAACUAUUAGUUAAAUUAUAAAUAAUAUAAUGAAAAGAGAUAUAAACGAGCCACUACAAGCCGCUUUAAUAUUGAAAAAAAAAUCAUAAAAUUUCCAGAGCUUGACCACUGAAUUUGAGAAGAAUGAUAGAUUCUAAGCAAUCUGAAAAACGAAGCACUGAAAAUAGAGAAAAAGAUUACAUCAUUAAGACAAAAGAGAUUAAGGUAUCCAAGAAAGAUUUUUGAAAUAACAUGGUAUCUAAUGGGGUUUUAACAACCCAACAUGAACCACAAAUGUAACAGUUAGCUGACCAAGCAACAUCCGAAUACAUUUGGCAAGCCUCAAAAUAAGAUGCAAUGGAUCUCGUGUGGGAUCUUCCAGAUUUAAUUUCUAAAUCUAUUACUAAUAAAAGUUAAAGCUAUAGGUCUAUAAGAAUGUCCACAUAUUAUUUAAAAUUUCAAAUAUAUUGGUCCACAUCAAUAUUUAAAAUUAAGAAAAUUUCCAAAUUUUAAAAUUAUAUUGUUAACGAAAAAUAGAUUUAUAGAAAAAUAAAAGUUGAAGCUAUAUGCUUCUAAGGACAUCCACAUAAGAUUUAUAAGGUCAAUUUUAUUAGUCCCCAUCAAUAAGUAAAAUUAAAAAAGUUUCUAAAUUAUUAAAUUACAUUGUUAAUACAAAACAAUAUAGAUUUUUUUUAAUUUAAACUUAUUCUAUUAUUAGUAUUAGUUAAAGCUAUAUUAUUUUCAAGGAAUUCAAAUCAGCAUUUAAAAAUUCAAUGUUAUUCAUAUAUAUCAAAAUUGUAAAUUAAAAAAAAGCUUCAUAAUUCUAAUAUUAUGGUUAAGAAAAUAAAUUAAAAAUUAAAGAAAUCUCUAUUAACAAAAAAAAAACCAAAAUGAUAUUAAAAUCUCCAUUAUCACUGUUUAAAUAACAAAAUAUUUUAACUCAAGUCCUCAGCUGGUUGGUCUGCAAGCUAGAGAGGUGAGUCACUGCAAGCAGCAGUGGGGGAGGUUAAUUGACAAGUUUUUUGGAUGCUAUGAGGCUGCAAUGAAGGAGCAAUCAAGCGGCCAGAAUGAGAAUGAUUUAAUGAAAGCAGCUCAUGAAAUCUUCUUCAAUGAUCACCUGGUUAAGCUCACACUUGAGCAUGCAUGGAGGGUGCCUUGCCAUGACCAGAAAUGGUGUUCAACGGCUUUGUUAAAGAUGGUGGAAAGGUUAAACGAAGAAAGGUUGAGGAGGGUUCAGCACAGUCUUGAGGCUCCCAACAAGAAAACCAUGGAGAGGAUGUUUCAUAUGCUCGUCCGCCUGGUAUUAAGGAAUCAAAGGCUGCUAAAGCUAGAAGGAAUGGAAUGCAUACAAAUACUGGUAAGAAGAAGGCAAGGCUCUGUUGGAGUUAAAGAGCAUGUGGGAAAUAAAAAAAGGACUUGGAAAUGAAAGAGAAGCUUUCUAAGAAUAAAUUGCUUGAGAGUGUCCUUGCAAAAACAGAACCACUUUCUGAUAUAGAAAUGGCUCUAAAGAACAAGCUAAUUAGUGACAUGUUGUCAUAAUUAGUCAUCUCUUUCUAGUGUUUUAUGUGUAAUAACUAUUAUUUGUUUUGUAUGAACUUUGAUGUAAGCUGUUUCUUGGUUAACUGAAUGAUGGAUUUAUGCUAUGAUAGUUUGGUUUAUAGAUACAUGAACAUUGAUCCUUUGAAGUUUGUUUGUUUGCUCUUGUUAAUGCUUUACCUCGGUCUUGGAUUUCCGAUAUGGGUUUUGGUUGUUCUUUGUCAGCUAGACCUCUCAACGAGCAACUCCAGAGAUGUGAAAUUGUUUCCUUCAACAAGAUAUAUAGGUAUUGUUUAUUUGGUCAGAGCUGUGACAUUGUUGCCUUCAAAAAGAUAUGUAAGUUAUGUUUAUUUGGUUCGUGUAUUUGGUUCCAUUUCUUAUAUAGGUUUUGUUGUGCUUUGCUUUGUGUCUUUAGUUCCAUUUCUUAGAUGGGUUUUGUUGUGCUUUGCUUCUUUGCUACUUUUUGAUAUGGGUUUCGUUGUUCUUUUUGUAUGAGCUAAUCAAGGACCAGCUGGAGGCACAAAAAAGGUCAAGGCCAAAUAUAGAAUACACAGAGCAAUACAGAUCACGAGUUUUCCAUUUUGGUUUUGUUUUGUUUUGUUUUUGGAGGUCAAAGGUAUUUGUUUGUUUUGUGGAGGGUCUAUUUUUGUUAUGUUUUGUAGAAUUGUAAACCACAAAAUUUUGAAGAUUGUACACCACAAAAAUUCUUGAGUAUUGUAAACCACAUAUGUGUUGUAAAGAUAUCGAUCAUUUAUUUUCUAUAUAUGUGUUUAGAAUGUGUUCUUUUAUUUCUCAAUAAAAAAAAACUCCAACACUUCUCUUCUUUUAUUUCUCCAUAAAAAAAGUGCACCUCUUCUCUUCUUUUAUUUCUCAACCAAACUCCAACUCUUCCCUUGUUUCUCAAUCAAACAAAAAUAAAUUCACAAAAAAUGGCAUCAUCUUCAAACAAUGUUUUCGACGGAUCACUUGAUGAAGGUUAGGUGCGCCUGUCGCCCACUAAAAAGUAAUGAGGCUAGUCUCCCCCUUGAAGUUUUGAUGAAGUCUUCGAUCAAAAAUUCGACAAUAUGUUCGAUGCCAUUCUUGAUGCAGCAACCAAGCCAAAGAAGAAAUGACCAUAUAUUGAAAGAGAACGCGAAGAAGGCCACAACCGCUUAUGGAGCGAUUAUUUCAGUGAAGAUGCAAUAUACCCUCCUAAUAUAUUUCGACGCGGUUUUAGAAUGAACAAGUCCUUGUUCAUGUGUAUUGUUGAUCAACUCUCCCAUGAUGUGCCCUUCUUUCCAAGAAUAAUAUAUGGUACGGGACGGUACAGUAGCUUUGGNNNNNNNNNNNNNNNNNNNNNNNNNNNNNNNNNNNNNNNNNNNNNNNNNNNNNNNNNNNNNNNNNNNNNNNNNNNNNNNNNNNNNNNNNNNNNNNNNNNNNNNNNNNNNNNNNNNNNNNNNNNNNNNNNNNNNNNNNNNNNNNNNNNNNNNNNNNNNNNNNNNNNNNNNNNNNNNNNNNNNNNNNNNNNNNNNNNNNNNNNNNNNNNNNNNNNNNNNNNNNNNNNNNNNNNNNNNNNNNNNNNNNNNNNNNNNNNNNNNNNNNNNNNNNNNNNNNNNNNNNNNNNNNNNNNNNNNNNNNNNNNNNNNNNNNNNNNNNNNNNNNNNNNNNNNNAAAUAGAUUUUGAUUCCUAUAGAAGAACUUCAAACGACUACUCGAUAUUGGAGAAAUACGCGGAUUUCCCGGGAUGAUAGAAAGCAUCGAUUGUAUGCAUGAGGGGUGGAAAAAUUGCCCCACUCUUCCACUCCCAAUGCAUACAAUCCAAGCGGUAGGGCACUUCUUCCACUCCCAAUGCAUACAAUCGAUGCUUCCUAUUAUCCCGGAAAAUCCACGUAUCUCUCCAAUAUCGAAUAGUCGUUGAAGAUCUUCUGGUGUGGGUCUUCUUAGAUACUUAUCUCCAAACAAAUUUAUUAUUCCUUCUACGAAAAUUUCCAAGCAAGAAAUUACUGGACUUUCACCGAGCUAGAGGUAUUCGUCAACCGUGUCAGCCGCACAACCAUAUGCCGUCAUACAAAUUGCUGCUGUACACUUUUGUAAUUCAGAGAGACUGAACCUUCCAGUAGCAUUUCUUCUUUGUUGAAAGAAUGGAACCUCAUGGGUGAGUCGAUCAACAAUACACAUGAACAAGAGUGUGUUCAUUCUAAAUAUAUUAGGAGGGUAUGUUGAAUCUUCACUGAAAUAGUCGUUCCAUAAGCGGUUGUGGCCUUGUUCGCGUUCUCUUUCAAUAUAUGCUCUUUUUCUGUUGCUGCAUCAAGAAUGGGAACAUAUUGUCGAAUUUUUGAUUGAAGACUUCAUCAAAACUUUCAUCAAGUGAUCCAUCGAAAGCAUUUUUGGAAGAUGAUGCCAUUUUUUUUGAAUUAAUUUUUGUUUGAUGGAGAAACAAGAAACAAGGGAAGAGUUAGAGUUUAGUAGAGAAAUAAAAGAAGAGAAGAGUUAGAGUUUUUAUAUUAAGAAAUAAAAGAACAUUUUCUAAACACAUAUAUAGAAAAUAAAUGAUCGAUAUCUUUACAACACAUAUGUGGUUUAAAAUACUCUCAAGAAAUUUUGUAGUUUACAAUCUUCAAAUUUUUUUGGUUUACAAUUCUACAAAACGUAACAAAAAUAGACCUCCACAAAACAAACAAAUACUCUAGACCUCCAAAAACAAAACAAAACAAAACUCUUUGGUAAGGGUGCGUAAGUGAAUUUGAUUUUGAGGAAAGUGCGUGAGAAGGGACAAAAAAAGAUGAGGUAAACAUAUUAGUUUGAAAAAUAGACUGUUAAAUCUCAAAGUGAGAGUCUGAGGGGGUAAUAAAUAUGUCUUAUUCAUCUAACGAAAUAACUUGGUAAAACUGAGAUGAUUAAUUUGCUGUGAAUUAUUUACUAGCUUUAUAAUUGUAAUCUCUUAACAAAAUAGAGAUGUGUUAUGUGAGUUAUUUACUAACUAAAAAAUUAUUUACGAACUAAAAUACAGAAUCAGAGAUGAACUAUUUUAAAGCUCUAUUAAUAUUCUUAUAUGCUAAUUAUAUAAUAAUGAUUAAACGUAACUAGUUGAAGUGAUUGAUAAACCUUUUGUAUUUUUUAAAGUUGAAAAUGUUACAACUACAGUCAUGGAUAUAACUAUAUGUAAGUAACUAUUUUGGGAACAAAUUUUAAUACAAUUAAAAUUUACAGUUAUCUUACUUUAUUUUCAUGUAUUGUAUAGUCUUUCCAGAGAAAUUUUAUAAUUGUAGGGUUUGGAAUUUUAAUAUGUUUUUUAUUUAAAUGUUUCUUCGUCGAAAUAAUCGAUUUGAGUUUAUUAUAUGCCAAUUUCAGUACCUAAUUUUUCUACUUCUACAGAACUCAUCCCAACAAGUGAAAAGAUGUCAAGAAGAUGGAAUUGUGUGACCAAAGCCUUGAAAAUAUUUUUAAAUCAUGCAAGUCUUCUUACCAGAUAGCAUAUGGUAAUGGAACUAAAGAAUCAUAAGAUGCCAUUUUGAGAAAACUUAGGCUGAUAUUAAAUUUGCUUUCAGUUAAGGAAUGUAAAAAAUCUUUAGCGAUUAAAGUCAAGUGAAAGAUUUAGCGUUCCAACGUGAGAUCUAUAUGAUUUCUCUGCAACAUGGUGUGUACUUUUGAUAUAUAUAUAUAUAUAUAUGUAUGUAUGUGCGUGUGUGUGUAUGCACUUUGCAGAGAAAUCAUAUAGAUCUCACGUUGGAACGCUAAAAUACAGAAUCAGAGAUGAACAAUUUUAAAGCUCUAUUAAAAUUCUUAUAUGCUAAUUAUAUGAUAAUGAUGAACUAUGCUAAUCAUGGUGUGUACUUUCCUUAUCCUAAGUUCAUAUAUAUGCGUGUGUGUGUGUGAAAUAGACGCAAAGGAAAGACAGAGAGGAUGAGAAAACGGGCACGGAAAGAAGGAAAUAUGGAGCUGUAUUAAUAAAAUCGCCUAAGAGGUAAAAUAGAAUUGCAUAGAAGAAAUAUGAACUUAGGAUAAGUAUUUCUGAGUUGUCAUUCACAUCAGAAUCCUUUUAUUUGAACAUAAGAAAAUGAAAAAAUAUAUUCGUUGAAGUUGAUUAUCAAUUGGAUAAUAUGUUAACCAAGGCUUUUGGAUGAAUGAGAUUAUAGUUUUUAUAGCGAGGAUUUGAUGCAGGGUUUCUGAAAUCUUGAUACCGGAUAUAGUUUCCAUUAUUUUCUUUUGCUUUGUUUUGUGGAAUCACUUUCAUACUAACAUGUUUCUGGGGAAAAUAUUGUCAUUGGGCUAAAUACAAUUUAGGAUAUCAUAGUUAGAAUUGCAUUACAUCCAUUUUAUGGUUUCAGAAGAGUUUGUGAAAGUCUUAGCCAAUGAGAAUAAAAAAUAGUUUCGAGUAACUUUAUCUAUUUGUUUAUAAAAUAUGUCUCUUAAGUUCAUAAUUCCAUAAAUUGAUACUUACUAUUUGUUGGAUUAUAUAUCAACUCUAGAUUUGUUGAGUUUUUUUUUUUGGGUCGAAGAUUUGUUAAGUGUUUGUUCAUGGUUUUUAGUAGAGAAUGUAUUUGAUUAGCUUCUUUGAAGAUAAAAUAAAAGCCCACAAAAAAACAAUUAAAUUUUAUUUCAUUUAUGAUGUUCUCUUUUAUUAUACUUUAAUACUUAUUAUAAUUAGCAUCUAUUAGUAUAAUAGUUUUUCCUAGAAUCUGAGAACAUAUAUAAUAUUUAUAAAAGAUAACUUAUAAAUAUCAAGGAAGUAUACUUUAAUAAUUUUAUUUUUGAGUUUAUGUAUAUAUAGUUUAGGAAAAUAUUUACCUUCAGUUACAUAUAUCAAAGUGUGGUAUUUAAGAAUGUAUGUUAUGAGUGGUACUGUAACAUCCUAAUUCCUGGUAUAUAUGAAAAAGCUUUAUAGAAUUGAUUUGAUUACCUGUGGUAUCCUAAAAUAAUAACAUGUGGAAGCCAAGUAUUGAGAAGAUAAAUAGGUGAAGUUCUCAAGAAAAUUUUUUAACACUACAAACUAGAAAAAUACACAUAAAAAUUGGUUAGAAAAAGGAGAAAUGAGAGGAAGAUAAUCAAUACUAGGUUUAAAUCGUGCCAAAAUAUGGUAUGUAUUCAAUUUGUGGUGUUCAUGAAAGAGAGAGAAAGAGAAAGAGAGAGAGAGAAAAUGCAUCUUGAAAAUAUAAUAGACGUAUUUGGAAUGAUAUUAGUGUGAGCUGAGUGAACAUUUGAGAAUAAUGAAAUAUAUGUAUCUAUUAUUUUGAAUCCUCUAAGCUUUAUUCUCAUUCUCCUUUUUAGAUAUAUAUAGAAUUUCAUAAGAGUUAACUGAUUGAUAUGUAGACUAAAUUUAGUGACUGGUUUGAGUUGUGUUUAGCUAUGAGCGUAAAGUGUCUCAGUUUAUAAUUUUUUGGUGGAUAUGAUUUAACAUCAAUAACUUUAACUAGGUUGAAUAAUUUUUUAUAGCGUAUUUCAUCAAUAUGUGUAGCGCAAUAAAAUAGUAAUCAUCCUUUCCAAUUUAACAUUUAUAAUUAUUCACUAUUUGUUUAGUUCUAUUUUUCUUAGUUACAUAAUAUUGAAUAAUUCUUUUUUUUGUGAAAUACUAAAUUUUAUUAAAUUUUUUCCUAAAAUUCUUUUCUAACUAGUAUAUAUAAUAUUCCGAGAAUUCUAAAUGUGCGGGCGGAUAGUCUGGCAAAAUGAGCCUAAACAAGAGGAAUUAUUUUUUUCUAAAUCGAUCAUAUCGAGCCGGUCAAGGAUGGUCAUGUGACCACUUCUAUGAUGGGCCAAAUGUGAUUGUAAUAGUUGGGUAGAGGAAAACAAACUAGUAUAUAUAAUACUCAUGGUUAUUAGUACAGUGUGCUUAUUCCACAGAAGAGAACUGAAAAUAAAGACAUCUCCAACUCAUCUCAAUUUUUGACUCUAAAUGGUAUUUUAGAGAAAAAUCCUCUCCAACCCACCUCUAUUUCCAACUCUAAAAUAGCAUUUCUCUAUUUUUUCCUAUAUAUUUGGAGGAACUCUAUUUUUUACUCUAAAAUAGAGUUGAAUUUUUUUAUUUAUUAAUGUCCUUUAAGUUUCAAAUUUUUUUAUUUAUGACUAAAACAAACAGUAUAAAUGGUAUAUAUUUAAAUUUUACAAUAAAACUUAACAAAGUUAAUUUCAGAUGUAUUAUACUUACUUUAUUCAUUUUGACAUAAAAAAGACUAGUGAUUUAAUAUAUUUGUGAAAAAACAAAAAUAUAGUAAUAGUGAUUUUAAAUCCAAAUCUACUAUGUUUUUUUCAUUUUUAAUUGAUAUAAUGAAUUUUAACUAUUGAAUAAAUGUUUAUUUCAAAUAAUGUUAUAAUAUUGUAAAAGUUUUGUAAAUAAUAAAACAAGUGGGAUUAAAUUGUAUUUAUUUACAGAUAGAAGAUAUUAAUAAUAAAAUAAAAUAUAUAUACUUAGAAUAUUCUCUUUUUAAAGUUAAAAAUAGAGAAAUACAAUGGAGGAAAAUCCACCUUUAUUUUAGAAUAAAAAAUAGAGGAAUGCAUUGGAGAUGGUCUAAGAGUCCACUUCAUUGGAGAGCAUGAGCAACACAGAGUCAUACUCGCCGGAGUUUGGGCUCCCCCUCUAAUGAGCGAGUCUACAGAAUCAAAAAUAAUUGUUGAACCGGAUCUUGACCAAAGAUAUCCAGAUCCUGGUUAUCGAUCUGGAGCGUUUGGACAUGGAGAAACUGAGAGAAGCAUGCAAGGACUGGGGAAUAUUCCAUCUGGAGAAUACGGUGAUACCGUCAAUGCUGAUGUCACAGGUGAAAUAGAUAACGGAUUCGCUGUUGAGUCUGCCGUUUGAUGAAAAAUGGAAGUUGCUCGGCAUUAACUCUCCGUUAUCGUAUUACAGAGGAACAGAUACGGUUAGUCCAUCGGGAAACACCGUAAACAAGGCCCCACGAAAAUCUAGUGGUCACUUGUUCGAUGGCAUCAACGUUCCUCUUGGUUUUUGACAAUGGCAAAGCGAGCUUGCAAAACUCCAAAAGCACGUUCGACGUCUUACAGGCUGAUUCUUGAUGUGUAUCAAAUAAGGAUUCUUUCUGACCUUGUGGUAUUUGAAUAGAUUGGAUAAAUGUAGCUCAUUUAGGAUAAAUUUCAUCGGUGAGAUAGUAAGCCAAAUGAUACUGUCGUCCGUUGACAAAGUAAUUCACUUUUGGAGCUUUACCUUGUAAUAUAUCAUCAAAAACUGGUGAGCGAUCAAGAAUAUUGAUAUCAUUUGAGGUACCUGAAAGUCCAAAAAAAGUGUGUCAUCCAAAGAUCAUGUUAAACUACAGCCUCUAAAACGAUUGUCGAUUUGCCAGAUCCACAUGAGUAUUGCUCUUUCCAAGCGGUGGGGCAAUUCGAAAGAUUUUUUUGUUCCAGCUCUCAGUUUUCCCUUUUACUUUUUCUUUGAUAUAUUGGAACAUCUCCGACUUUUUCCUACCAAACUGUUCGGGCACACCAAGGUAUUUACCUCCACCACCAUCAUUCAAGAUCCCAAGGAUGUUGCUCAUUUGAGUUUUAACCCGAUCCUGAACUUUGCUACCAAAAGUAAUCGAAGACUUCUGUAGAUUCACUGCCUGACCAGAAAUUGCUUCGUAUAUACCCAGAAUUUUCUUUAUUGUUCUGCAGGAUUUAGAUUGGAAAGGGUGAAAAACAAAGAGUCAUCAGCAAAAAGAAGAUGACUAACUGCAGGACUUCUAUUGCUGAUUUUGAUUCCCUGUAACUUUCUUUCAGCCAUUUCUCUAUUCAUCAUAUGAGAUAAUACAUUUGCACAGAGAAUAAACAAAUUAGGUGAAAGAGGAUCACCCUGGCGUAUUCUUCGCUCUGGUUGAUUAUAACCUUUAGCUGAUCCAUUUAUCAAGACCGAAAAGGAAACAGUUUUCACACACUCUAUUACCCAGUCAACCCAUUUCUGAUUAAACCCCAUCUGGAUCAUAGUCACCUCUAAAAAGCCUUAUUCAAGCCUAUCAUAUGCUUUGGUAAUAUCAGUUUUCAGAGCCAUAUAAUAUUGUCUGUGAUCAUUCUCCCAGGUAUGAAAGCUGCUUGCUUUUCUGCAACUAUCCCAUGUAAAUGCUUCUUCAAUCUGUUUACUAAAAUCUUAGAGAUGAUCUUAUAAGAAACAUUAUGUAAAGCAAUAGGACGAAAAUCAGACAUAGUAUUGGGUGGAUCAACUUUUGGAAUCAAACAGAUAUUUGUGUGACUAUGAGAAGCAUCCAGUUUAGCCGUAUCAAAGAAAUUUUGUACCUCAGUAAUUAUAGAUGGGCCGAUCUCAUUCCAAUAUUGUUGAUAAAACUGUCCUGUAAAUCCAUCAGGACCUGGAGCUUGAUGAGGACCAAUAUCAAAGACUGCUUUUUUAAUUUCCUCUGGAGACACAUCCUUUGUAAGAUCUUCAUUGAUAUGGGGUUACUUUCCUUUGAUAAUCUCUGAAAACCUCUGAAUAAAGAGCUCCAGGGUCAGUGUUUGAAGAGAAUAGCGUUUGAAAAUAGUCAUCAGCUACCCUGGCAAUCUCAUAAUCUCCUCUUUGAAUAACACCAUGAGAAUCUAAUAUGGAGUUAAUUCUGUUCUUUGAUCUCCUGGUUUUUGUGACAGAAUUAAAAUAUUUGGUGUUCCUAUCACCAGCUUUUAACCAUUGAUUCCUGCUCUUUUGAUUCCAAAAAAUCCUCUUCUAGGUACGCUUGAUCUAACUCUUGCUUUAAUCUAUUCCUUUCAUCCCUUGUUGAAACACUUGAUGUAAUUACCCGAUCUAAUUUCCUUCUAAUCAAGAAAAUUCUUUCCUCUGCAUUGAUCCGGUCUUUCUUUUCCAUCCUGCAAUAGAUUUACUGCAGUUUCUUAAUCUUUGCACUAAAGACACUUGAUCAUUCUGCAGAUGGGAAUCUCCAAACCAACCCUGAAGCACUGUAUUGUGAAAACACUCCUUACUGAUCAUACGACCAUCAAAUCUGAAACUCUCUCUUUUUUCUUCAACUCUAUCCAAUAUAUACGUUACCAGAGGCCGAUGAUCUGAUUCUUCCAUCUCUAAAAACUCUGUUUCUGAAGAAGGAAACAUUUGAUGCCAUUCAUUAUUUGCCAUAGUGCGAUCUAGGCAACAUAAUACAAAGUGUUUCCCUCUUUGGCCUGCCCAGGAAAACCGGUUACCAAUUGAUUUCAAAUCAGAAGAAUCACAAGCUCUAACCAUUCUUCUCAUAUCCUGAAACGAUGCUUCUGUUCUACACCGACCACCCUUUUUCUCAUCAUUACUCAAUAGCUCAUUGAAAUCACCCUGAAUAAACCACGAUUGACCUCUUCUAGUGAUAGCUAUUCUUUCAAUCAUUUCCCAUAGACUGUUUCGGAAACUUGGAUUUGGGUUUCCAUAGACAAAAGACAAAUACGUAGAAUGAAACUCCAUUACUUUUGACUAAACAAUCUACAAGAUUAGGAGAUUAAAAUAAGACAGAAAGAUCAACAUGAGACUUCCAAAAGACAACUAUACCCCACUUAAUCCAUCCGGUGGGACUAUUACAUGAUGAAAACACCCUAACUGACAACCCACAUCUCUAACAUAGUUGUUUUGCUGCUUUGUUUCAGAAAAGCAAAUGAUGUCCGGGAGAUAUUUCCUGUUUAUCUCCUUAAGGCGUCGAACUGUCGAGUCAAUGCCUAAAACUUGACAAAUCCAACAUGUUGUCCUCAUGGCGAGUGUGGUGGUUCAGGGCCCACCGCGCCUCCAUCAUUUUUGUUGAUUCCGUUUCUGAAAUUACUGCCACUGCAUUCACCUUUCUCCUGAAUCUGAGCUCUUAAAAAAUUUUCCUCACCGUGUUUAUAAACAGUUGCUUUGUUGCGGGCAUUAUUUAAGUCGUCAGAGGAUUUCCUCUUACGAUUAACACCUGCAAGAUUCACAAAGUAUGGAAAGGGGUUGUGUAGCUCAUUCAUGUCGAGAUCAUGGCUGAGCAUGAUACGCAUCACAGCAGGAACAUUUGAUUCUGCAUCAGAUGUCUCAAGUGGAAUGUAAUCCUCCGCAGCAUUUGGAUUAAACUCCUCUUCAUCUUUGUCCUGUUGUUCUCCAGGGCCAUUAACAUUUUCAUUGUGAUCACCUUCCUGCAUAUUCUCACCCAAAAUAUUUUCAGCAUCAUCAAUCUCGUGAAUCUCAACACCAUUAUUACCUCCAUAAUUCGGCUGGACAGCAUCAUCGUUGUCAUCAUCUCCAUCAGAAUUGUGUCCUUCAGGGCCACUAUUUUGAAUCAGACAUUUCCCCGAGUCAUGUGUUAACAUACCACAAACUUCACAAAAUCUCCUAAGCCUCUCGUAUGUGAACCGCAAAAGCGUGUUUGUACCAGGAGAGAAUUGGAAAUUCCUCUGAAAUCUUAGGGGAGCAGCAACGUUCCAAUUGAGACGAACCCUGACAAACUCCACUCGUGCUGCUGUCUCAAGAUUGAAAUCAACUCCAAUCAGAGUAUCCAUAUUACGCCCAAUAUGAGAGAUUACAUCAUGAUUGAGAUAUUGGAAAGGUAUUCCCCUAAUCUGAACCCAAAUUGGAAUGAGAUCCAUGUCCAAAGGGUCCAUCGUAGGAGUCCACCUCUACAAAACUAAUAUCCUGUCGAAAAACGCCCAUGGUCCAUGCCGGAUCACCAUCUCCAGAGCCUCUUCUGUUGGGAAAACAAACUGGAAUCUCCCACCCUCAAUGAUUCUGCCAUGGACAAUCCUAUCUUGUCCCCACAUUCGAGGAAGGUUGGCAAUGAUUGACCGGAGAUUUUGCUUUCUUGGCAUCACCAGUCUUCCCAUUAAAAUGAAUCUGUUAUCCCCCACCGCCUGAGUCACAACUUCCACCGGGAGAGCAAUUGGUGGAUCAUCUGCACCCAAAUUGAUGUCUUGGAUCGCUCUUCGCAGAUUGUCAGCCAUUUUCGGAAGGGUUGAGUAGAAUCAAAAAGGAAGAAAAUAGAUAACUGAAAGGAAUGCUUUUCGAUUUGAGUGAGGGAAAGUCGAUUGAAACAAACUCUUUUUAUAGGCGUCUCGCCAUCGCAAAUUCGGAAAUCCAUUAUCAUCACGAUCAAUCGUGAGAUCAAUCGGGCAUAACCGUCGGCGAGUGGCAUACUGCGAAGAGAUUAGCCGCUUCACCGGCGAAAUUGUUGAAAACCGUCAAGAAAACUGUCAAAAAAUGUCGGCCAUAAAACCGCUCAGAAAUCGCUUUUUUAAUCGCCUCUCUAACGGUCAUUUCUAGUGCUCUUUUGCUCUACGAUUCCCUUAUUCUAUUCAACGGCUGUGUGUCAUUUUACUGUUACUUUAUCUUUUCCUCUUUUUUGGGUAAUUUUUUUUAGUUUGCAUGCAUAGAUAAUUUUACUCUUACUUCAUUGGUGAUUUUUGUUGGUUUAACAAUUUAAUAAAAUCAAUUUUCAGAGAAGUAUUAUUUAAGUUUGCGCGUAGACAAUUUUAUUCUUUUUUUUAUAGACAAUUUAUUCUUGAAAGCUAAGGUUAAAUUAAUUCUACACUUCUUGAGAAGACAUUUUAUUUUUUCAUGAGAAGUUUCAUAUAAUAACAGAUCUUUACAAGUUUAAACCUUGCUGAAUUUCAAGUUAGAAGUCUAUUUCUCCGCAAAAUCAAAAUUCAAAACUUAUUUUCUUCCAAUAUCGGUUUUAUAGGUUUAGUGCCUGACUGGUUUAAACGCAGCGGUUGCGGUUGCGAGUGCAAGAGUUUGCGGAAGCGAGUAAUUGCAGUUUUGAGCGUUAUUAAGCGGUUUGCAUGAAUGUUUUAACUUUUUAAGGUGGAUCUGUUUGCAGGACAUUUUUGACUGGCAAACCAGCGGAUGUUUUAGCGGUUAAACAUAAAAUUACCAAAAUAAACAUCAAAAUUAAUUAUAUAAAAAAAACUAUAUUAUUAUACUUAAUAUCAAAAUCACUGGUUCAAAAUAAUCAGUGGAUGUCAUACCAUUGAAGUUUUUAUUUGAAAAUCAGUCAAAACAUAUAUCCAAUUUCGAAAACAUAUACAUGUAAAUCAUAAACUAUAGAUUUGAAAACUUUUAAACAAAGAGAAAUCAUAUUGGAAAUCAACACACACAAAAAAAAAAUCAAUAUGAAUAAAUUAAACCAAAGUAUUAUGGCAUUUAUGCUUGUGUCUUGAUUUUUUUUUAACUGGUAUGGAAGUCAUGAUUAAAAAUUAGAAUUUGAUAGAAAAAGUGAUAGAUUAGGGUUUAUAUAUAUAGGAGAAGAUUAGUAGGGUUUGGGUUUUAUAAUUGUUUUUAACAUAACCUUUCAUUUUUUUAGCGUGAUUUUUUUUUAUAAUCCAACCGCUAUCGCCCGCAACCGCACACUAACAGAAAAUAGCUUUUAGAUUUCAAUGGUAUAAAACGAUACAGACCAGUUUACAGCGAUUUCUAUAAUUGUUAUAAAACGCCAAUAACCGCUACUAACCACAAACGCAACGUUUGCGGAUGAUAGCGGGUCAACCAAUCAACACCAUAAACCCAAACUAAACCGAAUGAAAGAUGAAUCCAAACCAAAGAAAAUCCAACACAUAUCCAAUCUUCUUCUUCUUACCACCAUAUUUUUCCUUGCGUUCUCACUUUUGCUACCACAAUUUAUUUUUCUUUCAAACUAAACACUUCUUUUACAUUGCUAUUCAUCCCUCCCAAAUUCUAGAUUUCCCCACUUUCCAGCCUUUCACCUCCAAAACCCUAGAUCCAACAUCCACAAGAAGUUCUUUUCCCUCACUCAGUUGUCUUUGCGGUGUCGAUGUAGGCGUAAGAUCGUUAACGCCUCCGGAAGCGGUUGCUGGAUUUAAUCUAUGGAGAAGAAUUUGUUAUCUCCGAACGGAAAUCCAGCAUGAAGUGAUUUCAUCGUCGGUGACGAUGCUAGAUUGUGAUAUGCCAUUCUUUUUUCUUCUGUGUAUGUGCCUUUUUUCUUGUUUUUCCAAUGGUGAAGAAAGCUAUAAAUGAAGAAGAAUGAAGAAGAAAUUUUUAAUCUCAAUUAGAAUUUCAGUUUGAUAUGCAUAUCAGGAGAGAUGAAAGCGAUUGUGCAAUAUCCCUUUUUUCUUUUCUGCCAAAAAUACAAAUCAAACAGAAAAUUAAAAUUAAAUAAUAGAACAAUUGAGAGAUCGAGAGAGAUGAGAUGCAGAGAGAGGUAAAAGAAGAAGAAAAAAUUGUAACGGGUUGUAAUUUGAUUUAGUUUUGGUGGGGAUAACCGAGUUAUAAUCGGGUUGAGAACAUUGAUUCUGGUUAUUAUUAUUUGUUUUUUAUUGUUUAGUUGGUUAAGUGUUAAUUUGUGUACAGUAAACUAAGUCAAAUCUGUGAUCUGUG